rnacentral:lncRNA from 1 species
CUCCAUACAAGGUUUGAUCAACAACUUCUUCAUUGAUUUUCUGGUCUCUCUCCGGUGUAUCAUAGAGCAUUUUUGACAUGUUUCUGCAAGAUACACUUGUUAACUUUAAGCGACAUAAGUGCAAAAAAAUAAGAUCAUGUUGUAUUGCCUGUGCUUCCACUCUGCCUUGUUUAGUACUAUUAUGGAGCAGUACUUCCAUAUAGAACCAGUGAUCUCCAGUUCAUUAUGUUGCCUUCUUUAAACUAACUUUAAUUAUCUAUACAUAUAAAACAAAGUGGUCCCAUCAAGGGGCUAAAUCAAGAAUCAAGUGGGGCGAACAGGAAACAGUGGCAUCAAUUUUUAAGUCCAUAAGCUUUAAUAAAAGGAAUAAAACCAAGGAUAUGAAUAUGUUAUUUUUUCAUUUGUUCAUGCACUGGAAGAUCUUUCCUCUUCAAGCAUUGAACCAGCAUCCUUCUGUGCAAGUUGCUGUCGGAACCUUCUAUAAUUGUCAGAAGUCUGUUUCUGAAAUAUACAGAUAAAACUUUUAGCAAGUCUUGACAUUGCUCAUCACUAGGACAUUGUACUAGGAUACCAAUUCAUCUAAUUAGGGUUAAGUUGGCAUCUCGUACACUAUUUUUUAUUUUUCCUUCAUCUUUUGUUCCCAUUUGCAGUGGAAGUGGCACUUAGAAUAUCUGAUCAUGAAGAAUUAGCUUUCGGUGAGAUGAUACUAGGUCAAUUGCCAUUAUCUUUUUGAGUUACUGUGCGAGCAAUCUUGAAAAUAUUUUGGGAUAAAUAGAAUUUGUGCUUAUCAUAAACAUGCUAAACAUCCAAAUCAAGUGCUUUUACUAUUGAUAUCAAAUCAGUAAUUGAUUUUAACCUUUAUGCUUAUCUUUCAGAUUCUCAAUUAUGUAUCUUGAAUAAUGAUAUUAAGCAGAAAUCAUGAAUUGAAUUGCUUUAAUUAACUGUGCCUUAUCAAGCUUGUCAGCAGUGCUAUUGCUACCGCGAAUCAAAUUCGCUGUGCUUCCCGCCUUCUCCAAAUAAGCCACAAGCCCAAUUAUAUCCGCCCUCCUCCCAUCUCCAAGGGAUCAAAAAAUAAAAUGACUUCAAUCAAUUUUCAAGUUUUCCAUCUUGAUCAGUAGACCACCCGGCAUGAAUGUUACCCUCAGUUUAGGAAUAGGAAUUCCUUUUACUAAUCAUUUGGCACUAAAAACUAUGACCCCUAGCAAUUCAUUCCCUCCAUUAGAUAUCUGGGGGCAUCUUGGCUCAGCCAAAAAUGAUAAGUCAUUGCAUUUCACAUUGCAUUCAUUUGUAUUAAUGAGCUAAUUUUUUUUCACAGAAUGUGAUGUGAAUCGAAUUACUUCCAACCAUGUGUCUCUAUAAGGGUUUAACAAAUGUAAUUUGCAUUGUCUGUACACUUUUUUUUCGGUUUCUUUUCUUUUUUAUGCAUGAUUCAUUAGUCCACGGAUCUUCUAUGCAAAGUGUGCAGGCCAAACACCUCCUUCAAUGCAUUAUUCUAGAAGUUAAGACUCAGUUUACUCCUUAAUUGAUCUGUUCCAUUUACUUCAAAUCAUUUGAUUACAUUAAAUGAAUCUUGAAAUUCAAAAAUGCAUCAAAGUUAAAAGACCUUCCAAUGCAUUAAGAAAUCAUCUGAUACAAAUAUAUGUGAACCUGCAACAACAAUAAUGUCAAAAUGGAAAACUUAGGUAGAAAAUAUUAGAACGGAAACUUACGACGAACUCAAUUUUUGGCGCCUUUCUUCUUCUCAUCUUCUGAUCCAAGAAGCUCUUCCAACACCGUGUCAUCCAAACACUCGAACUCAAUGACUUGCUUUUCUUGCCCAGAAGAGGAACCUCCCAUCUCUAAACUCCUACAAGGCCCAGAAGAUGACGAGGAAGACGAUGAGGAUGGUGAUGGUGGGGGGCGAUGGGAGCCCAUGAUUUCAGAAUAGUACUCAUUAGGAAAGUUAAGAAUGGCAAGAUGACCCCUUAAGUUAAAGGCCGCUCGAUCAUAGGCGCGAGCUGCAUCCUCCGCCCUGUCAAAUGUGCCUAGCCAUAGACGAGCACCUUGCCUAGACGGAUCCCUAAUCUCGGCUGCAAACUUCCCCCAUGGCCUCCUCCUCACCCCUCGGUAUCGAACUUCUUCCUUUUCCUUCCCUUCCUGCUCCUGCUUCUCAUUCCCUUUCGAAUGAUCUUCCAUGCUAAACGUGUCGAUUUGCUAGGCGCAAUUUUUUUGGUUUCAAAUGUGCUGGUUUACGAGAGGCAUGGAUGCUUAUGUAUAUAUAUGGUUGCCACAGUCAGGUCUGACGUCACCGCUCAAUGUAUGUUCCACAGCGUGGGUUGACGAGCUUUCUGAGGGGGUUUCCUCGAAUUCAAAGCAAGUAUAAAAAUUCGAUUCUCCGACCUUUCCAAUGAGGAUCGAACAGGCCUUUUAUUAGAACCGUAUGAUAACUCCACACUGUUUUCAAAUAGUCAAUGUGAUCUAGAUUCUUCGUUAAUUUUUUCCACCUGACUGAUUGUUUACAAUUUUAUUUUUCACCGUCCCAAAUUUAAACCAUUUACGCGAUUCCCUGGAUUGCAUUUUUCUUUAAUGUUGACUUUACGAGGCAAUAGGACCCCCCAGCAACCCCACUAGGGCGACUUCAUGGGAACCAGAUUACUUUUGGAUCCAGAUAUGGUCCAGAAGAAAUAAGACAAAUCAAUUAAUGUCCACUAAAGUUUUGAUGGAACCCUUAGUCCGUGUUUCCUGUGGAUGUAUGUAUUGUAUGCACCUCAAUUUUCACCAAUCCCUGCUACGAGUCCCUUUAAUUUUGACGUUAUAAAUGUUUUUCCUGACAUUAGCAGAGUGUUUUUCUGCCGUCUUUGAGGACCUUCCACGGCCCAUAAACUAAUAAGGAUCGUCCAGUGAAUUUAGUCUUCCCCAGUUAAUUAUCCUGCGAGGGAAACUUGGGCAGUAAGUUGCCUACAUGAGUGGCUCCCGCCUACAUGAGUCAAGGGACCAUACGUCAGGACGACAACCAGUGUGGUCACACCAAAGUGGGUUGCCUGGACUCCAGGGUGGUCGCUUCAAAGUUGUCAAAUGAAGGCUAGCUUGGCAAGUUUUGGAAAACAAUUAUUGAAAAACAUUUUUCAUGAAUAACAGUUUCUAUGAACAGAUUUUAAGAAAGUUUAUUUUGUGAUUUUUAGGAAUAUUUUUAAUUUAAAUUUUUAUAUUUUUAAUUUUUUAUUAAUUUAUUGAUUAUUUAAUAUUAGCUUAAUUAAUGGAUUUUUCUUGGUCCCAAAUUAUUAAUUUAUCAAGAUUUAAUCGCAUCCAUAAUUAGUCUAAUUUCUUUUGGAGUGAGUGUGACAAAGUGCAAAUUUCUAGAGUUUUAUUAAUGUUAUUCAAUGUCAUAAUUUAACUAAUUAUAUUAAUUAUUUAUUAAUCAAAAUAAAUCAUUCACUUGAAAUAUGAUAAUUUAAAUUAAAAGUUUCAAUUAUUUAUUAAUUAGCAAAGUAUGAACUUUUCUUCUUGUUUUAUUAUUGUUAUUCCAUGUAUAUAAUUUAAUUAACUGUUUCCAAUAUUAAUCAAUAAAAAUAGAAUAUAAGCAUGAGAAGAAUUAGUAAAAUUCAUUGAUUUGGAAUUAGAUAGCUAGAGGAAGAACUUCAUCAUCUUCCCAUUACUUAAAUUUGUAUAAAUUCUAAAUAUUUAAACCCCCCCCCCCCCCCCCCCCCCCAAAAAAAAAAAAAAUGGUAAAGAAAGACUCCCCAAGCUUUCUUGGUUGGUGUUACCCUAAAAUUUGUACAAUAAGAUGAACCAUUUGGCUUAAAGCUUGGUGCGAAACCCCUUAUCAAUUGAAAAUAUCAAUGAAGUUGUUGAAUGGUUUUAGAGGACUAUUCUUAUGCAGAGUGGCAUAAGAAGCGAGGAGAUGAAGAGCGGAGAGACGUUAACAUCGGAUGCUGCUACGAAGGUGGGAAUACGGUUAAUUAAUUAGAUUUUGUGAUGGCUUUGAGUUUGAAGGAGUUAGUUUAAUGGGUAUUAUUAGUGAACUGAUAAUUGGAUUUGAUGUAAAGAAGGUUGGUCCAUUGGAUUAGCAAUUGGUUUGGCCUUUUGGGGGCCCCAUUUCCAAAUGCAUUGCCUUUUACAAGCAUUCAACAUCGCUGGACGUAACCAGGCUUGGUUCACCUAAAAGUAUCGCAUGGAUUGAAUUGACUAAGUUUUCAUUGUAGACUAGCCUUGAUUUUCCCUUGACCUGCCCACCAAAUCCUGAUGCCCACGCGAGGGAAUACCUCAAUUUUCUAAUAAUUUAUGCAGUUUCUCUUCAAAGCUCGUGUGAUCACUUGGGUCGGUAAAAUAAUGCAUUCCUCUACUUUUUCUCCCUUCCUAGAUGCAUGUUAUACCAUUAAUUCAAAUGUGAACAUGGGCUUGGCUUUGAAACUUGGUUCAAGGCCCAACAUGUUGACCCACAAUUGAGGUGUAAUUGAAUUUGUACACUUUUCGACUUUGAUACCAUUUGUCAUUACCAUUGACAUUGGGUCAUUGUUGAUUUUGAGUCCACAACUUUUAAGGUUGUUAUUACAAUUUUAAAUUGCGCCCACCCAAUUUAUAUGCAUUAUCCCUUAUAAAUACCGAUAACCUCUCUUUCUUCGAUAAUAUAAAAUGUCACAUAUAUUAUAUAUCUCAAUGUUUUCUUUUACUUUUUUUUUUUUUAUCGAUCGACAUUCUCUCUCAGAUGAUAUGAGAUGUCACAUAUAUUAUAUGUUUCAAUGUUUCUUUUACUUUUUCUCUUUUUCCUCAUGAUUGACAUUGUCUUUCUCAAAUGAUAUGAGUUGUCACAUAUAUUUUAUGUCUCAAUGUUUUCUUUAACUUUUUUUCUCUCUUCUUUAAUGAUCGACGUUCCUUUUCUCAGAUGAUAUGAAAUGUCAUAUAUAUUAUAUGGCUUAAUGUUUUCUUUUACUUAUUCUUUCUUUAUUAAUAAUCGACAUUUUAAGCAAUAUGUGAAUAUAAAGCAUUAAAAUUAUCUCCAUCGUUUUUGGAUGUGGUAUAAAUACACAAUUCUUAUUUUUGUUUUAAAUAUUUCUAUUGCUAUCUAUUGAAAUUUUAUGCAUGAAGCUACCAAGUUAAUUAUACAUAUAUCUUAAGAUUUUUUUUUUUUUUUUUUAUAGGAUAUAUUGUCCAUGAAUAUUUUCUGCAAUGGUAUCUUGUUUGAUUACUAUAAGAAAUAAUAUAUAUAUAUAUAUAUAUAUAUAUAUAUAUAUAUAUAUAUAUAUAUAUAUAUAUUAUAUUUCAAUGUUUCAUAUUUGCUUAAAAUAAAAAUUAUAUUUUAUCACAAUAUUUGGUAUUAAAAAAAAUGAAAUCUCUCUCAUUUAUUAUUACAAAAAAAUUAUAAUUUAUAAUUUUCUAAAUAAGUUUUAUUUAUUUGCUAACUAUAUUCAUGAUUAAAAGAUUUAAAAUUUAUAAAUAAAAAAUAUUAUGUCAUGUCAUUAAAUAAAUAAAAAUAUAUGUAUAUAUUAAAAUUAUGUUUUAUUGUAGCUUUUAAUAUUUUUUUUUUUAUUCUUUUCUUUUUUGAACUACAAUUUUAAUUUUUUUUAAUCAAAAUUUUUUAAUUUACAAAACGAGUAACAUAAAACUUGCCUUUGAACUUUAUUGGAAUGUUAUAUACUACCAUUUGGCUUUCAAGACAUUAGAAAAGGCAUAAGUGUCCCUUUUAUUUUUCCGAAAGGCAUAUUAGACUAUAGUAGGAAGUGUUGUAUAGAGGCAACUAAAAGUUGCCUUUAACUUUAUGAAGUCAUAUACUCCUCUUUGGCUUUGAUGACAUCAACUAGCAAAUUGGAUUUUGUUUCCUUUGCAACAUUUUUCCAUCCAUUAGCCAGUUUUUUUAUACUGUUUGGUGCUUGCCAACAUGGCACACACUAUGGUUCUUAAAAAGUAUUUUUUUUUUUAAGAUACUACGAAAUAAAAUACACGAUUGAAAGAUGAGUCACAAUAAUUUUCAAAACUAAAUUUUUUAAUAUUGUUAAGAAAAUUUGACCACCAAAUGAUUGAUUUUAAAUUACAAAUACUUUUGUUAGCUAAGAAAUUUGUUGUUCUAUUUGUUUCCCUAUAAAUAUGACAACAAUCAUAAAUAUUUUCAUUUUAAGAUAAUUUUCAAAUAUCUUCCAUUAAUAAUAUAAUAGAAUUAGGAAUUUUUUUUUUAGUUAUAACAAUCUAUAAUUAUUUAAGAGUCUUCCUCAAUCUCUAGGUUUAAGAACUUAUUGUUCUUAACAACUAACAUGUCAUCUCUUAAAAUAAUACAUUCUGCAAUAAUUAUUGAAAUAUGAUAUAAUAUAUAUAUCUACUUACAACCAUUUUUGUAGUACCAUUAGAAUUUUUAAUUACCCAUUCUAAAGUAUUUUUAUUCUCUAUUCUUAAACCAUCAAAAUUUAAUUUAAAUCUUUCAUUAAUUGGAUAAAUCCAAUGAAUCUAACAAGUUAAAGGAUUAUGAAUCCGACAAAACAGUUGAUAAUAAAUUAAUAAUGCCAUUAAUAUGAUUUUAAUGUGAAACACAAUUAUCACAUUUAAUACAGUUAGUCCUUGUAUGAUUAAUGUUUUGGAAGCUAAAAUCAAUCUUUUGACUAUAAUAAGAGUUUCUACUAUUUCUAUUUUUGGAUGAUUUUAUAUUUUUCUUAUUGUUUUAGUUUAAUACAAAAAAUAAAAAUAAAAUUACAUUAGUAGAAUUUUUUUAACUUACUCAAAAACCUAUUUUAGUUGAAUGAUUUUUUUAAAAAAAAUAUAAAUAUUUUGUUAAAAGGGAUAAAAUAACCUUACCUUGUGAAAAAGACCUCUUCACCCAAGAUUACUUGUUCAUAAUCCUUUUAAGACGAAAAUGCCCCCUUCCUAAAAAAUAUUUCAUCUUAAACUUAUUUUUCUUUUUAUUGCCCUUUGUUCCAUCCUUCCGGCUUGGGAGAGAAAUUCAUUCUUCUUUUGCGAAGAAAAAUUCCUAUUGCGAUUUUUCAUUUCAAGUGGAAAAAAAAAUUCUUAUUUCAUUUUAAAGAAAUUGUACAUUUUCAAUCUUUCUCUUUGUUCCUAGUUGAGGGUUUUUUUUGUAAUUUUAUCUUAACACUACAAAUUUAAAGGUGAGAUUAAAUCUUAAUGGUUAUUAGUUAAAUCACAUAUCUAACUUUGUUUUUGUCAGGACCUAUAAUAUGAUUGGAACCACCAUCCAAACUUCAUUAGGUGGGAUACUCCCCACCCUCCCCCUCCCCCCGCGAAAUCCUUGGAUUUUAGUUUUGACUUGGAUUUCAAUUGCCCGUAUCAAUUUUUCUUUAUUUAUUAAUUUAUUAAUUUUCAACUUUAACAAAAGCCUUGAAUCAUAUUUAAAUUCAAAUAACUUAAUCCUAAUUAAGUUCUUUUUAAAUAAAAAUUAAUCAUUGAAAAGUUCAUGUGACUAUUAUAAUUGAGAAUUUAUCCCAAGUUGGGUUUUUUGCAAAUAAAAUUUUAUUAUAGGACAUCAUGAUGCAACAUAACAUAAGGUUGUUACUUAAGUUUGUUUUGACCUUGUAAUAUGUUAAAAUGAAAAUGAAGCCAUUGUAACAGGAGAGAAUGAUGAAGCUGUGGAGAGAGCUUAACAAAGCUUGGGUUGGAGAGACUUCACAGGAAGAGAGAGAGAGAAAUAAAGGGUAAAAUUAUCAAAAGAGAAAAGAAAAAAAAAAAAAAAAAAGAAGGUUAUGUCUUCAAAUAAUCAAUAAGAGAUGUCAUUUUUCUAAUUUUCAAAGUUCUUUUGGUCCUUCUCUACAAAUAUCCCUAUAAAAAUAUUAUAAUAUCAAGUUAAUUUGUCAAUACCAAAAUUUAUAUUUUAUAUUAGGGCGACUAAAUAACAUAUAGAAAGAAUUUUAAAUGAGUAAAUCAAAUCAAUUUUGAAACCAAAACUUAAUAAUUACCAAACUUGUAAUCUUAGUCAUUAAAAGUGUACGAUGAAAUCUAAAUUAUUAAGCAAUGAAACAAAAAAUUAAGAUUAAAAUACAAAACGUUAAAAUCAAGAUACAAACUAUUAAAAUGUAAGUGGGAUAUGAGAUGAUAUUAUAAAAAAUAGUGUGAUCCAACAAAAAGUCUAGUACAUCAUUAUCUUCACUUCCAACCAUGUUUAAAAGGUCACAAGUUCUAGCGGUUUCCAAGGACAAUGUUAAAAAUAAUAAAAAUAAAUCCAAUUAAAUAUUAAUUAAUUUAUUUGAAUUUGAGUCCGACAAAAUAGUUGGUAAUAAGUUAAUAAUGCCAUUAAUAUGAUUUUAAUGUGAAACACAAUUAUCACAUUUAAUACCCGUUAGUCCUUGUAUGAUUAACUUUUUAGAAAUUAAUAUCAAUCUUUUGAUUAUAAUAAGAGUUUCUACUAUUUAUAUUUUUGGAUGAUUUUAUAUUUUUCUUAUUGUUUUAGUUUAAUACAAAAAAAUAAAAAUAAAAUUACAUUAGUAGAAUUUUUUUUAACUUAUUCAAAAAACCUAUUGUAAGGUGAAUGGUUUUUUUAUUUUUUUUUUAAAUAUAAAUAUUUUCUUAAAAGGGAUAAAAUAACCUUACCUUGUGAAAAAAGGCCUCUUCACCCAAAUUUACUUGUGCAUAAUCCUUUUCAGACGAAAAUGCCCCCUUCCUAAAAAAUAUUUCAUCUUAAACUUAUUUUUCAUUUUUAUAACCCUUUGUUCCAUCCUUAUGAUUUGGGAGAGGAAGUCAUUCUUCUCUUGUGAAGAAAAAAUUCCUACUGCCAUUUUUCAUUUCAAGUGAAGAAAAAUAUUUAUAUUUCAUUUUAAACAAAUUGUACAUUUUCAAUCUCUCUUUGUUCCUAGUUGAGGUUUUUUUUUUUUUUUUUUUUUUUUGUAAUUUUAUCUUAAUUGUACAAAUUCGAAGAUGAGAUUAAAUCUAUAAUGGUUAUUGGUUAAAUCACUUAUCUAACUUUGUUCUUGACAGAUCGUAUAAUAUGAUUGGAACCACCAUCCUAACUUUAUUAGGUGGGAUCCCUUUUUUUUUUUCCCCAAACCCUUGGAUUUUAGUUUUGACUUAUAUUUCAAUUGUCUGUAUCACUUUUUCUUUAUUUAUUAAUUUUCAACAAGUUCUUUAACAAAAGCCUUGAAUCAUAUUUAAAUUCAAAUAACUUAAUCCCCAUUAAGUUCUUUUUAAAUGAAACUUAAUCAUGUGAAAGUUCAUGUGACUAUUAUAAUUGAGAAUUUAUUCUUAGUUGGGUUUUUUGUAAAUAAAAUUUAGUUAUAGGACUGUGAUGAUCCGUUCUCAACCGUAUAAAUAUUGUUCGUUUUGAAUUCAAAAUAACUUUUACGGCUUUAAAACAUGUUUACAAGAUUAAGAGGAGUCCAUAUUUAUAUAGCUUCACGAACUUUCCCCCCUAUUCGAUGUGGGAUGUCACAAGGACAUCAUGAUGCAACGUAUAACAUAAGAUUGUUUCUUAAGUUUGUCUAACCUUGUAAUGUGUUAAAAUGAAGAUGAAGCCAUUAUAACAGAAGAGAAUGAUGAAGUUGUAGAGAGAGCUUAACAAAGCUUGGGUUGGAGAGACUUCAUAGGAAGAGAGAGAGAGAGAGAGAGAGAAAUAAAGGGUAAAAUUAUCAAAAAAGAAAAAAGAAAAAAAAGAGGGUGAUGUCUCCAAAUAAUCAAUAAGAGAUGUCAUUUUUCUAAUUUCAAAGUUCUUCUGGCCCUUCUCUACAAAUAUCCCUAUAAAAACAUUAUAAUAUCAAGUUAAUUUGUUGAUACCAAAAUUUAUAUAUUAUAUUAGGAUGACUAAAUAACAUAUAGAAAGAAUUUUAAAUGAGUAAAUCAAAUCAAUUUUGAAAUCAAAACUUAAUACCUACCAAACUUGUAAUCUUAGUCAUUUAAAGUGUUCCAUGAAAUCUAAAUUAUUAAGCAGUGAAACAAAAAAUAUAAGAUUAAAAUACAAAACGUUGAAAUCAAGAUUCAAACUAUUAAAACGUAAGUGGAGACGUAAGAUGAUGUCAUAAAAAAUAGUGGGAUCCAACAAAAAGUCUAUUAAUCAUUAUCUUCACUUCCAAUCAUGUUUAAAAGGUCACAAGUUCUAGCGGCUUUCAAGGACGAUGUUAAAAAUAAUAAAAAUAAAUCCAAUUAAAUAUUAAUUAAUUUAUUUGAACAAUAGAUAGGACCAAAAUAAUAUUCUAAAAGGAAUCAUAGGGAAGUCCUUGGACAACCUACGACAUUGAACAAAGGUACAGUGAGACAAUGCACUUAGCCCUUCCUUGUCAUUGCGAUGAAUAUAAAAAGACACCCUGAUUGAGGGUGCCCCACUAAGCCAAGAGUGAUUCUUUUGUAUUGUAUAACGUGAAUAUUUUUGAACUUUGAAUGACCCUUCCUAUAGUCAUCAUUGUCAAAACUAGAAAAUCAGAAAGAUGCGAUGUACGAAGGCACCAUUGAAUAAGAGGCUUAAUUCUCUUUGGCAAUUAGGAUAAAGUUUCAAAAUAGAAAAAUUAAACAAAUGUACAGUGUACGGACACUUGGGCAUUGCCUAUUUGUUUUGUUCUUCUAGAGUUGUAUAUGGUAAAGGUCAUAUUGGGUUGGUUCUAUUUGGUUAUUGAAGUCGGCUAGAAUAUUAGAUUUGGUUUCAAUCUAAUCCCAUAUGAUAUUAGAAUACCAGCCCAUACAGAAUUUUUGACCAAAUAUAAUAUUUCUUUUAAAUAUAAAUAUAGUAAUUAAUUUUAGUCUAAGAUUAAUUAUGUAGUUUCCUAAAGAGACCACUUCCUAAACGGUAGCUAUGUGGAAGUUGGGCCAGGUCCUGCCGAGAAGGUUUCCACGAGCUGAGCCCAAAACUGAGUAGCUGUGAUGGGAUCAUUCUAGCAUUCAGCCUGAAACUUGUAACAUAACGGAUCGAGAGGCCUGAACUCCAAGACCAUGGUUCGUCAGCCCAUUAACUUCAACAGCACGCAUUUUAGAGGACUGGGCUUGCAAGGGGUGAGGUUUCCGGGCCGCGACCCCAAAUAUGAACAGCCUCAGAAGUGAUAUUGCUUACUGGCACGUGAAGAGCGCAAGCGUAACUAGAAGAUUUGUAAUGCCGCUUUAAUUGUUUGAUUAUAGAAUCCCACGCAUUACGCAUGGAAAGUGUAAAAGAUAAAAGAUGUAGAAUUUUUUCUUAGAGAAAAGUUCGUUUGGAUAUAGUUAUUGUUUUUUUUUUAAAUAAUAAUUGUUUUUUUUAUAAAUUAUAGAUAAUCUUAGAAAUUUAUCUUUAAAAAAAUAGUUUUUAAAAAUAUUUAAGGAGAAUAAAAGUGAUAAAAAAAAACUUUACAAUUUCAAAUUUUUAAAAAAUGAAAAUUAUUUUUAAGAAUAUAAGUUAAUCUCCUGCAUUUAAAUCUUAGGUGGUUUUUGUUUUUUUUACUUUUCGCUGAAAACAAUUUGUUUUCAAAAUUUAGGUCAUUUGUUUUUUCUAUUUUUUCAUGAUUUAUUAUAAAUUUUUUACUAAAUAAAAAAAAUCAAAAUAUGUAACUUUUUCUAAAUAAAAAAAAUAACGUAUUGAUUUUUCUUUACUUUUUAAUACUUAAUAGAUAUAAAAUACUACAAAAACAAAAAAUCUAAUAUUUAACACUAUUAAGCAUUAAAGUUCUAUUUAGAAUUAAGUAAAAAAACAAACACCACCUUAUAUUUUAUAUAAAAGUUACUUAUAUUUUGGUUUUUGGAAAUAAAAAAUAUAAAGCAUAUCCAAACAUGAGCUUAGCUAUUUUAAAUCAUAUCAAAAUAAUAAUCCCAAUAAGGUAAAUGGACUUUUAUACGGAGAAUAAUCUUUAAGGUUUUCAUUUUUAUUGGAUUUUUUUUUUGUGGUGUUUUUUCAAUCCAUCUUCUCAAUUAAUUCCUUAAAAUUAUUUUACUGUUUUUUUUUUUUUCAGUUUCUAAAUAUUUGAUUUUUCCAAAAUGCUUAAAUGGAAGACACUAAUUUUUCAAGAUAUUUGGUAUUACAAUUUUCCCUGUUCUCCCUAUUAUCUAUCAGAUUCAUGGCCCUUUUGUUUUUUCAUUGGUUUUCAAUUUAAUUUUCCAAAUAUUACAUUGUUGUGUUUUGAAUUUGUGAAACCAAUUUUAUAUAUAUAUAUAGUAUGUAAGUCUACUUUGGGUAACAUGUACAGAGAGGUUUUCAUGUGUUUGAAACCUUUUACCUCAAAAAUUAAUUAUUUUUAAUUUUAUAAUAAAUCUUUUUUUAUUUUUUAUUUUAUUUAGGAAAGCCUAUAUUUAAACUACAUGUUUGCAACGCAACACCAUACAUACUCCUAGUGGAACUUACCUUAGUGCUUGAGGGGGAUGCAGAUCUUCUUCUAAACCUAACUAAUAAGCAUAAAAUUGUUCACUAAUUAGCAUAUCUAGUAAAUCAUACAAAUUGGCAAUAUUUCAUGUUUUUCAUGUUUUGUCAAUAAAAGGCGUCUUGACCAUUUUGUGAGUUUUGUAAUAAAUAAAAAAAAAAAAAAAAAAAGGGCAAAAGGUGACUAAAAUGAGGCACUUUGGAAAGGUUAAUAACCUAAAAGGAAGAUGAAUUAAUACCCCCUUAUUCCUCUUCAAAAACCAUUGAGAAAAUGCAAGAAAUGCUCUUAGUUGUAUGCUAGGCUAACAGCCUAGCAACCAUAAUACCCUUCUUUGCAAUUGUAAGCAUUUUUUUUUUUUUUUUGAAGGCCAAACAACGUUGCAAACUUCCCAAAUCCCUUCUUUAUUUUUUAUUUUUUUAUUUUUGUUUUUAGAAGGAGAAUGAAUUUGAUGACAAACUCCUUGUCAAUCUUAUCCAAACCACGAUCGAACAGAACUCCUUGUCAAUCUUAUCCAAACCGUGUUCCACCUCAAAAACAUGUGUAGGACUUAAGGCAGCAACUGGCAAGCAUGACUGAUAGGGCCAAGUGCCCUUGUCUCUACAAUCCAUUAAGUUAACCAAGGGCAGUGAACCAUCAUUCUUUUCAAAAGCUUCAUUCCGUGUUGAAAAUGUGAGACUGAAGCAUGGUGCCCCCAAAAAUAACGAUCUAUUUACUAGCAGCAUGCCUGGACCCAUUAAAAAUACUCUACUUUAGGAAUAGAAAAAAUUACAUCUUUAUCCAAUAAUUUUAUAACAAUUCAGACGUUUCAGUCUAUAAAUAAUUGUACAUAGUUGCCAACGUUUAGCUAGUUUCAAAUGAAUAGCCUAGGUUCAUGCACCAGUUUGGCUGGUGGAGGAAAGGGAUUCGAGACAUUGAACCCUCUUUUUAGUGUGCCAAAUAUUCCACAAAAAUCACUACCUUCUCUUUGUGUUUGUUCACUUUUAGUUUAUAUUUAAUAAAUCUAUGUUUUCGAGUAGAGGUUGGGUUCAGGUGCGACCCACGUCACCUCUCGGACGGUCUUGAAAAAGGAGACCGGACCACGUAAUUUCAAAUGUAGUGACCAUCUCACUUUUACCUCCAUCCUUGAAGAUGGUUUCCCAAAUCAAUAUUAAUCUUUUGUUUACGACAAUAUCGAUCACUUUAUGUCUAUAUCGUUGUUAAUUUACCUUUUUUUUUUAGCCACAUUAUUUGAAAAUUGAUGCAAACUUUACCAACAUCUUGGUACCAUUUUAAAAUAUUAGAGUUAUUUGAUUAAAAAAAUAAAAUAAUCUCGAUAACUUGUUUAUAAAAUAAAUAUCUUUUAACAUUUAGACUAUUCUCACGCAUGCUUUAAAAUUGUAAAGAUAUUCAUAAAGUGGAACUUUAGACUUAAUCAAUAUCGAUCACUUUAUGUCUCUAUUGUUGUUAUAUUUUUUUUUUACAACAUUAUUUGAAAAUUGAUGCAAACUUUACCAACAUCCUAAUACCAUUUUAAAAUAUUAGAGUUAUUUGAUUAAAAAAAUAAAAUAAUCCCGACAACUUGUUUAUAAAAUAAAUAUCUUUUAAUAUUUAGACUAUUUUCACCAUGCUUUAAAAUCAUAAAGAUAUUUAUAUUCAUAAAGUGGAACUUUAGACUUAAACAUGAUAAUAGUUUUUUUACAAUAUUAUAAUUAUUUUAUCGUUUUAAUUAAGCCCUUUAUCAUACAUAUAAAUGUAAAUUAAUGCUAAAUUUUUAAAGCAACGUAUAACCUUUUACAUCUUUUUUUAAGAUGGUGCGAAAAUCCUAUGAAAAAUAAUAAAAGUCGAUGCAUAAGAAGAUUGUUUUGAUAAUUCAAUAGAAAAAUUCUUUUAAAAUGAUAUUAAAAAAUACCCAUAGAGCCUUUAUUAAAAAAAUCAAUUAUUUUCAUAAUAAAAAUUAUAAUUUUUUAUUAUGUAUUAUUAUUUUUAAGUAUCUUUAUUACAAAUACUUUUUUUGAGUUUAUGAGAGGAAUCAACAGGUUGGUACAAGCUUAGGCGUCCUCGUACAUGUUCCCGCUGUGCAAGGUUUUUGUCUUGUUUCGAGCUAGUCGGAAUUUACGUGUUUGAUAACGUUUUGUCCUAUUUUUGUAACGCUUUAAAGGGCGGCCCACCGUUGGAACAGUUCAAGCCAUCCAAAUCAGCCCGGAGGGUUAUGGCGACGUGGCAUGACGCCUACCACCUUAGUUCACAUGAACCCUAUGAUCGUACUACCCUCACAUGACAUCUGUGAUUCUUCACCUCCAAACCCUCUUUAACUUGGUAAUGUAUUCAAAGCUUCAUCAAAUCAUAGCGAUUAGCGACCCUCUUCCACCCUAAUUUUAUAAUAAAAAAUAAAUCUUAGUGGACAUUAAAGUAGUAUUUUGUGGGGGGAAAGAAAAACUCUAUGGGCGUAUCCACUAAAUACGAGCCAAGUAUAAGAGUUAUCACCAUGGAAUCAAAUUAUGAAGCAUUGACAUUUUAAUUGUAUUCAGAUUUGAGGAGGGCACCGCGGCACCAGCUGGCCCAGUGUAGUCUGCUAGCCUACCCGCCAUAAUGACCAAAUUAAUAAAGUAAAAAGGAUUACAGGGAUAUUCCCAACUUUAUUCUGGGUCUGAGCUGGAACUUGGGAGUUAUCACGAUCAACGGGAAAGAUGGUGGGUAGGGGACGAGGAUUGAGGGCUCCAUAUUCACAUCAGUGAAAAACGAAAUGUAUUGAGACAAGUCUUCUAAGGAUUUUCUAGCGUAUUAUAUGGUUUAAAUGAUUAUAAAUCUGUAGUUACUGGUAAAGAGUAGAGAGUGAAGACGAAAGACGUUGAGUGAAAAGGAAGGAGGAGAGGGGAUGGGGCCAUCUUACCGUGUCGGGGAGGAUCCAUAAAAGGACUACGUUCCCUGAAUCUGUAGGCAUCAUGCCUCGCCUAACGGGUUAGUCAAAAUACAGUGAUGUGUGUGAGUUGGGGGCCUCACUCCUCAUUUCUUUCCUUCUUUUCACCCCCACCCCCACUUUUUUUUUUUUUUUUUCGAAUUUUUCUUUGUCCUUUUCUCUCACUUGCGCACGCGGGAGAAGGACCACAAACUAGACAAUUCCUCUGCUCACGUGACCCCGAGUUUUUAAAUAUUUGCCUAUUUGGAAAAUAGUCAUGAAUCAUGAUCGUUAACAAACAAUCUUCACUUUAUUUAUUUAAGAUCUAUUUUUUGGAGCUCUAGUUUAGUUUAUUAUUAUUAUUAUUAUUAUUAUUAUUAUUAUUAUUAUUAUUUAGUAACUCCUCUUAUAUUAAUGAAAAAGAGAGGAGGAAUCCAAACUUGUUUAUUCUUCCUCUUUUAAGGUGUUUGUUUUUUUUAUUUUAUUUUUAUGCUUCAUAUGUCUUCAAUUUCUUAGCAUUUGUCUUAUAUUUCUUCUUAUCCGAUUCAUUAUUGCAUCCUUGGUCAAUCUUUCACGAGGAGUGCCUACUUUUUUCCUUUUUAUUAUUUAAUUCACUUUAUCUUUAUAUUUUCCUUUUACACUUUAUUUCCAAUUCAAAACGUGUCAAAAAAAAAAAUUGGUAACAAAAAAAAAAAAAAAAAUCAAUUGUAAUGAUUCUUAUAUAAUUUUAUUUAAUUUUUAUUAAACAAUAAAGAAAUUAAAAAUAUAUAAAUUUUUAAAUAAUUAUUAUAGUCUUUCAUUUUUGUGUAUAAUUUCUUUUGCAAGAAAUAGUGUAGGCUUUCCACGGUCUAAAGGAAAUGGAAUAUCAAAUGAGAAGGUAAUAAUAAUAAAGUGAGUUAUAGAUACUAAUCAAACUAAUCCACUAAUGAAUUAUUUAUUUUUAUUUCACAUGGACAAAUCCUAAAAGUUGGAGUUCUAAUUUACUUUUAUGUUAAGCUUUUUUAAGUAAAAAUCUUUUAUUAUUAUAAUUUAUAGACAAAAAGAAACCCAUUAAUGUGAUGGAUAAAAAAUUUCAAUUUAAAAAAAAAAAAAUUAAAGUUGCUAAAUUUUUGUAUUUAUUAUUUCAAACUCAUUUAAAUAAUUUAAAAAUAUGUCUUCAAUUAAUUUUAAUGAAACAAAGCAUGAUUUUUUUUUAAUUUUUUUUUCUUUACCAAAUAAAGCAUUAUUAUAAUACGUUGAUUAAAUUUUCAUCAUGUCUCUCAAGAUUUGGAUUAAAUAUACUUAGUUGUCAUAAAUUUGAAAUUUUAUUUAAUGUAUUUUUUAUUUUAAAUUAAAAAGAUGAAUGCAAAUAAAAAAAAUAUGUAUAUUUUAUAAAAUUUUAAAUUAAACGAAGGAUACGUGUAUUUAACCAAGGUGAAUGAAAUUAAUCCAAAUACUUUUUGGUAACUUGCAAAAUAUCUUGACGAAAUCAUUAUGGCAGGCAUCGUACAAGCUCAACCCUUGUCGCCUUGCUAGAAAUAGAGAAACAAAAAGACCCCCAAAUUGGGUUGCAUCCUAAAUAUGAAGAAGUGGUAACAAAGGAAGAAAAAAUGCUGUGUUAUUGAAUAGUUAAUACAUUGAACAUGAUAUGUUACAUAGAGAGCCAGAUUAAUCCUAGUGGAAUUCCACUGUCACGAUGGUAACCUAGGGUUAUGUUUGGUUAUUGAAAAUACCAAGAAAAGAAAAAAAAAUAUAAAGGAAAAUAAUUUUUUCAUUUUUGAUUGUCUUAUAAAAGAUAUAAAAAAAAAACAAAUAUAAUUAAAACUAAUUAAAAAUUUAGGUAUUUUUAAAUUAUUUAAUUUUUAUAUUAAUGAGCGAAAAUAAAUAAAAUAAGUUUAAAAUAACAAAAAAAAUAAUUUACCGAUUUUUAAUCUAUAUUUUAUUUUACUUUUUCUUUGUAUUUUUUUUUUCUUAUAUUUUCCCUCAAAUUUUCUGAAUCAAACAUAGCAAAAAAGGAGCUACCCCUUUCGAAAGAAACUCCCAAGAAUUUCAAAGAAACCUGCUGAGAUAAUGAAUGAGGGAUCACUGUCGGUAAACAGUAUCCAUUCUUUUGGGAGGACUUUCAAACUGAGAAGUUGUUUUCAUGACUUGGAAACAAAAUUUUGAGCUCUAAGGGGGUCUGUAUUUGGGCCCUAAAAUUCAAUCCAUCAAUCUGAAAAAUGCUUAGGAUAAUGAUUUGAUUUAGCCACAAUCACUAAACAAAUUCCAGAGGAAAAUUUCGCUACUCAUAGGUGGCUGAUUCUCAUAAAAAGACAUCGUGGUAGGGUGUCUCAAGUGCAGGCUCACCAUCAACUUGCUGCCCUUUUUAGAUUAUUGUAAAAUGAUUUCACAUGAAGCCCAAUGCAAAACUUUGAAAGAAAAGGUUGGUGGAGACGUGAAGAAUAUGUAACCCAUAGGCCAUAACUAGUACCGAAGAUUAUUGAACAAACAUUCAAGGUUUUUGUAUAGACGAAACUGAAAAGAAUGUGUACCAGACUCAGGCGUUCAGAUCAGAUGAUGCCGUAAUGUGGAUUGUGGAGGAGCAUUGUGCAGACAGAUAAUGAGAUUCUGAAAGCGAGGCCACUGAUGGGCCCUUGGAAGGGGGGCGUGCCUUCAAAAUUAUAUAUAUAUAUAUAUAUAUGUCAUUGAAAAUUGGAAGCAACUUUUCUUCUUAAGUUAUUUUAAUCGAAGAAGAAACAAAAAGUUAAAAACAUACAUUAUUCUUCCUUCUUACGAGGUUUCCGGGUCUAAAUUACUAUGGUCUCUGCAACUGGCGUCGUUUUCUCUCCCCUCUCUCUAUUUUCCCUUUAUUUUUUCACUUUUAGAAAGAAGCAUCCCAUCAAGAAUCUACUACAACCCUACGCUUCCAUUUUGAUUUAGAAAGUUAAAAAUAAGUUUAAGUUAAAAAAAAAUAUUUUCUUAUAUAAUUAUUUAAACUUAUUUCUUUUCCUUUUUAUAUAAAGAAACAAAUAUUUUGCAAAUAAAUAAAUUUCUAAUUAUUUUCAUUAACAUAAUAAUAAUAUUUUUCAUAUGACUUUAAUCACAAUUUUUUUUACCACUUGUCCAAGGCGGUGAGAGGUGAUAAAAUGUAUUAAAAAAACGAUUAAAUUGCAUUAGGUAUAGAAGUUUUGUGCUUCAAUUAUCACUUAUAAAAAUAAAAUAAAAAUAGUCAAAUUUGAGUGUGCAAGUUGGUAUUCGUAUGUAGAAGGAAUUGGGGGAUUUGGGGGUCCUAACAAAUUUGAUAUGAUUGAUGGAAGGAAAUGAUUAUUAUAGGAUAAAGUCCGAAUGAAACGCUGACGAGGGGGGAAAAACAACAGUGGCAAUGCACUAUCCACAGAUCCAUGAUUGAUUUAUGUUAGCAAUAAUGAAUUAUUUUGACUUUGAUAACCUUGGUUAAGAGAAUUUGGUCUUGUUAUUAUCAUUUUUUCAAAAAAAAAAAGUGUAGGUAACUAGGUAGUUGAUUUAUUAGAAUUUAGAAAUGAGGAUCCCCUCCUCCUGCAAGAGCCGUGACAGACAUGCCUGCUUUCUUGCCAGAUUAUACCAAUGUGCCCAAAUAAUCCCCCAUCUAUCAUCUCUGCACCCUGGAACACGUCACUCCCUCCUUUGAGCAAUAAAAUAUCUCUUUUAUUUUCUUUUGAACCACUCUUCUAUUUCUUUGUACCAGACUGGACCCAUUUAAAUUCUUCGCUACGCUGUUCCCAAGGACUACGAGAAUCAAAAUAGCAAAAUUCUUGAAUCAUUUUAAUGGGUUCAGAAACCACAUGUUUCUCUAGAUCAUAAGAGGAAAAUCUUUUUGGAUGGUGUUUGUGUUGUGUUGUGUUCAAUAUUAAAUACUCAAUUAAAUAAGCUAAAUCAAAUAUCACAUGAAAAAUAAUCAAAUUAAAAAUAGGGAGAAUUAUGUUUUGAGGGUAGAUGGACCCCAAAUUAACAAAAGGUUCAUGUAACUCUUCAAAUUGAGCCCAGACCCAAUGAAAAUAUGGAAAUUGAGUUGAAGUAUAUCAUCAUUCAGUAUUUCCAAAAAUGUCCUUUGUUGAUUUUGAGAAAAAAAUUAAUAUUUUUGAAAAAUAUUUUUAUGUAAUUUAAUAUUUUUUUAAAUACUUUUAUUUAAUUUAAUAUUUUUAAAAAAUAAAUUUAUUUAAUUUAAUAUUUUAAAAAAUAUUUAAUUUAAUAUAUUUUUUAAAUACUUUAAUUUAAUUUAAUAUUUUUGAAAAAAAUUUUAAUUUAAUAUUUUUGAAAAAAAAAUUAUUUAAUUUAAUAUUUUUUAAAACUAUUUUUAUUUAAUUUAGUAUUUUUGAAAAAAAAUUAUUUAACUUAAUUUUAUAAAAUAUUUUAUAUGUGUUCUUAAAGGGUAUAUUUGUCCGUUACUAUUUCAUAUCCUUCAACUCAAUUUAAAGAGUUAUAUGGACCUUUUGUUAAUUUGGGGACCCAUCUACCCUCAAAAGAUAAUUCUCCCUUAAAAAUAUAAAUUUAAAUAUGACAUAAUUAUUAAAUAUGUUAGAUCUUGUAUGAGUUUAUAAGAUUUAUGUUUCAAAAUAACAUGUUUAUAAUUCAUCUAUUGAUUUAUAAUCAAAUUUUAAAUAAAUUAAAGUUAUUCAAGUUAAUAAAUAUGAUUUAUGUUAUAAAGACUAACUAAAAAAUAAUUUAUUAAUUAAACGGAUCCUGGUCAAUAAAAAUUUGAUUUAAAUACGAUCAUACUUAAUCAAAACUUAGGUCAAAUUGUAUUGAUAAAUUACAUCAAAACCUUGUUGUGUUCAAUAUUUUAUAUUAAACUAUUUUUUAAUAAAAUUAUUUUUAUAAAUAUAAUAUUACAUCAUUUGGAGAAACAAAAUAGUAUUAUAUUGAUUUUACAUAUAAAGCAACCAGUUAACCCCUCAUUAUUUUGAUCCAUUUCACAUCCAUAUCAUUCUCAUAAUUUUUUUAUAAUAUAUUAACAUGAUGGACGGUAAUUGAGGGUAGAAAAAAAAGAUGAGAAGAAUAAAAUAAUGUGAAUCCUCUCUAAAUGUUACAUCUUCUGACAAAUGAAGUCUAUAGAAAUGUGUAAAAAAAAAAAAAACACUUAAUUGUGAGGUUCACUUGAUUUAGCAAAAAAUUAAUAUUUUAUUUGUUGUGUGAUUUAAAAAUAAUAUUUUAUUUUUAAAAAUAAAAAAUUAUUUUUAAAGUUUUUUAACACUAUUUUACUAUUGUUCUUUGAAAUAAUUUUUAAAAUUAAAAUGAAAUAACUAAUAAUUUUUAGAUAAUAAAUUAAAGUUGUUUUUAUUAGAUUUUAAAAAUAAAAGAAAAAUAUAAAACCAUUUGAUCAAAUUUUUUUAAACUUAUUUUUAAAAGGUUUUUUUUUUUUUUUUUUUUUUUCUAUCCUAAGUUAAAAGAUAAAAAAUAAUUUUUAAAGAUAGGUUACGAGCAAAUGCCACAAACUUUUUUCUUCUCUUUCCCUUGUUCGGAUAGAAGUGAAAAAUAUCCUCCCAUGGAUCGACAUUACGUGAGCCAUCACCAUUCCCCAACUGCAAUUCAACCGCCAAAGCUGAGGUGUCAUUAUUAGUUUGAACAAAAGUCAGCAUUGUCCACGUGGUGACAAGCGGAACUGACCCAACUUGCAAGGCAAAAAAAUAAAUAAAAUAAAAUGAAAAAAUCAGAUCACCAUUAUGACGUCAGUCCAAUUGCUGACCUGGCCGCCGUCCCCCAUUUGACCCACGUGUUCAUUUAACCCAUUCGCCGUAUGCCGUGGCUCCCCACCCAUAUGGCCAUAUCUGCCAUUUAUUUUAUCCGUUGCCUCCAUUCGGUUUUUGGAUUUUACCCAUUCGCCCUCGUCUAUUCCCAUUUCCGUAUUUGCCCACCAAGGAAAUUCAAUUCCCAUGCUUUUGUUUUACAUUCAAAUCCUCCCCCCUCUAUAUAAAGGAGGGAGUAGGGCUUGAAAGUUUCUCAAGCCAACAUGGACUGUUGAGAGUGAAAGACAGAGGAGCCACAAACAAAUAUCACUCACUCAAACCAAAGCCAAAACCAAUACCGAAUUCAAUUCAAAUGACUUCUUUCUCUCUCAUCAAUUCCCUGAAUUCCGAUUCCGAUUUCAAUUUGUUAUCGGAUUCUUUUUCCUGGGAAAACUCCCUACCUUUCAAUGAAAACGACUCCCAGGAGAUGCUCCUCCUGGGCAUGCUGGCCAGCUCCACUCAGGAAACCUCAGAAACAGUUUCUUUGAAUCGAGUGAAGGAGGAAGAAGUGACUUCCCAGGAAAAUCCCGAGAAGGAGAAGUCAUACAGAGGCGUUAGGAGGCGGCCAUGGGGGAAAUUCGCAGCAGAAAUAAGGGACUCGACCAGGCAUGGCAUAAGGGUGUGGCUGGGAACAUUUGACAGUGCAGAGGCAGCUGCUCUGGCCUAUGAUCAAGCUGCUUUUGCGAUGCGGGGCCCUGCGGCAGUCCUCAAUUUCCCGGUGGAAAGAGUGAAGGAAUCGAUGCAGGAGAUCAAGUGCAUCUUGGAGGAGGGGGGCUCACCAGUGGUGGCCCUCAAGAAGAGGCACUCUAUGCGGAGAAAAAGUCCUUGCAAGAAACAUAAAAGUGAAGAGGUGAGGUUAGAAAAUGUGGUAGUGCUGGAGGAUUUGGGUACUGAAUACUUGGAACAGCUCCUCACUUUCUCUGAGACCUCUAGUCCUUGAUCAUCAUCAUCCAUCACCUGGAUAGCUUCUUCUCUUUGCUCUGUUUCUUACUUUUCUCUCUCUCUCUCUCUCUCUCUCUCUUUUUUUUUUAUGUAAUUUUUCUUAAUGUAUUUUUGGAGAUGGCGGGGGUGUAGUGGUGGCAAUUAUCCAUCUAGAAUUUUUCAAAAGAUAUGUUCUUUUGUUUCUUUGUAUAAAGUUGAAAAGUGGGGAUCAAUUGUGAUGGUGCUCUAUGUUCAUCCACCCAAUUUAUAUAAUCAAGGUGAUUAAUGUUUUUUGAUAUCAACAAUUUGUGAAUGACAUAGAGAGAGAGAGAGAGAGAGACCUUAUUUUCUACACUCAUUACGGUGGUUUCCAUUUGGGGAAGGAAAAGGAAAUGGCUAAGAAUGUUACCAAAAGAAGUGGGGUGGCUUUCAUAUGCGUGGUGGCAUACUUGCAUACAAACUUUUCAAUUGUGUUCUGCAUGCCACUCGGGUCAAUUUCAUUUCUUUUACUCCUAGUAGCCUAAUUGGAUUUCCUUUUUCUCAUGAGACAUCAAAUAAAUUUCAUUUUUUUAUAUUUAAAUAGUUAGGUAAGUUUGAUAGUGAGUUAUAUUUUAUACAUUAAUUCAUCUUUUAGAAUGUUGUCUACAAUAUAAACAGUGUAAUUAAUUUCAUCAUUACAGAACAGUCAUCUUAUAAAAUAACAUAAAAAUUAUUGGAUCACUUGUAUGGCACCACUGAUUUGGACUUGGUAUGGCUCUGUUUGGCUUCAUAGAAAAAAUUUGGACCCAAUUUGAAUGUCUUGCAUAAAAAGAGAUACGUCCCACUUUGAAUGAUAUUGAAGAAAAAAAUUUCUGAUGAAGAAUAUAUUGUUGGCAGGGUCAUGCAGGCCAAUAGGGAAACGAUAAAUUCAGAAGAAUGAGUCCAAACCAGUGGGCUUGAAAAUUAAGAAGAGAAUUGCUGUAUAAAACAAUCAUUUCUUAAUCGAGUUCACUUUCUGAAUAAUCGUCACUUUGAGAAUGCAUACUUAGGAAGAUGAUGAUCCUUAAUGGGAAUAAUCAAAGGCAUCAAAAAAUUGUUCUGGAACAAUUCUUGAUUGUCUCCAGUAAAAUUCAAAGUCAAAAGUCAAAAGUCCAGUCGGUCAACACCAAACCAGGCCAGUCCAAAAGACAUUAAUUUGCAAUCUAGAAUCUAUGAUGAGGUGGCGAAAUCAAACCUUGGCUUUUCACCAGGGAAUGGUACUCUGAAUUUGGUCAGUUCACUGUUUCGAGUGAAUAGGGUGUAGUAAUUAGUAAAUCAUAUUUUAGAUUUGUGUCACAAGUUACAAGGGAUAUGGGCUGACGUUCAAUUUUGGCGACAAUUUGUGGGCCCGUAUAUUUGUUGAGAUGUGGAAAUUGGGUGUGUGCUUUUUUCUGCUACCACAUAAAUAUAUUUCUUUGAAUUGAAGAGUGUUUCAGACCAUUUUUUUUCAAGUCACAAAUGGACAACUGAUUGAGAUUGUAUUGGUGAGAGUAGGAGUUUAUUUUGGGCUGGUUGAGCGAAGUUGAAAGUCGAGUUGGACCUAACCCUUGAAUUCAGCAGACUACAGUCCGAUCCUGUAUUUUGGAUUUAGGGAACCUUCUUUCCCAGAAGCUUCGUCUGGGUUUUAAAGUCUAAAUGUGGCUACUCUUAAACAUUGGAGAAAGGAUGAGCGUUCACAAGCAAAUGGGUAAUUGUGGAUGGUUCAAGGACCUGGCCAGCUGGUCUUCAAGUUUGGAUGCCGGUUUGGGCCUGAGAGAGUCUUUGCAAAGUGACUUCACUUCAGCCUAUGAGAUCAAGAUAUCAUGGUGAUGUCCGAUCACUUAGGUUUCAUUUUCACCUCGGAUUACCGUUACCAUGUUCAUGAAUAAAAAUAAAUAAAUAAAUGAAGCCUUAUAGAGAAAUUAAUGAAGUGAGCUAUACAAGCAACUGGGCCAGGAGCCUACAAGGCAGAAAUUCCCUGCCCUAGACUAGGCCGAAUAAAUUAGAUGAAUGAAUUGGGGAAACCUGGGCCAGCCACACAUCCUCCUGAAGGCUGAUGUCGAACUCGCUUACGAGGAAUGGACAUGGGAGAUUGGGCUGGGACCAAAUAACCAAUUGACAGCCCUAUCCUUGUGGCAAGACGUCAGUAAAAUGGUUCAUUCUGAUUUUACGCUGCCAUUCAAUUUAAUUUUAAUUUUUGUUUAAAGCGAUGUACAAAUUGAAUGGUGUCUAGUCACUUAAAGAGUGGUUCAUAAUACACUUAAUUUAAACAAAAAAGAAAUUAUUAGAUAGGGGAUUCUCCAAUAAAAACCACCCCAUCUUGUCAGCAAGUCCGGAAACUUCCUUCACUUAGGGCGUAUUUGUUUUUUUAACUUUAAUAUUAAAGAAAGUUGGUUAAACCUUAUGACACUUUUAUAUUAUUUUAUGAAUUUUUUUUAAUUUUUAUUUUAAUGGAAUUUUAACUUUAAUACAAGUUGGAGUAAUUCUUAUCUUAAAAACAAAUCAAAAUUACUUUAAUUUUAUAUAGAAAUAAACUUACAGUAAAUUUACCAUGAAAAUUUCUAAGUCAAAUACACCAUAAGUGCUAGUAUUUUAUAAUAUUUAGAAACAUGUUAAAUUAUUAUUAUUAUUUUUUAAAAUUAUUAGUUUUCAUAUUAGUUUUAGGGAAACUUGUGCUUUAGGUCUUUUAUUUGCAAAUAAUAUGGUUUUCAAAUCCUAAGAAUAGAAAAUAUGAGAAUCAACUGUUAAUGUGGAAAAUAAUAUCAAUUUUGUGCAAUCUCUAUUGACUCAUUUUUUUGUGCCUAGAUUGCCUUCACCCACUUCCAUGUCAACAACCACAUUAAUAGAUUGUUUUUUUUUUAUAAAACAAAUAAUUAUUAUGUUUAAAAUUUUGGGGAAACUCUCUAUCUCUCUUACUUCUUCACUACAUCCGAGACCCAUCUUCCUUAAACGUUUGCCUCUCAUUUUGCCCUAACCCCAAAUCUCAUAAAUUUCUCAUUUUCUUGCCUCAUUUGAAAUAUGAAGAUGACCGAUUCUCAAACAUCUCUGUCUCUCUCUUCACGUUUUGACCAGUCUAAUUGGAAACCCAUUUUCCAAAAACCUUCUUUCUUUCAUUUUGCCCUAACCCCACUAUCUCCCUCUUCAAGACCUAAUCACCCAAACUCGAUAUCUAUCUUCCCAAAACCUUCAAGCAAACUGAACUAGACCCAUAUCUUCUUUUUUCAUCAUCAAAGGUGAAAUUUUUUUAAGGCUUUUGGAAACCGAAUUGGAGCUUUCCCUUCUUCUGGGAUUAAUCAUUCGCAAGUGAGUUUUCCAUUUAAGGCUUUGUUUGGCUGUUGAAAUCUUGGGAUCAAAGGUCUUUUAUUUUCAGGUUUCUUGUAUUUUGCUUUAUUUUCUUGUAUAUAACAAUAAUCAUUGUAACAUAUGCUAGUAGUUACCCUUGGUGCAACUUUACAUUUCCAAAUACCCUAAAGUCCAAAGCUUUUAAUUCCCUUUUCAAAGCUUUCAACUUUGAAAGCAGACUAAACCAUAAGAACUAUGAAACUUAUAUCUCUAUCACCACUAAUUAAGCAUGUCUAUGAAUCCUUCCACUUUAAGUCACUUAUUCUCAAACCAAGAAGGGCUCCUCUCAUUCUCACCCCACCUCAUCUAAAUGAGGGAAAUGAUCAAUUGCAGCCAUGCUUUGCACCAAAUUAGAGAAGUGAUCCUCCCAAUCAUCCAUUACCAAAAAUUGAUCAUGCUGAUGAGAUCAUAAGAGUCUAUUCGGAACUCCCAGUUUACUUGCCUCUUAUCUCAGGAUCCUCCAUUACCCCCUGUCUUUCCAACAUCAAAUCAACUUGCAAACAAUUCCUUUGUAGAUAAAAUGUUUUUAAUAUUGCAAAAGGGGACUUAUCAUAAUGGUUGAAUCGAUUUAUUUGAUAUAAUCACUCAAAUUCAAGCUUAAAAUUGAUCAUAAUAAAAUGUUUUUAAUAUUGUUAAAAGGAGAUUAUAAUGGUUUUAUUUGAUAUCAUUACUAAAAUUCAAGCUUUCAAACAUGCUCUACAAAGAAGUUCUAAAAGACUACAAGAAAGAGUUUCCACUAAAGAAAAACAAUGAAACCAUUUCUACUAAAGACAAACAAUGAAACCACAGAUGCUUUGUGAAAUAUGUACCCGCACAAUCCAACAAACUUUAGAAAUUCACAAACACUACCUAGAAUUUUUGCUGACCAGCAAAAAAUUUAUGCAAUUUAAUUCUUAUUGUUAUUAUUAUUUUCAAUGUGAACAAAUAUGAUUGAAUUAUGAAGUAUUUGGCCAGAAGAGGAUCUUGCCUAAUUAUAGUCAUUAAACAACCAUUUAUACCAUAGCCUCUAGACUUUAAAAAGUUUAUAAAACUCAAGGGCUUCCACCCAAUUUCUAGAUAUCUCCAUAACAUUCUUCUGACUAUUAGAAAGCAAUUACCACUUUAAUUUUUCAUUUCAUGAGUGUUCAAUUCAGAAAAAGACCAGGAUCGAACUUGCGAUCAUGCAGUCGAAAAUCCACCUGUGCAUGAAACUAUUGCCUCACGAUUGCAAACUCAAGUUGGAGUCCAGUAACAACUCUAGGUUUGCUGAUGUGCUCCAUUUGAAAUAAAGGAACUAAAGAAUACUUUAUAAAGAUUAAUUACCUUCAUAUUUUAGGUUGGGGUUAAGGCAAAAUGUGAUAGAUUGAGAGGAAGAAAAUAUAUCUUGUUCAGGAAGCCAAUAUUUUGGAGUUCACCUUUCCAUUCGAGUCCACUCUGCUAUAGCAAAAUCAGAGUCACAACUAUGCCUCUUUAAGCUAUCCUUUAAUUGGAUGAAUUGCAGAUUUGGUUGCUGAGAAAGUGGAUAAGAAAGAAAAAUGCAUACUGUAGCUUGAGAUUAAGAGUUUGUUUUCUAAAAUGAGAGAAAGGGAAAGAGAAAAAAUGCAUAUUGUAGCUUGAGAUUAAGGGUUUGUUUUCUAAAAUGAGAGAAAGGGGAAGAGAAAUGUUCGACAACUUUGAGAUGACAAAUUUUUAGAUUUGGAAAAUUUGAGAUGAGUCUCAGGUUUUUUUUUUUUUUUUUUUGUCUUUGUCUUUGUUUUUUUUUUUUUUUUUUGUUUUUUUCCCAAAAACAACCUGUUAAUGUGGUUGUUGACAUAGAAGUGGGUGAGGGCAAAAUGGGCAUAGAAAAAAGAGUCAACACAAAGUGCACAAAACCCAUAUUAUUUUCCACAUUAAUGACUGAUUCUCAUAUUUCUUGUUCUUGGGAUUUGAAAACCAUAUUAUUUGCAAAUGGACCUCCCAAAGCACAGGUUUCCCUUAGUUUUAUGUCUCCAUCUACAUUUUACAUAUAAAUAGAUUAUUUUAUAAAAUUUGUUUUGUAGAUAUAUUAGUUAAUAAUUAUAUAAUUAAUGAUAUAGAAAACAUAUAAAAAUCAUAUUUAAAAAAGAUAAUUACAUAUUCCUCAACAAUCCAUCCCAAGAAUUCGAGGUUGAGUUGAAAACAUGUAGAGUCUUUGAUGUUAUUAUAAUCAUAUCCAACACAUAUGAUUAUUGUUUAUGAGAUAUUAUUAGAAAGUUUGUCUUAAAAUAAUUGAUUUAUUACCCACCUUUAGCAAAUGCCCAUUUUUGCGUCUUUCAAAAUUUUCAUUUUUUUUUUGUUUAAAAGAAGUAUUGUAAAGAAUGAUGAAAUAAGAAAUUUGUUGAGAAAGUGUGAGUAAAUAAUUUUACAUAAAAAGAGAUUUAAUACUUGAUAAAUAAAAUAAUAAAAUCAUGAUUUCUAGUUGUAUAGGGCCGGGUGGAUGGAGUGGCUAAGAUGUAAUUCUUGAAAUAGAGGAGACAACAUCAAUGUAUAAAAGUUUAACAGAGAAGGAAAGUGUGUUUGAAUGACUUUAUUUUCUUCAUUUAAAGUUUUGACGAUGAGUGUUUAUACAAGAUAAAUUUUCAAAUGAUAGGACUCCUAUUUACAUGGAGUUUGUGAUAUACUAUGAUUAUACAAAUUUAAAAUUCAAACAGAUUCAUGAGUUGAUAGGAGUCUGCUCAAUACGCCCCUUCAAAAUGGUGGGAGAUAGCACACCAAUCUUGACUCGAAGGGCCUAAACUCGUGCAGAAGAUGAGGGCUUUGUUAGAGCAUCGACAAGUUGAUCCGUGGUUGACAUAUGGGACACCUUGAGCUCACCUGAUUAAACCUUGUUUCAAACAAAAUGAAAAUCAAUCGCCGAUGUGUUUCAUGGAGAGUGAAACAUGGGAUUUGCACAAAGAUAUGUUGCACCCACGUUAUCACAAGAGAUAGGAGGUGGUGAUAAAUUUGAAACACUAAGUUUUGAGAGAAGAGAAUUAACCCAAAGAACCUUUGAGGCUGUAGAGGCCACGACGUGAUAUUUCGCUUCAGUGGAAGAGCGUGCUAUGAACUUUUGUUUCCUCGAUGACCAAUACACAAGAUUGUGACCAAGAAAAACAAUGGGAGCAUUGGUGGAGGAUCUGACAUAAGGAUUCCUUGCCCAUUCAACAUUCGAAUAUGCAUGUAGAUUGAUGGGCGAUUUCUUAUGCAAGAACAGACCAUGCACCAUUGUGCCGACUAAGUAUCUAAGCAAUCUUUUAACACAAGACCAAUGUGUUGAUGUUGGAUGGUGCAUAAAUUGAGAUAAUUUAUUCAUCAAGAAGGUGAUGUCAGGGCUAGUAAGAGAGAAGUAUUGAAGGCUUCCAACAAUUGACAUAUAUUUAGUGGGACCAGGAAAAGAGGUGUCAUCACACAGAUUUGGAACAUUGUUGAGGAACAUCAAUGAUUGAACUGGUUUGGUAGCCACCAUUUGUGUUUUCUUAAGAAGCUCUCGAAUGUACUUGAGAUAAAAAUAAUCCUUUGGAAGUAUGUAUCAUUUCAACACCAAGAAUAAAAGAUGAAGUCCUGAGAUCCUUAAUGGAGAAUUUGACUGCUAAUUGAGAGAUCACGCGAGCACGAAAAACAUUAUUGUUACUUGUUAAAAUAAGAUCAUCAAUAUAAAUAAGUAGGUAAACAAUGAGACCACUCUUUUUAAAAAUGAAGAGGGAUGUCUCGGUUUAGGAGUUGACGAAGGCUAUUGAGAGGAGAAAUUGGCAAAGUUCAUGAUACCAUGAUCGUGGAGCUUGUUUAAAGCCAUAAAAAGCCUUACAAAGUUGGCAAAUGUGAUGAUGUGUGUAUUCGUGAACCCAGGAGGUUGAAUCAUGUAAACAUCUUCAUGAAGUGUCCUAUGCUAGAAUGCAUUAUUAAUGUCCAAUUCAUGAGUUGAUAGGAGUCUGCUCAAUACAAUGUGGGAGUGUGAUUUCAAAAUUAGGGUAAUUUCGAAAUGGAUUUUGUAUUCACAAGUUGAAUUUCAAAAUUAUUUUGAAAUGGUCUUUUAACUUUAAGCAGUUGUGUUCAAAAGGUCAUAACUUCUUCGUUUCAAUUUUGAUUUACACAUUGUUUAAAACAUUGGACUCUUUACUUCCCGAGCUUCAAAACGAUAUAUAGUAUGCUCAAAAAUGACAUCAGGAUUGGUUCAAAUUUCAUCUUGAUAUUAGAGUACAUGUUGUGAUUAGAUUUUGAGUUCCAAAUUUCCAUGUAAACUUGAUUGCAUUUGCUUCAAACCUCCUUCAUUAUGGUUGCUUGCCCUCUAUCUCACUUUGCAACAUUUGUUACUAGUAUUUUAUGUCCAUGACUUACUCAUUUCAACCUUUCUUGGAUUCUUCAUGGUUCACAAAUUAUGGAUUCUUCAUGGUUCACAAAUUGAGUCUUUCAAUUAUGCAUGUUUAACUCCUAUUUCCUUGGUUGAUAAUGACUUUUACACUUAUCAUUUUCUUUUAUUCUUUAAACCUGAAUUUAGACUUACAAAAAAAAGUUAGAUCCAUAACUAGGGUCUUAGCAUCAAUUUGAGUUAAGUUGGAUGAUUUGAAAAUUUUAUAUUACAUAAAUCAUAUCAUACAUGUGCCAUUGGAGUGCACAUUUUGGCUCUAAUCAUGUUCCAACCCAUUGUUUUACUCUUGCAUGAAGUAUGUGGCCAUUGAUUUUAAUUUUAUUUGCGAUUAGGUUCAAAAUGGUGCUUUUGUGUUGCUCAUGUGUCAUCAGAAGAUCAACUAAUGGAUUCUCUAACAAAACUACUACAUCAUAGUCAUUUUUUUUUUUCUUAAGACCAAGAUUGAGAUCUCCAAUCGGAGCCAACUCCAUCUUGGGGGCAUGUUAGUGAAAGAUAAAAUUUAUCUUUAAUUUAAAUAUUAAUAUUUAUCAGUUAUUAGUUUUAAUUAGAGUAAAAGAUAGAGUUUAAAUUGGAGUAGGAGAUAAACUUGUGUUUGAACUAGAAUAGAAGAUAAAGUAUAAAGAUUUAUGUUUGAAUUAGAAUAAAAUAUAAAGUUUGAAUUAGAGUAGAAGAUAAACUUGUUCUUUAUUUGUAUAUAAAUAUUCAUCAAUUCUUGAGAAGAAGAUUAUUUCAUAGUUUUUCUAUCUUCUUUUUUCUUCAUACAUAUCUGCAAGAAAUUGAAGAUUUCAAGUAAAAUAUUUUCUGUUUUAAAUAGUGAAAAAAGCUAGAAAUUCACUUUGUUAUCUCUUGGGGUAAAUUGACAAGGUUUAACGUUAAGAAGGUGAAUUAUUUUUUCAGAAAAACUGAAGUAGCUAGGAUAUCUGGCCAGUUGUGAUCGAUAAAAAAGUUGUAAAAUCUCUCAUAUACUAAACAGGUUUUGGAUGUUGGUAUGGUAAAUCCAUCUGCAGUCAUUCGUCAUCUCAUCUAGUGAGAUGUUUGGGAGGUGGUGACCGCCGGAUUGGGUUUCAUUUGGUUAAAUCUGUCAGUGGGUUGGCUACUACCCGAGCCUCUUGCUUUGGGGGAGGUGGGUUCUAGAUAUAAUGUUCAAACCAUUUUAGUUAUCAUAUGCAUGACAUGUAAGCAUAAUCUCUUUAUCACUUCUUCAAUGGGAGUUCAUGGUUAGGAAUUGACUUCUUUUCUUCUGGGAUGCUUGGCAUGUAAUGGACAAAGUUACUUUUAUAUCGAUCGAAUUUCUAGUAUUAUAGUGAAGACUUACCCUUUUGACAUUUUAUAUCGAAUUAUAGAAGAUGAAAGGGACAUACAUGCAAUCGACUGACGCUUUAGUGAAUAUGCUGAAAAUAUGCUGAUGCUGUGGAGAUCGUAUGAGGACAGAGGAAAAAGAUAGAAAUGGAUAUAUAAUUAGACCUAGGUUUUUAUUAAAUGAGAUGGGGAACAUAGAGUGAGGGAAAAUCAAAAUUUUUGGCUGCAGUUCACAUUGGUGAUAUUUUGGAUUGACAAAGACUAACGACUUUUCUAUUUUUCUUUUCGGCCUGACUGGAUAGUUGGACAUGGACAAUACAGAAUCCACAGAAGGAUUGUUGGGACCGCUGAAAAUUAGCUAGAAGAAGCUGAGGAAGUAGUCUACGUAGUCAAAUACCAAACACAAAGAAAGAAAGAAAUGGAUAUCAUGGAUGCCUAGAGUUAUACUCCUAAUACCGUCACAGGUAUUUUUCUUUCCUCCUUUUUUUUUCUACGAUAAUUAGAGCAUUUCUCCUCCUCCUCCUCCUCCUCCCCCCACCCCACCACCAAAAAAUAAAAAAAUAAAUUAUUGCAAGUAACACUUCAAAUAUUAAUUUAUACAUUCUAAAGUAUAUAUUCAUGAAAUAACUUGAGUAUCAUACAUUAGUUCUCAAAAAAAAAAAAAAAAAAAAAAAAAAAUUACUGGAAGAGAAAAGUUUAAGAAAACAUAAAAAUAUUCAACUACUAUUUUAAAGAGAAAAUUUAAUUUUUACACUAUAAAUUUGAAGAGAACUUUUACAUGCAUCUUAUAUAAACUACCAUUUUUUGCUAAAAGGCUUAAAUUUGUCAAAAAUACCCCUUAGGUGCUUAACGUUCUGGUCAUAAUAUAAUUGGCAUCUUUUCUCAAACAUAAGGCCUGUGUGUGGGAACAAGAUUUAAUGUUAAUGAGCUUCGCCACCGACAUUUAGUUCCAGAAAUCAUUAUUUUAAUAGAGUGGGCUCAAUUUACAACUUUAAUUAAACUCUAACCAACUGCAUUGUGAAAUGAAUAUGUUUCUUUCGUGGUGAAUCCAAUGAGUUGGGAGUCAAACUUUGCUUCAUUGUGUAUAGAUGAAAUGUUAAGACUCCAUGUAACCUCAAACAUUUCCGCAAUNNNNNNNNNNNNNNNNNNNNNNNNNNNNNNNNNNNNNNNNNNNNNNNNNNNNNNNNNNNNNNNNNNNNNNNNNNNNNNNNNNNNNNNNNNNNNNNNNNNNUUCUUUCGUGGUGAAUCCAAUGAGUUGGAGUCAAACUUGCUUCAUUGUGUAUAGAUGAAAUGUUAAGACUCCAUGUAACUCAAACAUUUCCGCAAUGAGCGGGAGUUCUAAAUUUAAUAAUUGAAAUUGUCAGUGGAACCAGUGGACAAGAGUUGGUUUGUGGUUGACAAACUUAUCCGUUUGAUCUUUACUUGAACAGUUCCAGUGUGUGGAUGGGUACUGAUGAAGUGUGCGCAUUUAUUUUGAGAAGCCUGCUUGUUCGCAUAGAUUUUAACGACAUGAACAUUGUGGUAAGGUUAGAGAGUAAUGCGAAUGUAGGAGCUUAUAUUAGAAAUGACACAAACACGUAAAUAGAAGUAAUCUAUAUAUGAUAUUACUCAUGGACUACAAGCAAAGAAGUACAAUACAUGGAGUAAGUGAUGAAAUGAGCAUUCCUCACUACUACUGCUUGACUGAUGGAACAUGAUGCACGAGAUAGCAUAAGUAGUAGUAGGAAGCAGCUCUUAUUUGUGGCGUCGGUAUACAUCAUACUAGGUAGAUGGUUCAAUUGGCAUGGAUGGGUGGUGGAGCCUUGAAGUGCUUGUGAUGGGGAGCCCACGGCUUCUUCUCAGGAGUUGGUGGCUUCUUGUAUGGAGUUGAUGGAGGUGUUUCUACUGGAGGGUGGCCAGGGUAGUGACCCUGGGGUGGUGAAGGUUCUUUUGUCGGUGGUGGCCUCACUAUUAUUGGCGGUAGAGUUGGUGGCUUGGGCGUUGGCGGUGGUCUCACUACUCUUGGGGGUAGAGUUGGUGUCUUGUGUUUUGGUGGUGGAGGUGGCUUAACAGGAGUUGGUGGCUUGUAUUCUGGGGGUGGUUUCUCCACCGGAGGUGGCUUAUAAACUGGAGUUGGUGGCUUGUAUUCUGGGGGUGGCUUCUCCACUGGUGGUGGCCUGUAAACAGGGGUUGGUGGCUUAUAUUCUGGGGGAGGCUUCUCCACUGGAGGCGACUUAUAAACAGGGGUUGGUGGCUUGUAUUCCGGGGGUGGCUUCUCUACGGGAGGUGGCCUGUAAACAGGGGUUGGUGGCUUCUCCACCGGAGGUGGCUUAUAAACGGGGGUUGGUGGCUUGUAUUCUGGGGGUGGUUUCCCCAGUGGUGGAGACUUGUAAACAGGAAGAGGUGGUUUGUGCUCAUAUGGGGGUGGCUUGUGGUCAUUAGCAAGUGAGGGAGUGGUGAGGACCACCAAUCCAAGGAACAACACGAGUGAGCAAGCAGAAGACAUGUUUGGGCUCUGGUGAUGCACAAGUAGAAGAAAUGGGAACCAUUUAUAAUGCUUCGAGACCUUGGUUAGCACCAAAAUAUGUCAAAAUCUUGAUUACUUCAUUUCAUACAUAGAUUUAAAAUUAUUUCAAUCAACCAUGAUCCUUAAUUUUCUGGGUGGUCCAUAAAUGUAAUGGGGUCAAUUUGGGACCUAACAAGCUGAGAAGUUUGACAAUGCUGCAAGGCUUCAUCCGAAAGUCCGGGGAAGAAUAUUAGGAGUUACACUCCGUUUCCUUUUUUGGGUGCAUUUUUCUCCUUUAACAUUCUAUUCCCUUUUACAUUAGCAUUUGAUCUUAGCUCAUUUCAAGUACAAGUUUCUUGAACCCUAUACCAUUGUCAAAGUUGAGUAACCAUCUCUACUUUGCUCAAGAAACAUAAAAGACAAUGACAAUAAAGAAAAAGGAGAGAGACCAUACGUGACUUGGUUUAUAGGUGGCUUUGUGUUGACAUUUGAGUAUGGAAGCCGACAUGCAUCUUAGCUUCGAUUUUAAUUAAAUUUGUACAUUAGUGUCUGUGUCAUUCAUUUUGGUAUAAAAGGUCUCUUGAUUUCGUAAGUUUGGUAAGAACCGUUGAAAAUAGCAGUAGCAGCACAUGGUCCACUUUCUUUCACAAAAUAAUUUUAAAAGUUUAGAAGCAUAGGAGGUAACAUUAGUGGCCUUGUGGCUCAGCCACGAGUACUAUGUGGUGCUCGAGAAAUUGAGUUUAAUUUCCUUCCGAUAGUUCAUGAUAAGGUCCGUCACUGUCCUGAGACAGAUUGCGUUUUUUCUUUUUUCCUUUUUUAGUGUUUUAUUGACUAGCUAGGUGUGACUUUUCCUACUUUAAGGCACGAGGCAGAAAAGAAACUGGGAUUUAGUGCUUAAGAAGGCAAAUUUAAUUCGAUUUGGAUCUAAAAUUUGCCAGCAACAUGAGAUUUUCCAGCCUAUCGUUGCUCCACAUAUAGACAAGGCACUUGUAGAAGUGGCUUGUUUGUAGCCAUUCCCGAUAUUUGGACUCACUUGAUUCACCGGACACUUUGAUAAAAUUUAAUAUUUAUUAUUUAAUAAUUUAAAUUGAUUUAAAAUUAAAUUAUACCGAAGUUGUGAUUUAAAAAUUAUUAUUUAAUUCUUACUUUUAAAUAUGAAGAUUAUUUGAUAAAAAUAAUUUAAAAUUUAUUAUAAAUUAUCAAAUUAACAUAUUUAUCCUUAUAAAUUAUAAUUAAAACAGAAAAGGUCAAAUGAUUUGAGUAUCCAUAGAUGUGGUAAAAUAAUAAAAAAGAUUAUAAAAACAAUUAUGAUAAAUAAAGAUAAAAAGUAAAAUGAAUAUGUGAAUUUAAAGAAUAAAUUAAUUAUUUUUAUUUAUUACUUAAAAUUAUUUUUGACUUUAAAUUAUAUUAUUAAAUUAUUUUACCAAACAUACUUAAUUUAGUUAAUAAUUUAAAUUUAAUUUAAGUUAUUAAAUUGAUUCACCAAAUACCCACUUAAUCAAAGACUGAAGUAUACAUUAUUUGGCCAAAUGCAGCUAUUGAAAUUUAACUUUUUCCAAACUUAUUCAUUUUGUGGAAAUAUUUUUAGAAAUGAUUUUAAAAAUGCACUAUUCUGUGUGUUGAUUUUAUAUUUUGGCAUUAAUCCAACAUAGAAAACGGUUCUUAUUUUCGCUGUUAAAUAGGUACCAGAUCCUUAAUUAGUGCCGUGAAUCCGGCAGCUUCCAAUGAGUAAUUUGGACUUGGGUAUUGACAAUGUGUGGCCAUGCUUCUACUAUUUUAUUAUUCUUGAAACAUAUAUGAUAUAUUGGACUUUAUACAGGGAAAAAAAAAAAAAAAAGUCUUCACCAAAAAUGAUUCCUCCUAAAAAAUAGACUCCACAAACUAGGUUUAACAGGAAAAUGAUUCUAAUCUAGUAGUUUCCAGCCACAUGAGCAUUUACGUAACAAUAGUAUAGUUGAUAACGACUUUUAUUUUAUUUAUUUUUAAAUAGUUAAAGGGAUAAUUUUUGAGCUUAAAUUUUAUUUUUUUAUUUAGAAACAUUUUACUUUAUUUUUUAAUCAUAAUUCUAUUAUAUUAAUGUUUUAUUUUCUAUUUUUUAAUAUAUAAGGAGAUACUAAAUUUAUGUGAUUAUUUUUUAAAAAUUUAGUAUAUGAAAUUAAAUAAUUGGAUAUAUAUACAUAUAUCAUAUAAUGUUUUUUAAGUGUGAUUUUUGAACUUUUUAGUCAUUUUAUAAGUUUAAGCUUUUGAUUUUUUUUUUUAAACUUUGGUAUUUUUUAUUUUAUAUAAAACUAUUUUGAUUUAAUUUUAUUAAAAAAUAUUGGUAUUAUAAAUUAUUGUAUUAAUUAUUUUUUUAUAUUAUAAUGUAACUGGUAUAUACUAAAAAAUGUAUGCAAGUUCAAUUUAAGUUUCAAAUUAAAAAAUUUCAUUUAAAUAUUUAAUAACUUGUUCAUAAUAAAAAAUUAAACAACAUAAUACAAAUGAAAAGAAACAUAAAAGAAAAAGGAAAAAAUGGUCCUCUCUGUGUGUCACAUUACUAGGUCAUCCUCUUUUUCUAUGACCCUUACAAUAGAAUGGCAUAUUUGUCAAAUCUACUUAUGAAAGUUGGAAUGUUUCUACAUGUGUAGGGUCCAUUGGAACUAAUGGAGGAAAGGCUUAACGUCUAUGUAAAUCACAACGUUGCCUAGGUGGGCAUAGAUCUAGUUGUGUAACAUGAGAUGGUGUGAGAGUACAAUAUAUGCAUUGUAGUCUCUAUGGGAAGAGAGAUAGGUAAUGGUAGGGUGGUAGACGGUAGGGUGAUCUCUAAUAUAAUGACAUUUGAUGUGGUGGCUUCUAAGAGAGGAGAUAUAAGAGAUGGUAGAAUGACAUUUGGUGUAAUGGUCUCUAGUGCAAUGACAUGUGAUAUGGUGACCUAUAAAGAAGAGAUAUAGGUGAUGGUGAAGUGGUAUGUGGUGUAGUGACCUUUGAGAUAGAAAAUAGAGGUAAUGGUAGGUUGGCAGGUGGAGUGGUCUUUGGUGUAGUGACAUCAAUUAUAAAUGUCUCCAAGGGAGGAAAUAAAGGUGAUGGUAGGUAGUAAAUGUUGAGGUGGUCUUUGAUAUGUUAUGCUCUAAGAGAGAAGGUAUAGGUAAUGAUAAUAGGGAAUUUGACAUAGUGGUGUUGGAAAUAAAAAGUGAAAGUGACCGUAGAGGUGAAAGGGCAAGUGUAAAAGCCUCAAGUACGAAUGGAGUAAUUAAUGUGGAUGGUGCUAACAUAGUCUUAGGUGGAUACACAAAUAGUCAUAGUCAUCAACUAGCUUGCCCACCAUCUGUCUUUCUGCUAGUGAUAGGUUACAUCUUAAUAGUAAUGGCCAACAUAAGUGGUGUGGAUCCGAUUUUUUUACGUGUGUCCCCACUCAAUCGACAAGACUUAUUUUUUAUUAGUGAAAAAUUAAUUUUGGAAAAGUUGGAGUCACCACUUAUUUUAUUUUAUUUUAAAAAGGAAAGUAAAACAAGAAAGAGAACUCUAAAGAAGUGACUUCAUAGUUUUGGAAAAGUUAGUCUUAAAAAAUCCAAGUCUUGGUCCGGAGAUCAGGUUACUUAUUGGGAAGAUACCUCUAAGAGGUAAUACCCCUCUAAACCCUAAAGAAGUCUCUAAUGACUAAGUUGAGGAGAAUGUGGUAAUUAAUUAAUUGAUUGAGGGUACCUAGGUAGACUAAGGUGAUUUCAGAAUUAACAUACCAAGCUAGAAAGUCCAAUCAUGAUCAUAAAAGAGAGUCAAAGUAUGUACCUGAACUGCUUCUCAAACGCUAUCAUAAAACAUCAAAGUUAGUAUAGAAAUAUAACACAUAAUAUUUGUUUUAUCCAAGCAAAUAAAGCAUACAUCUAAGCACCCAAGAAUCACAUCAAGUAUGGAUAUAGUCAUCAAUAGCAUACGUGUCCAUAGAACUAUCGAAAGUAAAUGUGGAGGAGCGUAUCUGGACAACAUAGAUAACUUAUAAUGUGCUUCCACAAGACAUGGGGGUUAGAUAAAAGUUAUAAUAAUAAUUAGUAAAUGAAAGAAUUCUAGCAUGUUUGGUAUCUAAAUAACAUAGCAAAAAUGAACAAGAGUACACGAAAACAUCAAUUAUCACACGAGUCAUAUUGGCUAGUAUUUAAUCAAUAAACCAACAAUAAAUGACUAUAAACAUAUAAAAUGACAUAUUCAAAGAGACCCAAACAUAAAGAGCCUAGAACACAAGCUUACACUAAAUUUAGAAAACUAAAACAUGGAAUUUUAAAAGCAUAAAUUAGCAAACAAAUUGAUGGAAACUAAAUUUAGAUAACUUAAGAAUAUUUUUCUUAUCCUUCAAUUUAAAUCAGUAAGCCAACAAUAAAAAAUUAUAGAAACAUGGAAUAUCAAGAUCAAUGGGAUACCUAAACUAUAAUUUUUAAAAGAAAAUAAACUAAGCAUAAUAUCUACAAAGCAACUAAACUAACAUUUUUUUAAAAAUAAAUUAAACAUGACAUUAAUGGAGUAACCAAACUAAAUUAAAGUAAACUAAAAACAUUUAUGAAUUUUCAAACAUGGAAUCAGCUUUCUUAGUAAAUUAAAAUUAUUAAAAUAAAAUCUAAGCUUAAAAAUGAAUUAAAUACUAACUAAAGCAAAUCUAAAACCAAAUAUUUAACACAUAGGAUCAAUUAUAUUAACAAACUAAAAUUUUAUAAGAACACUUAAACCUAAAGUUGAAUUAAAAACUAACCAAUUUUUAAAACUAGAUCUUUAACCCAUAGGAUCAAUUAUAUUAACAAAUAAAUAAUAAAUAAUAAAUAAAUAAAACUCAAACCUAAAGAUGAACUAGAAAUGUACCAAAGUAAAUUCAAAACAAGAUCUUUAACACAUUAGAUCAAUUAUAUUGACUAACUAAAAAAAAAAAAAAAAAACACUCAAACCUGAAACGAUGUAUUAGAAACUAACCAAAGCAAAUUUAAAAUAGAGUCUUUAACACAUAGGAUCAAUUAUAAUCACUAACUUAAAUUACAAUUUUUGAAACAUGAACUAAUUAGUGUUGGAUUAAUUAAACUAAUUAACUAAAAAAAACUAUAAACUAGAAUACGGUGAAUCAAGAAUUCAAAUCAACAAACAUAAAAUAUGGGUACAAUGAAAUGAAAAUCUAUUAAACUAAUAAGACGGAAAUAUGACAAACUCAUGAACCCACAUUUUGAUCAACUAGGAAAUAGAAAUUAAUAGACCUGUAGCAUGGAUACAAUGAAAUGAGAUCAGUUAAAUUUAUUUGCCGAAAUUCUAAAAAACACAUACACUCAAAUAAGAUCUAAAUCUAAGACCAAGCAAAACUCAAACUUUCUCAAUCUAAUGCAAUGAAUCAAAACUAAAAUUAAAUAGAAAUCAAACCAUUUUUUUUUUAUCUAAUAUAAUAAAUCAAAGCUAAAACUAAACAAAAUCGAAUUUUCUUAAUUUAAUAUGAUGAGUCAAAGCUAAAAUUGAACAAAGUUCAAACCUUUAUAUAAUGGAUCAAAGUUAAAUCUAAAUGAAAUCCAUACUUCCACAAUUUGAUAUAACAAAUCAAAAAUAAAACUAGAUAAAAAAAAAGUCAAAGCCUUUCAACUUGACAUAGUGAAUCCAAACUGAAACGAAACAAAAUUUUAACUUUUCCAAUGAAACCCAAUAUAGAAAAAAUUAGCUUACCUUCUUUAGAAUAUAUGUAUGGGCCAUAAAGAAGUCACCUUGGUGCAUGUGUUCCUCACUUUGACGCCAAUGGACGACUUUCUAUGGUAGCAAAUGGAGAUCCUUUUUGGUGGUAACUUGCGUGUGGAAACCUAUGGUACAACCAAUGUCAUCUUUUAUUGUGCGUGUGGACCAAUUUCUUCUCGAGAACUCAUGUGUGUUGUGCUCAAAAUAUGUUGCCUGUGAGAAUCUAUUGGUAUACCCCACAUAUGGUUUCCUUGAGAGAAUCUGUGGUUGUGUGUGGGCGUUUUCUUCAUGACAGCAUGUGGAUGUUCCCAUCUAUGGUAGAUUGGUUGUGAUGCUUUAGUGCAUGGUCUCCAUAGGAAUAGUGUGUUAUGGAAAUUUGGUUUUUUUAUUGGUGCAUGUUGUCUAGACUUUCCCAUAUGCGUGGACUGUGUGUUCAUGCUUUUCUUUUCGGAUGGUCGCCUGUGUUAAUGUGUGGCGGUGUCUACAAUGAAAGAUACAACCCUUUCUCUCCUUCUGCGUGAUAGAAAAGUCAAUCCCCCAUGGUGCGACUAUGUUCCCUCGUCCUUUUUGAAAAAUUUUGGUGUUUUCCCCCCAAAAAAUCCCCUCCAAAAAUCUAAUUAUAAAUGUCUGCUUUGGCCUAAUGUGUGUGCUACUUUUUUUUUCCUUCUUUUUAUGGUUGUGCGUGCUUUUCUUGAUACGUGGCUUAUUUCUUAAGGAUAUGAUUCGCUCCCAAUUGGUGUCUCAGCUGAUUCAUGUCCUUUCAAUGGUCCCUGACAGUGGUGCCAUUUGAUUCGUGUCCAGCUGGUGUCCCUUGAUUGUGGUCCUCAGAAGGGAGUAAUCAAUAAAAUUUAUAACCUAUUACACCAUGUAUUAGGAUAGCCUUAGCUAGCAUAGCAUAGUGGCUCUAGGGUCGUUUAUUGGGAUGAGUUUUCACUUCACAAUUGAUAUUAAUUCAAGAGCUGAAUUGGUGCCUUUUCAUUUCAAGGUUAGCUUUAAAAGAAAACAUAAUCUUUGGUGGAAAAAGGUUUGGUUUUAAACUAACCAAAAAUAGUAACUGAUUUUACUUACAAAGAAAAGUGUUCUUUGGAGUUUAGAUCACUAGGCUCAGGUUCCUCAUACAAAAAGGAGAGUUCCGAUCAUUUGUUUCUUUUCCUCGCAUUAGAGAAUUAACAUAUAGUUAAUUCUCUAACCGGUGCGGUACAUAUGCUUCCCAUUAAUGGGUUCAAACACUAAAUACCUCUCACUGAUGCACCUUGCAAUGGCUCGUGCCUCUCACCUAGCAUUUAUCAUUCAAGGUGAUCUUUAACCUUGGAUUACCCAUCAAAAGCUCGCAAGAGAUAACUAAAGGAUGUCUCCUUAGAGUCCAAAAGCUUACCAAGUGUUGGUUAUUCUAGAAAAUCCUACCUUCAAACCACCUCCCAAAGGCUCGCAAGAGAUAAACAAGUGCAUCUCAAUGGAUGAAGAUCACUUGCCUUACCAAGUUUUGGCCCAGAUGAUUUAAUGACAUUUUAAGUUAACUAAAAAGAUAAAAACCAUUAACGGGUCACACUUUCUCUUCAUUAAAAACUAAAACAACAAAACUUCCAAUUUAUGCAUGAGGAAACUUACCUGGCUUUCUUCACUUCAAGAGAUGAAGAGCCUAGCCACUCAUCAUUUGAGGAAAAAUCCUCAGAGUUUGAUUUGCUAGAAAUAAAAAUAAUGAGAAAACAAAAAUAUAUAUAUGAAAAACAGAGCAAGUUCUCUGUAAUAUAUUUUUCUUCCUUAUACAAAAGGUUGUCUCUAAGAACAAGUUCCCGAGAUCUAUCUGAUUGUAAAUAAAAUUACAACUAUAUAUAAGAGGUUAUUCACCCCUUUGUUCUUUCUUAAAGACUAAGGAAUCCUAUGAUAGGUGGGUUACAAGGAGAGUUUGGGGAUUUAGACAUCAAAUAUCUAAAGCAAAAUAUCUCAAGAUGUUAGUCGGAAAUAUCAGGAAGCUUCAGGAGAACACCGCGACACUGUAUACUGAGAGAAAAACUCUCCGGGUAAGCUCUAUCAAAGGAUCCAGACAUGUCUGACUGGGAAAGUUGAAACGUCCUUCUCUCCCAUCCGGAUGUGAGAUAUCCGGAGAAAGUGAAAUGUCGGUCGGACAGAAUUCUUUCCCCGGGUGGAAUGAGUUGUGUUGCGCGUCGCAAGGGGGACCGUCUGCGUGUACAAGUUGUAGGGACCCCUCUCCCGGAUGACACCGAGCGCGUAAGGCUAUCCGGAUCAACUCCAUUCGGAUUCCCCAAGAGGACAUGUGGCGUGCUCCCCUAUCAGGACUCCCUUAGGGAGAAGCACACGACACUCGUGAACAUCAUACCCGGACGAUAGCAUGUCCUAUCCGGAUGUGUUGUCCGGAUCAUUGACUAAAGUGAGCAAGCCUUGCUACGUCAUUCGGACAGCUUGCCACAUACCAUGUUCCGUCGCCAUCUGAUGGUGUGUCCGAACGCCUUGUCCGGACAUCUUUUGCUCCUUGCAUUCCGGAUUUGCUUAUGACAAAGGACUUCAAAGCUUCGGUUCUUCAUGUUUCUGAGCUUUCCAUUGCUUUGCCAUGGAUUCCAAAGAACUCUCCUUAAUCACGGAUUGCUUUGGUGAUCAAAAAGUUAUCAAAACACAAAAACUUAACAUAGUUUGAUUAGAAUUGAUUGCAAGGGUUCUUAAUAUGUUAAUUGGGUUAAAAGGUGAUAACUACUACUCAAAAGUGUUUAUAAGAAUUAAUUACAAGCUAUGAAAUAACACUUUUUGAGUAGUAAUCAGGAUACAUCCUAGUUUUUCAUGGAAUUGAUAGUGGGUUGUUGUGCAUGAAUGCCACCAUUUCAACUAUGCUGUUGUUAUUUUUAAAAAAAAUAUGGAUUAUGCGCGAGUGGCAAUUCUCCACUAUGGAAAGUGGAUUGCUCCUUCAACCCAUGCAUGGCUACGUAUUCCUAUGUCUUUCUACUUGUGUUUGAUCCUCCAAAAAAAAUUUCGGUUUAGUGCUAGUAGAUUUUAAGUGGUGGAUCCCCAUUUUUUGAAAAUGAAGUGGCAGCCUCCCAUUUCAAGACAAAAUGGUAGCCUGCCUUUAAUCUUUGGAGAAAAAUCUGUGCAUGACCUUUUUUUUUCCCAAAAAAUCCGUGCAUGGUGUCCUUUAAUAUUUGGAGAAAAAUCUAUGUUGGAUCUUUUCUUUUCUAGAAACAUUUGUGUGGUCUUUUUUGUUAGCCCAAGGGUUCUUCUAAUCAAGUUUUGAUGAUAACAAACCAUGGUUAAGUGACUAAUUGGUUUAAUGAUUAAGAAUCUCAAACAUAAAAUCGAAAAUUCAUCAAAGGACCAAAUGGAUACAAGAUCGAGACGCUUGGAAGACUUGUAAUCAUAGGAAACUAAUGUAAGAUGAAUGCAUGAGUGCACUUAGGAUUUUCACACGUUUCAUGCAACUUAGAAAACCCAGUUUAUUCUUUAAAACUUCAUCCCAGUUUAUUCUUUUUAUGGUUGUGUGUGCUUUCCUUGAUACGUGGCUUAUUUAUUAAGGAUACAUCCCAGUUUUUCAUGGAAUUGACAGUGGGUUGUUGUGUGUGAAUGCCACCAUUUCAACUGUGCUGUUGUUAUUUAAAAAAAAAAAAAAUGGAUUGUGCGCGAGUGGCAAUUCUCCACUAUGGAAAGUGGAUUGCUCCUUCAACCCAUGCAUGGCUACGUAUUCCUAUGUCUUUCUGCUUGUGUGUGAUCCUCCAAAAAAAAUUUUGGUUUAGUGCUAGUAGAUUUUAAGUGGUGGAUCCCCUUUUUUUGAAAACUAAGUGGCAGCCUCCCAUUUCAAAACGAAGUGGUAGCCUGCCUUUAGUCUUUGGAGAAAAAUCUGUGCAUGACUUUUUUUUUCCCAAAAAAUCCAUGCAUGGUGUCCUUUAAUAUUUGGAGAAAAAUCUAUGUGGGAUCUUUUAUUUUCUAGAAAAAUUUGUGUGGUCUUUUUUGUUAGCCCAAGGGUUCUCCUAAUCAGGUUUUGAUGAUAACAAAUCAUGGUUAAGUGACUAAUUGGUUUAAUGAUUAAGAAUCUCAAACAUAAACUCGAAAAUUCAUCAAAUGACCAAAUGGAUACAAGAUCGAGACGCUUGGAAGACUUGUGAUCAUAGGAAACUAAUGUAAGAUGAAUGCAUGAGUGCACUUAGGAUUUUCACACGUUUCAUGCAAUUUAGAAAACCCAGUUUAUUCUUUAAAACUUCAAUUUCAUUAAAACCCGAGUUUUUAACUAAUGUACCUUAGGCAAAAUGUUUUAUAAUUGGCUUAAUAAUUCACCUAAAUACAUUUUCUAAGUGUUAGAAAAGAAAGGAAUUAAAAAAAGGUUUUCGGGGCAAAAAAGGCUCAACCGGUCGAGGCUAUGGUCAACCGGCUCAACCGGUUGAGGAACCAAUCGAUCGGUUGUGCUUGUCCGAUCGAAGACCAAUCGAGGGAUGCCAAAAAAUUUCUCUCUCUCCUAGUGGCCUUCUCUUCCCGGUCGAGGUUCGGUCUAGGCAACGGUAACAUGUCAAGCAUUAAAUGCUCCGACGACUAGUGAAUCGGUCGACCCCUAGCCCGAUCGGACGAGGUUGCCUUUUGCUGUUUUUGACUCCCGAGCUUAGAAACCUAUAAAUUGAGAGCUCCACUUCAUUUAUUGAUAAAAGAGAACACUUGCAUUCAAUAGUCUACCUACCUUUUCUUGAUCAAAAAGCUCUCAUUUCCUUCAUAGUGCAUUAAAUCAUCACUUGCAUAUCCUUUAGUGCACUAUUGUGUGUCAUCCUAGCUUUGUUUUGUAUUUGAGCUAUCCUUAAGCUAGGUUGAGGGAUUAUUUCUUAUAAAAAUCUGAGUGUUAAAGCCUUCAAGAGAUUUGAAUCUUGAAGAGAUUGUGUAAGAGCCCAUUGGAGCCGGAGUCCAAGUGUAAGAAGAUUGGAAGCUUGGUUGAAGCUUCAAGUUAGUGGAACCCUCACUCGGUUAGGAGGUUGAGGAGAGUGGACGUAGGUAAGGAAGUGUCGAACCAUUAUAAACCCGAGUUUGAAUUCUCUAACUCUAUCUCUUUAUUUUGCUUAUAUUGUGUUUGAAUUUGUUGUGAUUGAAAAGAUUUUAAAAACCUAAUUCACCCUCCCCCCUUUUGGGUUUUUUUUUCUUAAUUAAGCAUAACCUUUGUUUUCUAAUUUUCUUUUUAGGAAAAUCCAUGCGUGGUAUGUCCAAACUCUCCAAGUGGCAGUCUGCCUUCUUCUAAAAAAUUUGUUUCUAUUUCUUUAUUCGACUACCUUCCAUGUCUUCCUAAUGAGUGCUUGUGCUCAAUGGUCAAUCCCUGGUGGUUGCCUCCUUUUCCCAUAUAUACGUGUUGCAAAAUCAACAUCCCACUAUAUGUGGGUUGCCUCUAUGGCAAGUUCACAUUUCCCACAUGAAACCUAUGAGUUUCCACCAAAAAUUGCCAUGAAAAAGUCUUUAUAUGCAUCUCAUGCAAUAAAAAGUCAAGCCAAUACUCAUCUUAUCUCGAAAAAUAAGUAACCAAAAUCAAGAUCAUGCCUAAGUGAACUAUGCCAAAAGAAGUGUCCAAGUGACCUAUUAUGAAAAAAGUGCCUAAGUGACCUAAGGUGAAUGUGUGUAAGCUGGAAGGUGUCUAGGAUGUUUAGGACAAUGCCUAAGCCUAAAAUAGGGUUGCCAAGGGUCACAAUGGGGUUAGAUAAAUCUCUCAAUCAGAGUCUCCAAGGUGGCUCAUAAAAGAUAAGCUACACGAGUAAUGAUGGGCCACCAGGGAAUUAUUGUAAAGCACCAAACGAACACAUAAUAGGACAUGUGUUAGAAUGAAAAAAUGGAGGGUUUACAAGUGGUCUCAUGGAUGAGCUUGAUAAUUUAAAUGACUCACAUAAUGAACGUAUGUGAUGUUUCUCUCCAAUAACAAGCAAAACAUCACUAGCAAUAUGAUGAAUGUCUCCUAAAUCACUUGAAGUAGUCCUAGCAAAUCAAUUAGAAAAAUCACACAUAUUGCUCUAAUGUAAUAUUAUAUACAUCUGUCAAUGAAUGGGAGAACUAAUGACACAACCAUCAUGUUGAUAUCUCGAACCCUCUAAUCUCAUAUGUAGGUGGGAUCACACUUAGAAACUCAUAACACAGUAAUGACCAAUCUAAGUCAAAAUGUGUUGGUGAUCGGAGGCCCAUGAAUAUGAAGUUCUAGGAUGAUAAUGACAUCUUAUAAAGUAAUGAUCAUCUCCUUAAUAGAUAGGUGAAAUGUGUGUGUCUUAGGACACCAUCUCUCAACAAGACUUGUGAUCAAUCCCCAGUCUAGUGUAACAUGCCUAUUAUGACAUCCAUCGUAAAAUCUAGACUAGAUAAUAUAAGGACAAAUGUGAGGGUUCAUCUCCCUUUCCCACAUAAAUUUAAAAAAUUAUUAUUGACAAGUUAAGACCAAACUAAGUUGCAAAAUAUAAAUAAGUCCAUUAGAUAACAAAUUUAUGUUUUCUCAUUUUCUCAUUUUUAAAGAGAUAUUAUGUGCUUCCAUGUACAUACAUGCUAAAGUCAAUUAUACGAGACUUAUAUCCAUCUUGUAGAACCAAAUCGAACCUAUCUAAUAGAUCCAGAUUAGAAGUAUGUCCUCUAUACUCCAUAUUUAUAACACAUUUAUAAAGAUAAAUGCUAAAAAAAUGUUAAAGAUAUAAAUUUAAUGAACCAUACUUUAUGAUUUUAAUUCUCAAUUAUUGUUCAUAUUUAUAAGAGAAAAGUUAAAAAAAUUGAUAGAGUUUUCCCUCUAUCAUGGACAUUAUCCCAAAUAAAAAUAAAUUGAUUAUGCAAAUUACAUUAAUAUUUGUAACCAAAUGAUCAAUAACUAUCUUGUAUCAAUUUAGUAAAUAAAUUUAAGUAUAUCUUUUCAUUUAUGACUAACAAAUAACUCAUACUUGUCCAAUAAAAGCCACACCUAAUUUCUAAAAUUUUGUCUUCACCUCAAGUGAGUGUUACAUUGAGAAAGAAAAAAUAUGAAAGAAAAAAUGAACACCUUUUUCUUUUAAUAAAAAAAGGCCAUAACGAAACAUUAAAUCUCACUGUUACACCUAUCUUCAAUGGAAACAUGAGGAUGUGAAUGGUGGCGGUGAUAUUCUUUGCUUGAAGCUCAUAAACAAAUAUUCCUUACUAAGCCUAUGCCAUUUAGUAUUUCAAUAGUGGACCCCCCCCCCCCCCCCCCCCCCCUCCUUGCAUUUCAGAUUUAGCAAACUUAGAACCAAAUAACAAAGUGCAUUUGAACCCAUAAAGAAGUAAUGAGACUCUCCUAUAUUGGCAAUAGAAGAAAUUUUUGGAGGUAUAGGAGAUUCACGGAUGAAGAAGUUGGGCCCCAAUUGAGAUAAGACCCAAGAAAAGAUGGGGUAGAGAGGGAUGGUUGGAAAUUGUAAAGUAAGAUUUUCAAAAUGUAGUUGAUGACUAAGAUUUUGACAAUUUAAAAAAGGUUUAAAAAUGUAGUUAGCAAUCGGGGUUUUGUAACAUUUAAAAAAUAAAAUAAAAUCUCAGGCCACAUGGUAGCCCAUGUGAUUCAGAAGCUUGAGAAUUAUUUUAUAAGAAGACUUAAUUUGUGAUUUUUUUAUAACUAUAUUAUUUUUUUUCUUAACACACGAAAAAAAUUAUGAAAUAAGACAAUUUUCCUAAGAAAGCAUGUAAGUGACUCUUGGUUAUUUUAUUUAACUUCUUCUAGUUUGGAGAGGAUUAAUACCUUUGCUUUUACUCACUUGCUUGGAUAUGUACACGUUGUUCAUGUCACUUUUCAUUUAAUUUUCUGAUUAAGGGAAUUGGAACCGUACGUAACUGUCUUUAUUCCCUCUGAAACUUGGACUUGGAGUUGGACUUUCAAUCUCAUCAGUCGUGUUUCCAUAAAAAAGAAGAUGGAUUAACCAAUUUUCCUAUGCCUACUAAUCAUACACAAAACUCCACUUCCAAAUAAAAAGGAAUGGGAUAUCACUUGUUAAUAGUGGCUAAAGACUAUUAAUAACCAUGCAAAGAAAUGUCACAUUUUUUGUUCUACGCAAAUUUUAUUCAUCAACUACUAGAACCAUUUCAUACAAUAGUAGCUUUUCGAUCCUUUGAUAAAUGGACACUUGAUGUGAUAACACCAACUACACCUAUAUAUUCAAGCAAUCAUGCGUAUAUAAUAGUGGAUAUGGAUUACUUCUCUAAAUGGGCAAAAGUUUUGUCAUUCAAGGAAAGUGAACGAGGAAACACAAGUUUACUUUCAUCGGAACUAAUAUUAUAUAUUGAUAUGACUUCCCAUUAUUACUUACGAUGGAAUAUGCUUCCAUAAAAUGGCCUAGAUGAACAAACUAUCCAAGAAGUUUGGGAUCAAAUAAUAUAUAUAUAGUUCAUGUGUGAUUCUUUGGUUGACAACCUUGUUAAGGGGUGAGUGAAGCACUUUGGGCAUACCACAUACUACAUGCUAGACUUCCACCCAAGCUACCCUAUAUUCCUUAUGAACAAAGUAGAAGUUGUCAUCUCUCUUGAAUACCAAAUCCUUUCACCUAAUAAUGCUAUCUAAAAAGGUCUUAAAAAGGAUAAAAAUGCGCAUAUUUGAAUUUUUGAAUUAGGAGUGCUACUUAAAAAGAAGCUAGAUAUACAAUAAUAGAAUGUUAUCAAGCAUAUCUCUUCAAAGUUUUUGACCAAAAAAUAUAUGAUUUCUCAUUUUAGGUAGGAGACUUAGUACUCACUAUUCAAAAACCAAUUAUCAUUACUCAUAAAAACUAAUAGAAAGUUUGGGCCAAAGUAGGAUGGACCUUAUAUUAUGCAACAAUUAUGCCUAUAAAAUUGUUGCAAAAGAGGUUUUAGAAUCAAAUCAAUGAAUGAAAAAUUAUUAAAGCAUUACUAUGCUUGAAGGCUAGUCAUUUUCCCUUAAAGUGCAAUAUUAAGUUGCAUAGUACUAUGUGGAUCCGCAUUUUUCACAUGCGUUCCCACUCAUUGUCGAGACUCACUUUUUAGAAGUGAAAAAUUAGUUUUAUUAAAGUCGAAGUUGCCACUGGGGAUUUGAACCCUAACAAAAGGUUCAAUUUAAGGAUAAAAAUAUCGAUAAUCACAUAUAUAUAUAUUGGUACUUUGAUUUUAUGAAUAUAUUGAAGAAAUAUGGACAAAUAUUUUGACACAAAAUAUGUACAAAAUAAAAAUUAUAUAAAAAGUAAAAAUAAAUAUUUUAAAAUUAUUUUUUUAAAUAUAUAUAUAUAUAAUUUGACAUAUUUGAUAAUAAUAUAUAAGGGUCUCCAAAAAGCCCGUGGCCCGCUUUAGGCCCGGUCCGACCCGACAGGCUAAAGCCCGGCCCAAGCCCGCCGGGCCCAAGCUCGGCCCGAGCCCGUUUAUGGGUGGGCCGGGCCGCGAGCCCGUAGGCCUGCUCCUUUAAAAAAAAACUACAAAAAUAAAAAGUAUUAAAAAAAAUAUUCAUUUCAAAAUUUUAUUCAUUGAAUGUAUAAUUACAUUUGAAAAUGUGGGAAAAGUUUACAUCACUACAAAAUAAAUACAUCCCAACUAGGUUGGCACCUAUUUAUUUGUCAAUCAUCUGUAUUUUUCAACCACAAAAAAUAAAAAUAAAAAUAUAAUAUACAUUUAGUCAUUAUUUUCUGGCGGUGAUGGCGAACUAUCAUGCAUCCAUGAAGAUCUUGAUAAUUUUAAAGAUUCCAUAUCGGUAAGCAUCUUUGUUUCUCGAAUGGAAUCAUACAUCCUUUUAUCUGCUAUUUCCCAAUCUUUCACACAUAUCCCUGCUUUAAUAACAUCUGACGCUAAGUUGCAUCGUUUUUUACUAACUACUCUUCCACCUGCACUAAAAGCAGCUUCUGAUGCAACUGUACUCACAGGAACUGUUAGUACAUCACGAGCAAUUAUAGAAAGCACAGGAUAUUUGUGUUGAUGUGAUUUCCACCAUAUUAAAAUAUUAAAAUCUUCUUGAUCUUCAAAUGAAAUUAUAUCAGUAUUAAGAUAUUUAUCUAAAUCAGAUGUAUUAUUUGGAGAAUUAUUUGUUGUCUUUUUUCGACUUUUCAACAUUUCUAGAGCUCCUUUAUAAAAAGAUGAGGAGUUUGUAGAUGUAGGUGGUAAUUUAAUAGUAUUAAUAUCAUUACCAUAUUUUUCUUUAUAAUAGUUAUAUAAAUUAUAUAAUAAUGAAUUUAUUUCAUUUUUAAUUUCUUCAAUUUUUAUUUGGUCAUUAAAAUAAAUAAUUGUUAACCAUUCAUCCAAAGCUUCAAAUUUCAAUCUAGGGUCCACAAUUAAAGCAAUAUAAAAAAUUAAAGGUAUUUCUCCCCAAUAUUUUCUAAAUUUUUAUAUCAUUACAAAUAUUGUAUCAUUAAAUAUUUCAAAACUUAAAUAUUUUUGAAGUACAAUAAAAAUAUUAGUUAUUUGCGUAAUAACUCGAUUUGAAGUUGGAUAAUAUACACCACAAAAAAUGUUUGUUGAAGUAUCAAAAAUUUCAAAAAGAUCUCUUAAAACAUCCGCAAUAUGCCAAUCAUAAUCAUUUAAUGCAUAAAUAUCUGCUUCAUAAUCAUUGUUAAUUAAUUGUAUUUCAUAUAAUUCGACUACUUUUCUAUAUUUUGUAAUAUUUUCUAAAAGUUUAUAUGUGGAAUUCCAUCUAAUAGCCAUAUCCAAAUUUAUAUUUUUUCUUUUCAUAUUUAACAUUUUGCAACAAUCAAAAAAUAAUUCAUGUUUUGCUUGAAAACUAUUAAUACUAUAUGCAAUGCCUCUAAUUUUUUUCCAAUGUACUAUCAACAUUUUUUAAUCCAUCCUUUACAAUUAAAUUUAAAAUAUGUGCACAACAACGCACAUGAAAUAUUUUAGCAUGAUCUUCUUUUACUUGCCAAUAUCGUUUUAGUCUAUGUAUUGCUGCAUCAUUAUUAGCAGCAUUAUCUAAUGUUAUUGUCAAUAUUUUAUCACGAAUGCCUAAAUCUAUAAUUUCAUCAUUUAUUAAAGAUGCUAUAUUUUUACCACUAUGUGGAGUAUUUAUUAAUUUAAAUAAAAUUAUUCUUUUAUUUAAUUUCCAUUCAUUAUCAAUGUAGUGAACAAUUAUAUAUAAAAAACCAGUAUGAGUUAAAGAUGUCCAAAUGUCAGAUGUUAAACGAAUAUUUCCUUCAAAAUUUGCAAAAUUUUUUUUUAAAAUUUCUUUUUGUGUAUAAAUUUUUUUCAUAAUAUCUCUUUUAACUGUAUUUCCAGAUCAACCUUUAAAUUGAGGAUUAAUACCUCGUUGAAUUGUUCUUGCAAAAUCAUGAGUUUCCAUCAUGUUGAAAGGUUGUUCUGCUCUUAUUAUAUAAUCAAUCAUUUCUUCACAACAGUUAGAUUCAUCAUAAGAAAAUGUUUUUAAAUUUCCACUUUCAUUUUUACUUAAUUGCAUAUAAUUUCUAAUAUCUACAUUAUUUUUAGUUUUACAAUUUUCAUGAUGUCUUUUUAAAUGACUUGUAUCUGCAUUUGAGCCACCAGUAAGAAAUUUAUUACAAAUUUUACAUUUUGCUUUUAUUUUUUUUUUAUUAUUUUCUAAAAUUAUUUCUAUUCUAUCAAAAAAAUUCCAUAUAUUUAAAGUAAAUUUUUUGUUUGAUGAUAUUUCAUCACAUGGACUAGACGAAGAAGCACUUGUCAUAUUAUAAUUAUUGAUAAAAUAUUAUGCCAAAAAUAAUAAAGUAAUAAAUAUAAAAAAAAAUGUAACAAAAAAAAUAAAGUAGUAGGGGUGAAGUAUGUUACUCAAUUAGAGAACCUAUGCAGAAAUUCCUAGCAAAUUUGAACUCUUGGAGCCACCAAUGCUUGUUUUGCACCAUCAACAAUAUUGUAUAAUUUGAGGGAAAAAUAAAAGAAUUUAAAAUAUUGUAGAAUGUGAGAGAAAUAGAGAGAAUUUGAUGAAAAAAUGAAAAGGAAGAAAAUGUAUUUAUAGGAAGGUUAAAAAUAAUAAUAAUAAUAAUAAUAAUAAUAAUAAUAAUAAUAAUAAUAAUAAUAAUAAUAAUAAUUGGCCAUGUGACCGUUGGAGGCUUAGCUCCAACGGUCACAUGGGCUGGAGCUAGGCUCCAACAGUCACAUGACCGUUGGAGCCUUUAAUUUUUUUUUUUAAAAUAAUAUACUUUAUUUUUAUAUAUAUAUAACUAACUCAAUUAAUAAACAUAAAAAGAAUAUAGUUCAGUUGGUUAGAACCUUGAAGUUUAAACAUGAGGGGAGGGGUUUGAAUCCCUCCCUCUCCCUUAGGGGCUUUUUUAAAAGCCAUUUUGGCUUAUUUCAAAAAGCCUGUCGGCCCGACCCGCCCUGCAGCCCGCGGGCCUAGCAUUUUAGCAUGGCCUGGUCUGUUGACUAGUCAAAUGGCUCAUAGGCUCGGCCCGAACUGGGCCGCGGGCCUCUUAUUUACGGACCGGCCCGACCCGGCCCGCCCGUUGGAGACCCUUGAUAAUAUCUUCUAUAUUAAGUUACAUUAUAGUUUAUUUUACAAUAUUAUUAUGAUAAUAUGUCUAAUUUUAAAAUAUAUUUAAUAUUAAAAUUAUGAUCUAUUUUAAUUUAAAUGUAUUCAAUGAUAUCAAAUAAAUAAUAAUAUAUGUAUAAUUCUUUUAUUAUUUAUAUUUAUUAUUUUUAAUAAAUAUAUAGAUUAUAUAAAAAAGACCGGAUAUAUCUUUUCAAAUUUUGUAUCGCUCUCCAAGGAUAUUAGAUGUAUGGGAAUUUGUAUUGCUAUCUACGGAUACGUUGAUAUAUGGGUGAUUUAUCAGGAUAAUUAGAAAUUCUAAUUAUGUAAGCAGGUACGGAGUUCUGUGUCGGUGCGAUCUUGUCGACAACAGCUCCAAAUUGUGCAUCUUGCUCAUAGAGAGUAGCGGAAUGCACCAAUCGUAGGCUCAGAGUACCACUGAGUCGUCUGGCAGAGACCCAACUGAAGGUGCCUGUGUUGUUCCUGAUCUGAUCAGGCUUCAAACUACAAGGUGGAAUACUGGUUCCCCUAUAUCAGAAGCUGGAGAUACCCACCCCAUAUGCUCGUCUGGAUGUGCUCCUACCCUUUGAAGCCUUCUUCCGAGUCAAGUCCGAAUUGAUAAGGCUAGUGAGUUCCCAACCAACUGUACUCAGCAUGCUGCCAGGUGGAGACCCUCCAUAUUUGAUGGCUUCCUAAUAUUAAAAUGCUGACCACUGGUCUUCAUGUUCCACAGGCUUAAUUGUGUCCUUUGCUGAAAGAAUGGAUAGUGAUCCAUUUUAACACAUGAUUCACGCCGUCUUUGCCAUUCUUCAUGGUCUAGCCCUUUUAUAUAUAUGCUUCCUGAACUGUUGCUAUUAAUAAAAUGUGGUAUCUAUCCCGUACACCUUCCUGAUGGCCAGCGAAUGCAGAAGCUACAGAAACGGUUCCAUCUUUUGCUUCCGCCACUUUGGCAUCCUCCAUGAUGAGAUCGAAGGUGAAUAAUCAUAUUCUGGGGAUUUAUGUCCUGGAUAUUCUCAGUAAUGCCCAAUUUCCUGGUGCCGGCCUCAUUUCCAUGGGAACUGAUGGAUAACUUAAGGCUUCUACCAUCUGCGUGGUUCGCUUCUAACACAGGAAACUUCACGGCUAAAAGCAAGAUACCAAGAACAUCAAGGCUGUGACAAAAAUUAGUAUUUUUAACUUGUAGGAAUUUGAAAGGCAACCAACCAUCUAGCUCUGUUCUUAAAGCUCCCAUAGGAGGAUCAGAGGCUGGAUUGCUCAAGAUGAACUCAUCCAUUGUUGCACUUAAAAAGAAUUGGCAUGAAUUGUGGCCGCUCUAAUAGGUUCCCUAAACCAUCAUCCAAGUGGGCUUGCGGAAGGUAGCGAGUUUAAAACACCUAGGGCGAUGAACAGUGGACUGUGAUGCUCACAAAAGAGAAAAGGAAGAAUUCAAUAAUUCCUAAGAAUCCAUUUGCCUGUCAUCCAAAUUUUUAUAUUCUCUUCAGUCUGACGCGUUAUGCCAUAUAUUAAAAAUAGCGGCUUCUUCCAAGCCGAGACAGACUGUGCAAAGUUCGCAAGGCCAAUCAUCACCAUAAUCUGAAGUUGGCCUCCUCAAUCGCAGCUUGUAUCCGAAUGCUCACUUCACGGGAUGGAUUGUAAUGAAAACUAAUCUCAGUCCCAGCUAUGGCAGCAUCCUCACUUGACAGCAUUUUCUGCAUAUUCUAGAACAAAGCAAUAAACCCUCAAAGGCUCCUUCGGAUCAGAGUUAGAAGACUGUCCCUCAGGAACGUGAACACUAUGGUGGUUCUGAUAAGCAGUGAUAUUGCAUUAGAGCCUUUUGGAACAAGAGGAUCUUUUCAGGUGGAAACUGUAAACUGCUUCAUGUUGGGCUGCAACCUUUUCUUCAAGCAAUACUUUCUUUCUGUAUCACGACUUAUGUUGCUUCCGGAGCCAUCCCGUGUGGACUGCCCUUCAGUGAAAGAAUAUGUGUGUUGACAUGUUGGAUUGUAAUCUUUGUUCCACUCUAAUGGCUUUUGGUCCUCCUCUUUCUCUUUAUGACAGAGAACCAUUUAGUGAUCCAUCUCUAUAUUGUAGCAUUGCUGGUGCUUUGCAAUACUACACUCUCACCAAGCAUAACAUCUAUUUUUCCGUGACCAAAGUAUGUCGGUUUAUGCAUGCGCAAACUCUUAUUCAUUGGCAAGUUGUCAAGCGUAUCUCAUGAUUUCCCAAAGCCACAAGUUCUUAUGGUCUUUCUGUUCAAGCUUACAAUGAUCUAUCUUUUCUUGGUUAUACUGAUGUCGAUUGGGCUAGUUGCCCUGAUAACAAGCACAAUACUAGUGGGUACAACACUUUUCCUGGUCCUAAUCUCAUUUCAUGGGCAUUUUCAAAGCAGAAGGUUGUGUCUCACUCCAAUAACGAAUCUGAAUAUAGGGGACUCACUAAUUAAUGUUGUUGCCAAGGUCACUUGGAUUGAAUCUGUCUUACGUGAGUUGCGUGUUUCUCUACCCCAACCACCAAUUUUGUUGUGUGACAACAUUAGUGCUACACACUUGGACAAACCAUGUUGAAAUACACUAUCAUUUUAUCCAUGAAAGGCUUAUGCAUCACACACUCAAAAUUCAAUACACCUCUUCUAUAGACCAACUAGUCAAUGCUAUGACCAAAGCUCUUCCUUCAUCUCACUUGUACAAUCUUCAGUGCAAGCUGAUUGUUCUUCCCAAACCACUCAACUUGAGGGGAGAUGUUAAGCCAAUUUAAUAAAUUGAUUUCUUUUGGUUAAUUUGUUAGAAUCAUUUUUAUUAGAGGUUUGUUUGUACAAUUACAUCCAUUUAUCAGGAGAGUACACGUGUACAACUCCUCUUUUAAUCUCACCAUUGUAUAUAUAUGAUACACGACCUUACUCAGAAUUGCAUAACAUUUCCUCUGCUCAUUCCUUUUCUUCUUUGAAUUUUCCCUUACCUCACUGAUUUUGAUUUAUACCUGGUGUUUUCACCUUUGGUCUCUACCUUUCUAGCCAGUUUUCUAAUUAAUCCGUAUAUGGUAUACCUGUCAACUAAUGAGGAGAAAGAGAAAAGGGGAUUGCUGUUCCACCAGCUACAUAUAAUAAUUAAUUACAAUCAUGGUAAUGGAUCCUGAAAUCCAUCCUUUGUGGAUUUUGUACGGAAUAUUGUUGUUAUGUAUGUGGGCUCACUUAGAUGUAUAUUGCUAGCCUGUCUGGGAAAUGUGAUUGCAGGUCCAGAUUAUGAUGUUGAUAUUAGUGGGAUAAGCAAGAGAUGCAGUUAACACGUAUGUGAUGGACUUGAGUAACUUUUCCAUUUCAGUCCAUUUUUUAAGAUUAUGCUUAGUCUUAUUACAAGGAAAGACCAUAAGAAUCAUGAGUCAUUGGCAAGGUAAUAUCAUUCCCUCUUUACAGGCUUCUUCACCUUUUGGUUUUUUUAAUAUCCAUCAAGAUCUUUUAAUUGGAGGACAAUUACAAGUAUAUAUAUAUGUAUUAAAAGGGGAAAAUAUUAAAACAGGAAAUUUUAGGGAAAAUAUAAUAAUUAUUUCUUCCUUCUUUCCCAUAUAGAACUACACAAAAUAAAACUUUAAUAAUUUUUUCUUAUCUUUUUUAUUAUUAUUUUUUCUUAGAAACAUCCGUGGUCUCACAAGCUUGUAAUCCUAGAUUGUUAGGCUCCUUUAACAGUGCCCCAACAUCGUGGUCCAAUGACAAGCUUCCACGCCUUAAAAUCAGAAAAUGCCAUUAAACUUUAUCAGACAUUACAGUUCAAGACAAAGCUUUCAUUUGCUUAAUGUGAUAAUGAAAUUGUUAAUUUCAUUUCGUGGGCAUCUAAAUUUGGACGAGCAAGACCUCUGAAUUCCCUGUUUUUAUCACCAGCAGAGGAGAUAAAAUCUUAAUGGUGAGAAUCUCCACGUGAAAUUUAUGUGUACUGUCAACAUAUUUUUGUUUAUAUAGUCCAGUAGCUGCAGGAAGUCUAGAUUAUAUAGGUAGCAGUAGCACUAUUUAUAGCACUCGAUAUUCGCUGUAUGAAUACAUUAAACCUUGUUUUCAAUACGCAUCACAAGCAAGUACUAGAUACUACAAGGAGUGACAGUCGCAUCAACAUUUCUUGAUAAUAGCAGUGACUGAUUUAUACACAGAACAGUACUGUACACGUACCAGUCACCAGAGAUAGGAUCUUAUUCCUACAUACGACUCUUAUUGAUCGAAGUCACUCAGUUGGGGUAGCCUGGAGUUGGAGGUUUGUGUGGUGGCUUCUUCUUUGGAGGAGGCUUUAUCUUUGGAGGCAUCAUCUUUGGAGGCAUCUUGUGUGAGUCUUCUUCAGCAUUCUCUACAGGAGGAUGGCCAGGCUUAUGACCCUUAGGUGGUUUGCCAACUGGGAUUGGUGGCUUGUGUCCUGAGAGUGGCUCCUCUUCUUCGGGAGGUUUGCCAACUGACGUUGGUGGCCCGUGUCCUGGGGGUGGCUUGUGUUUUGGGGGUGGUUUCACUCCACCGGGAGGUUUACCAAUUGGUGUUGGUGGUUUGUGCUCAAUCGGUGGCCUCUCAACUGGGGGGCGCUUGGGGUAAUCAGCGAGUGAAGAAGUGGUGAGAACCACCACUCCAAGCAACAACACUAGCAAGUAUGUGGAAGACAUCUUUGAGUUUGGCUCAGAUGGUGUAGAACUAGAAUCCUGGGUGGCCUUUUAUAUUAGUUGGGCCCUAUGCCCGAACGACAAGUGUCAUGGUGACACAUAAAGUGAUGGGGUCGAUUUGGGCCUACCGGAUUUGAAAACUUGGACAAUUCGAGAAGCGUCUCCUGACUCCGGGUUGUAAAGUGAAAGAUUAGGUAUCGACCAUUGAAGUAUGAUCACAACUUUUGGCCUUUGGCUCUCUCUACUGCCGUAUAGCUUUUUUCCUUUGGAUAUUUUUCUUAGCUAGACACAAUUAUUGAGCAGUCUAAUCUCGAAAUGGGAUUAGUAUAGCUUUAAGCAAAUUUAUUAUAGUUAGUGGAGGACUUUUAAGAGUGCAGACGACAUUUAACACAUGCAUGCAGUAGUAUAGGGGACAUAACACUAUUCUUUUUCCAAAGAUUCACAUGAUUUUUAUAUUAUAGUAUUGGCACAUUGUAUGUAGCUGGUUUUGUGGUUAAAAUUCCAUAUGUAGACACUGGCGUUUCUCCAUUUCUCACAAUUGAUGUUUACCUCCACGAUUACUAGAUUAGAUAUACCAAACAAUAACACAUUGUAUAAUCUAUCCGCCCUUCAAAAUCUACUGUAUGAUGAAAUGUUUCAUGUGUGUGUGAAGUGUUAGAAAUGCACUAUAGGCAACAUCAUCUUCUUUUGUCUAGGCUUGGGCCUCAAAUUAUACUCCCAUGCCAUGAUAAAUUUUCAUGUGCAUUCUCUAAAGAAGAGUGUCUUGAAUGUGCCAAAUCAUUUUGAUUGAUUUUAUGAUGUUAAUUGCUCCGCAUAUGGAUGGGUAUGUGCUUUAUUUGCUUAUUCAAUCCACAAUUACCUUGAACUGAAGUCCUAUUGGAGCUCUAUUAUUUUAGCAACGUCCUGUCAAAUAGGCUGCUAACUUGGGGUGGUAUGGACCCAAUGAUCCAUCUUAAUCUUGGGUUGAUUUUGUCUGACUCUAUCUAUCUCAGAGAGAACCAGGAUCACCAGUGCUGGUCUGCUUAAAGAAGACUCAGUACUGGAUUAAUAUUGGUUUGGGUCAAUAGCUUAUAAUGCAUUGAAUGCAGAAUAAACAAGAUCAAUGAAACCCAAAACACACUGCCCACACAACUUCACUCUGGUGUCUGUUAUUCAUCAAUUCUAUUCCCACAUGAACUGGUUCAAGUUUAAGAAAAUGACAACGGAUCCACUGUAUUAACUUGGUUUUGCUUGGUUUUGAGCUAGUUGCCAAACCAGCCAUGAGUUUUACCUCUAAUGUCAAUGAACAAACCCCAAAUGAACAACUGCAACAGCUUAAAGAGAAGGAAUGGAGAUGAAAAUCCCUGUUUCUUCUCAUUCUGGGGACAAAUUAGAACAUAACUACAAAGGUUCUAUUAAUUGACUUACUCUACCAUGAAUUAUGGUUCUUUGGUUUUCCAAAUUUAAAUUGUACAUGAGAUUAUUUUUUUCCUUUAUAUAUAAACAUAUUAAGGUUUUCUUAUUUCGUGGGCAAAUGCGCUAAGGAUGAAAGUCAUUUCAUUUGGCUGCAACAGCAUCUUAUAAUCAACAUGCAUAAGCAGCAGUUUUAAUUGAUCGAUUGAACACCGACUCACAAGAAUAGAUAGAAUGGUACAAGACAGCUCUUAUUAAUUUAUACUCGUUACUCAUUUUAUGUAGCCCCAUUAAGAUGGCUGGCUGGACCACCGAGGUCUGGGGGUGGUGUUGCUUGUGUGAUGCAGCGGGCCGGGCAGACACUUCUCUAGUUGCUUCUAUUUGGAGUUAGAGGAUCAGUCUCUGCCAACCUUGAGGACUCUCUACCUCAGAGGGUCCAGGUGGUGGACUCUGGUGUCGGUAGCUUUGAACUCUCAGUAGACUAGUGUGUCUUAAUCAGUCACUGCCAGAGGCUGGCGUAGGCAGUGACGAUAAGGUGAGACAAAUUACCGAAUAGUCAAUAUCGACUGCACUUGACCAUUAUAGAUUUGUUCUGACAAAAGUGAGAAAAGGGAGAAAAUCGGAUGUUGACCUUUAUAGAAAAAGAUAAGAUUUACUGCAACACAGAGCACUGAUUUGUUACUUGGAAACCAAGUUAUGCUAUUAGCUAGCCUCCAUUAGCAGCAGGGUACCUUGCUGCCUGAUCCUAAUCUGAGUUCCCAAGGUUUCAAUCUUCGUUUGUUAACGCUUCAGGAUUUGGAUAUUUCAGCUUCGUUUCUCCAUUUAGCCAACGCUGCCUGGUUUGGAUUUCAAUCCUCAUCUGGAACAUUCUUUUUUCGGUCUGAUUCAGGAAGUGUUUGGUGAUAGUUGAUUAAAAUUAAACAGUACUAUCAUACAAAUAAAGCUGAUCUAAUUUUGGUGGGCAAUAUACCAACUCAUUUAUUCUUGAAAACACCAUGGGGAAUUGGAGGUCCAUCCGAAGUACUAUUUGAUGGGACUCACAAAAAGAACAGGUGCACAUUUAUGAGAUCCGUGGAAGAGAUAACUAUGACAGCUAUGCAUGUACAACAGAUUUAUGUCGAGUUCACCUCGUAGAUAUUUUGUUUUCAGUGUCGGUGGACCCCAAAAUGGAAAUCGGAAAUUAAGGUUAUAUUUAUUUUUUUAUUUAAUUUUAAAUAGAAUUUUAAUUUUUAAUAAUAUUAAGUAUUAAAUUAUUUUUUUAAGGGUAUUUUAUUUUUAUUAAGUAUUAAAAAGUAAAAAAAAUUAAUAUGUUGCUUUUUUAUUUUAAAAAAAUUAUAUAUUUUAAUUUUUUCUAUUUACUAAAAAGUUUAUAAUAAAUUAUAAAAAAAUAAAAAAAUAAAAAACUUAAAUUCUGAAAAUAAAUUAUUUUUAAUAAAAAAAUCCAAAAAAGCAAACACCACCUAAAUUUGAGAUGACUCAAAAUUUUAUAUUUUUUUUCACCUAAAUUAUAUUCAUAAAUUUAAAAUUAAAAAAUUAGGAAGUUGAAUUUUAUUUUGGAUAAUUGGAAACUACAAGAAAUCAAUAAAAAUAUUUGGAAAAAAAAGAAAAAGAAAAACUAUCUAUAUAUUCACCCCCUUCUAAGAAACAUAACUUUAGUUUUUAACUAUUUUUUAAAAUAAUUUUUGAAAAAUGUUAUAUAAUAUUUUAUAAAACAAAAAAUCUGUUUGACAAUUUGAUAUGUCUUUAACUUAUUUUUAAUAUUUAUAUAUAUAUAUUUUAAAAAUAAUUUUAUAUUUAGAACUUUAUCUUUAAUUAUUAUAUAUAUUUAUAUAAUUAUUUUUUUUAAAACAACUCUUAAAAAAUAAGUGAAAGUAAUUGAAAACAACUCAAAGAUAUUUGAUGAAAACACUCUAAUUUGUAUUUUUGAGAAUAAAAAAAUAAAUAAAUAAAUUUCUAGUUAUCAAAUGUAUUUUUUAAUUCUUUUAUUCUAAAAAAUAGAAAAUCGUUUUUGAAAAUAAUUAUUAAACAACAUUCUUAAAAAUUCACUCGUUACAAUCUAGAUUUAAUGCAAGAAUGAUUGAAGGAGUCCUCCAAUAGAACCCAAAGUUAUAAACAUGAACAAGAAGCCCUAGAAACACCAAAGAUCUCAUAUGGUAUAUAUAUGAGCUUGAUUGAGAACUGUUUUAAAUUCAGUUUUUUUUUUUUUUUUUUUUUUUUGUUUUCAAAGUCAAAACAAGUUUACUUUUAAUUUUUACUUCUUUUUUUUAAUUUUAUAAAUAACAGUUUUUUAAUAAUUUAUUUUGAAAACAUGAUUAUUUUUAAAACUUAUAAUGAAAAUAGGAAUUUUUUUUUUAAUAUCAUGGUUAUUUUCCCUUCUUUUAAGGAGGGCUAUUUUAAAAAUAAAUUUACAAAUAUGAAAAAUGAUUCAAACUAAAGCAGUACAAAUAAAAAACAUUUUUAAGAAAUAUUUAAAAAUAGAGAAAAUUAUUUGAGAACAUUUGAAGUCCUUAAAUAGACUUUUGUUUUAGAAAAGGCAAGAUAAUUAUUUUUGAAAAUUGUUUUCAUAAUGAUAUGCAAAAACCUACGUAAAAACCAUAAUUAUAAUCGGCCACAUAUCAAAUCUACUAAAUAUGAAAAGUAAGUACAUAAUUAUAUUUGACUUAGAUGCAAGGAGGAAAAUGUCGCGAUAUUAUCGCCGAAAUAUCGUGUGUCGAAGGGUAUCGACACGAUUUUUCUUGCAGAAAUAUCGGCCAGUCGAUUUUUCGGGAUAAAUCUCGAGAAAUCGGCAAUUUAUCGCGAUAUAUCGGCGAUUUUUCCUCGAUAUAUCUUCUGGUCAACGCGGGUCAACGGAGUCAACACGCUACAGUGAAAGUCAAAUGUGCUACAAUGUCCCCGCUACAAUCACCUCCCCAAACAAAUUGCCAAAUUGCUUCCGAGGGGAUUUGAACCAGCCUUCUUGCCAUUUGGGCUAACUCGCCCUUAUGAUAUAUAUUGCAUUAAACAUAUAUAUACUUAAAGUCCUUAUAUAAAGAAAAUGUUAAAAAAAUAUUUUAAAGAGCAAAUUAAUUAUAAUUAUUUUAUAAUUAAAAGCAAAAUUUUCUUUUAAUUAAUUACCAAAAAUAUAAAAAUUAUAUAAUUUUCUUCAUAAUGUUUUUAAUAUCAUUAAUAAUUAAUUAAAUAUUAAAAAAUUAUAUAUAUAUAUAUAUAUAUAUAUAUAUAUAUUAUAAUUUAUUUUAUAUUGUUUAAUACAAUUGAAUUAAAUGGAUCAUAUUUUAAUAUUAAUAUAUAUUUUAAAAUUAGACAUAUUGUAAUCAAAUAUCAUAAUAUUAUAUGUAAUUUAAUAAUAAAUGUACACUUAUAAAAUUCAUAUUUUUAUCGAUGCAUACAAUAUUAUUAUCAAAUAUGAUAAAUCAUGUUAUACAUAUAUCAAAAUUUUCAAUAAAAUAACUUUAAAAUGUCUAUUAUACUUCUAAUUAUAUUAUUAUGAGGUUUUCUUUACAUUUUCAUGAGUUUUAAACAAUUUUAAGCACCAAUAUUUUUUUCCAAAAUAUCCACCGAUAUAUCUCCGAUAUAUCCAAUAUAUCUCCGAUAUCUCCGAUAUAUCCGUAAAAUCGAAGUACCGAUAUAUCCGUGAUUACCGAUAUUUUCAUCAUUGCUUAGAUGCAACCUUCUUCCAAAUGACAUACUUUAGUCAAUACUUAUAUUUUUUCGUUUCACUUCUUUGAUACAACACCUCAUGGAUUUAUUGUUUAAUUUAUUUGUAAUUAUAAAACUAUUUUUCAUUUUUAAUAAGACUUGAAUUAAUUUAAUAAAUAUUAUAUAAUUUGAAUUUAUAAUUCUUUUUAUAAAAUCAAAGUAUAUUAAAAAAAAAACAAUUUAUCCGAAGAAAGUUUUUUAUUUUUUAUUUUUUAAAACCGAUUUUAAAAAUAACUAGCUAGACACCCUUAUUUUGAUAAAAUACGAAAUAAAAGUGUAAAAACAACAUGGCCAAAUAGGGGCUUAAAUUUUAUUUUUAAAACAUUUUUUUACACUAAAGUGCAUUUUAAAAACACCAUCAAAACCAACUACAAGUUAUGCUUCUUCCCGUAAUAGAAAUAUUUUAGGCCAAAAUAGAACCUCCCCAAAUAAAGACCCUAUACUAAACUCCUUUUCAUUUUAUUAAUACAAAAGUGGGGAAAAAAGGUCUAUGCUCACCUAAAAAACAUGAAUAUUGUGAAUUCACCAUUUCUAUAAGGAAGUUGAAAACUUCAAAAUUUUAUCAACAAAUUCUCUAAAAUCCUCAAAAUAUAUAGGGCCUGUUUCACAAAGUUUUUUAAAAUUUGUUUUUAUAAAUUGCUUUUAAAAUAUAGAAUAAAUAACAGUUUUUUAGAUUUUUUGAAAAAUAAGAGUGUUUGGUAAGAUGUUUUUUUUUUUUUUUUUUUUUUUAAGAAUUAAAUAAAAAAUAAAAAAAUUGUUUAGAUAAAAGAAUUUGUAUUGUUUUUAAAAACAAUGUCUUACUUUUAUGUUAUAAAAAUUUUAUUAAUUUAAUUUAUAAUAAUAUGAAAUGAAAUUCAAGUUAAGUCUUAUUAAAAAAUACAAAUUAAAUCUAUAAUUAUGCAUGAGUUAAAGAUAAAUAUAUAUUUUUUAAAACUAUAAAAUAAAUUUUCUAUUAUAGUGAAACAAAAAUUACUAUAAAAUAAAAAUAAUUUUAAUAUUCAUUUUUAAUACAAGUCAAAUAAGUACUUUAAUUAAUUUUUUUUAUCAUGAUUUCUUAUGUUUUUUUUUUUUUCUAGAAAUUAUUUUAAGUAAUAUAACUAAUUUUUUUUUUAAUGUUUUAUAAAAAUAAGGAUAUUUGGCAAGUUGUUUUUAUAAAAGGAUUUUAAAAAUAAAUGGAUUUUUUUUUUUUUUAAAAAAAGAACAAAAUGAUUUGUUUGAAUAAAUUGUUUUGAUUUUGUAAAAACAUUUUAAAUUCAAUUUAUAUAAUAUUAAUUAAUUAAAUUAAAUUGAAGUUUUAUUGAAAAUAAAAAUAAUUUUGUAAUUAAAAUUAGAUUAAAAAAUAUAUAGGUUUUAAUAAAUCGUAAAUAGUAAUAUUAUAAUAAAAUUAUAAAUUAUAUUUUUAACAUAAAAUAUACUAUUUAUUACAUAUUAAAAAAAAUAUUUUAUUAUAUUAAUAAUUUUAUGGUAUUAAUGAGUUUAUUAUUUAAGUUUUAAAUUAUUUUUAAAAAUUAAUAAAUUUGUUAACAAAUGCAAUGUACUAAAUGUGGUUUAAUUUGGAGUUAAUUUGUUUAGGGAAAAAAAUAAAAAAUAAAAAUCUUAUGUAAAAGAGAAAUAAUAGAGUGUGUGUGUUUUUUUUUAUUAUUUUUAAAAAUCAGUAAAAAGAACUUUUACUUAUUGCCUAAAAAUUAUUCUCUAUUUUAUUUUAUUUUUUAAAUCUAGAAAUAGAUAACAAUAAUAAAAAAAAUUAAAAAAGAAAAAUGUUUUUUAAAACUCAGACUUAUAAUUGCUUUUGUUUCUCAUUCGCACCCCUGGAUUCCUGGAUUCUAAACACAAAAUUAAGUUGAAUCGUCCAUCUAUCUUGUAAGCCAAGAAUUCACAUAGAAGAAAUAAUCGGAAUUUGAUUUGAUAUCAGAUUUAGAGUGGCUCACUACUCAUGCAUUGUCCCACAAUAGUAAUGCUUUGGGCCGAGAUAAACCCAUUUGUGGGCCCAAAUAAAACCCCUGGUUUGAAAACAUCGAUUUUACAGUGGCCCAAAAGAUUAUCUAUGAGGGGAAGAUAACUUGGAAGUCAAGCAAACACAUUUAUCGCUAACUUUUCUCUAAUUAUAAAAUUAUAACUUGGUCUUCUACACGUCUCACUUAAGAGGCGGAGCCACUUGGCACUACCUUUCCAUAUUGUAAAAGGAGAAGAAGCAGAAGGAGAAGAUUCUUAUGCCAUUCCACACACCAUGGCUAGUACUGCUAUGCUGCUUGGCCCGCCGGCUCUCCGCCAUCCUAAUUCUCCCGCCGGCACUGUCUUUGAAGAUGGGGUCAUUCUAACGGAUUCCCUGAUCGUCCGCACCAGUAAUCUGGAGCUUUCUGAAAAACCGCCACUGGAAUCCCUGGCGUAGUGCUCUGUCAGUGGGGAUAUUGCUAUGGAUUGUUUGGAUUCCCAAGCCCACAAUCUUCAUCUUCCCGGGAAACCGCCGAUGGGCUUAACGGAAAACAAGUCUCCGACCUUUUUGUCUUCCGGGAACCCGUGCUUGGACUUCUUCUUCCAUGUGGUUCCCGAUACGUCGUCUGAUGAUCUGAUCCGACGGUUUGAGUUGGCUUGGGAAUUCAAUCCGCUGACGACGUUAAAACUGAUAUGCAACUUGAGAGAGGUGAGAGGCACCGGAAAAUCUGACAAAGAGGGUUUCUACACGGCGGUUCUCUGGCUCCACGACCACCAUCCCAAAACCCUAGCCUGCAAUGCUAGGGUGUUGGCCAGCUUCGGUUAUUUCAAGGAUUUUCUCGAGAUUCUCUACCGGCUUCUGGAGGGCCCUAAAAUUCGAAGAAUCGAAAAGAAAGACUGGCUGGAUCGAAAAGGAAGGAAGAAAAAUUCCCGGAAAAGGAACUCAAUAUUCAAGCGAGAAAAUAGGCCUGGAGUUGAAUUUCCUGUAGAAGAGAAGGAUGUGGAGUAUAUGGUGGAAGAAUUUGUGGAUAAAGAAAAGGCUAGGGUACUGAGAAAGGAGAGAGAACUUGCUCUUGCCAAAAGAGCCCUGCACAAGUAUUCUACUGAUUCUAAUUAUCAGUUCUUACAUGAUCAGAUUUCAGAUUUAUUUGCUGAACUUCUGAAAUCUGAUAUUCAGUAUUUAAACUCCGGUGAGCUUUACAAGAUUAGUCUCGCAUCCAAAUGGUGUCCCACAAUUGAUUCUUCUUAUGAUAAAUCCACCUUGAUAUGUGAAAAUAUUGCUCGAAAGGUUUAUUCUCGCGAGGAAUAUAUAUCCAGAAUACCAAGGAAUUGAGGAGGCUCACUAUGUUAAUAGAGUCAGGGAUAGGUUGAGAAAACAAGUACUUGUUCCAUUACGUAAGGCCCUGGAGUUGCCAGAGGUUUUCAUGUGUUCGAACCAGUGGGGAUCACUUCCCUACAACCGUGUGGCUUCAGUGGCCAUGAAAUCAUACAAGAGCCUCUUCUCAAAACAUGAUACAGAGCGGUUUGGUGUGUAUCUUGAGAAAGUGCAAACUGGGAAGGCUAAGAUUGCAGCUGGUGCAUUACUUCCCCAUGAGAUUAUAGCUUCAUUGAAUGAGGAGGAUGGCGAGAAAGUUGCAGAGCUUCAGUGGGCGAGAAUGGUGGAAGAUUUAUCAAAGAAUGGGAGGCUCACAAAUUGCAGUGCGGUAUGUGACGUAUCAGGAAGUAUGAGUGGAACUCCAAUGAAGGUGUGUGUGGCUCUGGGGCUGUUAGUUUCAGAGCUCAGUGAAGAUCCAUGGAAAGGUAAUGUAAUUACUUUCAGUGCAAGUCCUGAGCUUCACAAGAUCCAAGGAGACAGCCUUGUAUCCAAGACUGAAUUUGUGAGGAUGAUGGAAUGGGGUGCGAACACUGAUUUUCAGAAAGUUUUUGACAGAAUCUUACAAGUAGCAGUGGAGGGAAAUCUGAGUGAAGAUCAAAUGAUAAAGAGGGUUUUCGUUUUCACUGAUAUGGAGUUUGAUGAAGCUUGUGGGAGGUAUAACUAUUGUGAAUAUGACUAUGAUAUGGAGGAAAUUGAUGAGAGUCAGAAGGCAUCUCAGAAGUGGGAGACAGAUUAUGAAGUGAUACAGCGGAAAUUCCAGGACAAAGGAUAUGGAAAAGUUCCGGAGAUAGUGUUUUGGAACCUUAGAAACUCAUCAGAGACUCCAGUGAUGGCCACAGAGAACGGGGUGGCCUUAGUAAGCGGGUUUUCGAAGAAUCUGUUAGACCUUGUUUUUGGAAGGAGGUGGAAUUCUGACCCCUCAGGAUGUGAUGGAAUUAGCCAUCUCUGGUGAAGAUUACAAGAAACUUGUUCUAUUUGAUUAAGAUAUCAAGAGAUUUAUCAAUAAUAAUAUGUUUUUUUUUUUCUAUGUGAAAUACAUGUAAUAUUAACUAUGGAGUUAUCAAAGUUCUGGAAAUUUAAUUAUUUCUUCUUUUCAAGUUUUGUUUGUCUUUGUUAGGAAUUCCCCUUGGGCGGACCCAGCUGGGGACUUGGAUUGAGGAAGUAAGGAGGCGAAAUUGUGUUCUUCUAUGGACAGAGAAAAAAGAUAAAAAUAAAAAAUAAAAAAGGAGGUUAUUUGCAUUUGGAUGUCAUGUGGUUUCAGGGUACAACUACAAGUUCGAAAUUGUACAUAAUGUGAAAAUUCCUGUGUGGAGAACAGCAUAAAUAUGUAUCUCAGUGUGUUUUGUUUGAGCUAAUUGGCAAAUUCGCUUUAAACAUGGUCACAUGGAUGCAUAUUUAUUUGUGAAAUGAUAGUAGUCGAUUACUUGGUCAGUAAGGUUUGUAUCUCUAACUCCAACAUCUUAUUGUAGUCUUUUAAAAUGUCAAAAGUUUAAUGCUAGCUUGAGAAAUUUUGGAAUGGAGACAUUCUAAACAAAGUUAAUAAUCCAUGAGACUUGGUAAAACCGAUCAGAUGAUGCUUACGUACAUGAAUGCCUUCUUUAAGCCGUAUCCUAUUUUCAUUGAAUGAGACGUGCCAUCUAGUUUUGUUCUUGUCUUGAUUGGAUCAUGAUCCCGGGAAUUGAUUACUGUUCUGAAUUUGCGAAUGUUCAAGGUAUUAGAGAAAGUUAAUAUUAUCGUUAAUUUACAUAUUAGUAUUUAUCUAGUUAUUAUAUAUUAGUUUGAAUUAUAAUAUAAUAUAGAAUUUGAAUCAAGUUUACUAUUAGUUUGAAUUACAAUAGGAAAUAAAGUUUGAAUUAUAGUAUAACUCAAAUAUAUUUGUAUAUAAAUAUCCAUCUUUAUCAAUGAGAAUAGUAAACCAUAUUUUUCUCUAUCUUCUUCUUUCUCUAUAUAUAUGGUAUCAAAGCCUCCAAAUCCUAAACCUAGUCUCAACUUAGAGCAAAUUUAGGGUGCAGGGUUUAGGCCCCGCCUCCCCCAACCCUUACCACAAAUGGUAGUGACCUUGUUAUGCCUAUGUAUUGUCAAUGCCUCAUUUUCUAUGGUCUUCAAUACAAUAUCUAGUUUCAAUGUCUCUUUCCUUACUAUCUCCAAUGCAAUAUAUUGAUUUCAAUAUCUCUUUACAACCAAGAGCUCCAAAUUUUCCUGGUUCAAAUCUACCAUAAUUUUUAUUCUCCUUUGCUUUUUACCAAUAUUAGUUCCCCUAAUUUAAUAUAUAUCUCUUUAUUACCUUCAACUCUACCUCUCUCUUUCUUUAAAAGCUUCCUCAAAGAUUUGAUUGCUUUCUUGCAUGUUUUGGGAAAACAAACAUGCUCAUAUUCUAUUACCUCUACUUGAGAUCUGCCUUAUACUCUACCUUCUUCUUUACCUCCUAUAUCAUCUACUACAUUAGCUUCAAAAACAUUAUUUAGUUUGAUGCUAAAUAAGGCUCCUAAUCCUACCCUUCCUUCAACUAACUUUCUUUUACAAGUCCCUCAAAGUUUUUUUUUUUUUUUUUUUGGAAAUUUGGCUUAGAAAGAUUUCAUUACUCUUACCUAAUCUUUCAACCAUCAAGUCGAAUCCACUUAUCUCUUGAAUCCAAGGAGACUACCCUCCACAAAAACAAGGAGAUUGACCCCCACAAUAACAAAGAGAUUGUCCUCCAUAGAAACAAAGAGAGCUUCCUUCAUGGAAGCCGAAUACAUCGCAAUCUAUUUUCUUUCUCUCAAGAUCAAAUCUCCAAUCGGAGCUCCAUCUUGUGGGGAUAUAUUAGAAAAAGUUAAUAUUAUCCUUAAUUUACAUAUUAGUAUUUAUCUAUAUUAUAUAUUGAAUUAGAAUAGAAUAUAGAAUUUGAAUUAAGUUUACUAUUAGUUUAAAUUACAAUAGGAAAUAGAGUUUGAAUUAUAGUAGAACUCAAAUAUAUUUAUAUAUAAAUAUCCAUCAUUAUCAAUGAGAAUAGUAUUCCAUAUUUUUCUCUUUCCCUGAGGCUUCAGAAUGUGAUCUUGAACAUUUGAUCUUUUGGAUUCUUCUUGUUUCGGUGGUUUAAUAUAAUGGAAUGUUUAAUUAUAGCCUACUUUAUCACCAUGGAUGUGCUCCUGCAGAUUUCUUGAGGGUGAUGGUUAUUUUGUCAUGUUUCUUGAAUGGUUUGCAUCAGCUGCCUGAGCUGUUGUUGCUGGUCACUUUUGCAACCAGGGAAAGAAUCAUGGCUUUGGAGAAGCCAGCUUCUGUUUUUGUUGCCCAGCUGUUAGUUCACUAAGAUUGGGGGUCCUAACAUGUAUGUAUAAUCAUAAGCAAGGAAAUUUUAUGUCUUACGCUAGAUAGGUACCAUGAUAUGAUGUUUGAUUGAUUUAUUAACUCUACCUGUUUCAAAAGGCAUCAACAUUAAUUUUACCCUUUUAACACAUUGGAUUGUUUGACCUUACGAGAUUUUCUAUUUCUGUACUAUUUGAACUGCAAUCGUUAUGGUCCUUAGGUCUCUAAACCUUCGUUUAAAAUAAAAGUAAGGAGCACACAUAGUAAAAGUUAAUUUUGGGUAACUUUUAAAACAAAGAGAAAAGUAAAAGUUGUUUUUGAGAAAAACAUAUAGAAAUUGAAAGAUUUUUUAUUUUGAGAAAAAAAAGUCAUAGAAAAGAAAUAAUAUCCCCAUAUAAGUAGAUAUGAUCUAUCCGAAGUGUAGCUACUCUCCUGGAUUUAUUCUAACAUUUUAAAAUUUUUCUCAAUGGGCAAAGGAAUAUCAAAUCAAGCUUGAGUAGGAUUAAUUUCUUAAUUUUUAAAAUAACUUAUAAUUAAAAUUUUUUGGUGUUUUCUUUUUUGGACAAUUUUUUAUGAAGACUCUGAAUCAUGCAAGAGAUAUGGUUAUUUUAAAAAAAAAAAUAAUUUAAAACUCAAAUACAUAAUCAAUGUCACAAAUUUAUAAACAAAAGGUUUUUAAAAAAUACUAUUAUUUCCCCUCUACACAUAAUUUUACUUUUCCGAUUUAUUUAUUUUUGUUGGAAAACAGUCUUCAAAUCAAGUAAAAUUAAUAUGUUAAAUUUGUUAAACAAAUAAAUUUUAAAAUACAAUUUGGAACUCAAAAAUCAAUUCAAGUAAUGCUAAAAUUCAAAAAAUCAAAUUUGGAAUAAAAUGACUUUGUAAAUUUUUUUACUAAACAAAUGAAUUUUAAAUCAAGUGAGAUUUAAUACAUUGGAUUUUUAUGAGAAUAGUAAUUUUAAAAAUUAAUUUGGAACUCAAAAAUAGACACAAUAAAUACCAAAAAUCAAUGAACCAAAAUUGGUUUGGAAUAACUCCAUAAUUUUUUAUUUAUUUAUAUAUUUAUUUUUUUGUGCACACGAAUUUCUUACUAAGCAUAUUGCUUCCAAAUUGAGAAAAAUUUACUAUUUAGAUUUUUUUAAUGAGUUUAAUGGUAUUUAAAAAUAAUUCAAAAAUUCGAAAAUUGACUAAUUUAAUAUUAUAAAUUCAUAAACCAAGACUAAUUCAAAAUGCAUUGGGGGCUAAGGGGGUUGAAAUUAAUGCUCCAUUUGGUUGUGGCCACCAAUUGGCAAUGGCCACCAAUCAACCAAUCAAGGUGGCUAAGGGGGUUGAAAAUAGGGACAAUGGGGUGGGUUUGGGACAGGACACUCAUAUCCCAUUCCCAUCCCAAUUACACAGUUAUUUCCCAUCCUUAUUCCAAACUUGUGUUGGGGCAAGUUGAUUUGUUCCCAUCUUUGUUAACGAAAUGACUAAUAACCUCAUCCUCUCCUUGUCUUAGAUGUACAUUUUCUCAAAUUUGGUCAGGUAUGAUUGAUUCAAGCCCUAACCUUAAUUGGUAAUGAGUGGAUACCACACCUAAUUGCAUUCUUCUUUCGUUGCAAAAUAAUGAGAUUAUAAUAAUCUAGCAAAUAAGAAAAAAUAGUAUGGAAGUUCAAAUUAACACCAUAACUAUCAAUAAUUUUAAGCUUAUAGAUGACUUAAAUGAUUGAAAACUAAUGCAAAAUACUAAAAAAAAAAAAAAUCAUCUAAAGAAUUCACAAGAGAAUAGAACGAACAAAACCAAAUAGGAACAUGGGUCAACAUUAGUUACAGAUUUUGAUCCCUUUCAAGGCCAAUCUUUGAACCAAGACUUCAUCAAAUCUACUACUUCAAAGGCUUUUGUGUUCUUCUUGAGUUGUACUCUGGAACAAAGACUUCGAGGUGAUGCUUUAGAUGAUUGCAUUACACAUAUUUAGGGUAGGGAGAUUGGAGAAGCUUGAAGAUGCCAACGAUGGGUACAAUUGAGUGGUCAAUAAGAACAAUGUGGCCUAUGACUAGUUUGAUGUCAUGGUAUAGGAGUUUUGGGCAUUGAGGUGAAAGCAAGAGCAACAUGGAAUUGAUUUCAAAGUCUUUCAAUUAGUGUAAAGGAGGAAGAAGAAGUGGUAUUGAUCCUAGAAAUAGUGUUUUAGGUGUUGCAUUAGAGGAAAAGAAAAAGAAAAAGAAGGAACCAUUGGAAUUAGUACGAGUGUGAAGAGAGAAGUGUAUACAUAAGGGGAAGUAAAAGCAAAGUUCUAAAAAUUUAUUUUUUUAUUGGUGGUGUAUGGUUGCAUGAUUAUCCCUAUAAAUAAUAGGAGUUUUUUGGUGUUCUACUAGUAGUUGAAGGAUAAUUUCAUAAGAUAAUAUUUAGAGCGGGGUGGGGUGAGUUGUGACAAAAUCCAUACCCGUCCCAAACAUUGGUUCAGGUUUUUAAAAUAUUUUCAAACUUAUCAUAUACCCAAUUUUAUAUUUCAUACUUGUCCUAAUAGAGACAGGUUAGUCAGGGUUACUUGAGUAGCCUACAAAACUAUCAUCCCUAGUUGAAAUGCUCUUUUUGGCAGUGGCAGCUAGAAGCUCGAUCGAUUGACCUACAAGACUAGUUGUCAUCAUUUUAAAAAGAGUUUUGGCUUUGGUUGUGAGUGCAAUUGAAUCUAAACUAACAUUUCCUUAAUGCAUCUACUUCAAUCCUAAACUUCUUACUUAAGCCUCAAUUGUUGUUAAGAUUUUGGAAAACCCAUUUCCUUAAAUUGUAAAUUUAAGAAAAAAAAAAUUAAAAGUGAGACAUUUCUUGAUUGAAUGUUGUUAAAGGUCCCUUGGAAUUAAGACUUGGUUGAAGCCUUGGAAGAUUAGCAGAACUCUCAACUUAUGUUUGAACCUUGAGGAGAGUGGACGUAGGCCAAAAUUUUGUCAAACCAUUAUACAAAUUGAGUUUGAAUUCUCAUUUCUUGAUUUCUUAUUUAUUUGCUUUUUCUUAUUAUUACUUGAAUUGUCAUUUGCAUUCAUUAAUGUUAAAAUUGGUUAUAAUUAGCCAACACUAAUUCUCUUUCCCCUUCCCUUAAUUUCUUGGGUGUAAACCUAGGUUGGAUUAACUAGAUUUUAUCAAAUCUAUUAAGAUGGUAAAAGAAUAAUUAUUCUUAACAUACAUAAGAUCAUCUUCAAUCAAAUGACUCAUUGGCUGAUAUGUUGAAUUUGCUUAUUACUUGCAACUCAAAAUUGUGUUCUAGUUGAUAUGUCAAGUCCUGAGUGUAUGGACAUUAAAUUUGUAGUACGUGAUGAGUAUUUAGAUGGUCCAAUUCCAAGAAAGUGAUUGAAAACUAGUUCAAGAAAGGUGCAAAAGGGAAUUGUUUUGGUAUUUUCGUUUUUAUUCUUGAAGGUGGCAGAGCUAAAAUUUGAGAAAUCAAGCAAAACAUACUGAAAUUACAUUGAAAGAAAGAAAAUGGGAGUUAAUGUCUUGCAGUACAUGAUAAGGACUUCAUGCAUGUAGUGUGACCCAUGUCUUGGACUGAUGCCACACUCACGGUUACACUUAUACCCUUAGUUCUCUCUUUACUACCUUAGCUAACCUAGAUCAGGUUAUGAGAUAGGCACCUCACCACACCAUUACUUGCCCAUUAAUUAGUGACAUUUUCAAGCAAUGAGGUAACAUGGUGACACCAAGAGGGUAUAUUCCUCACCCCCAACAAGCCUAGACCUGGUCUAAAAAAAAUGGAGAAAAAUGACGUGUUGUUAUGCAGAAAUAUAGCAACCAUGCCUUCCUCAUUACUUAGAUUCAGAAUGUGAAGGUGAAAUUGAGAAACAGAAACUCUUGAAACCAAAAUGAAAAUUGAUACUUUUACGAAGAAUUACAACAACAUUAGAGGAAGACUACAUUCUUCCUCUUUAUUCCUACAUUUCUACACUACUUCUACUCCACUCCAUAUUUCUACAUACAUCUUUAAUCAGUCUUCCCUCCUUUAUAUAGAGCCAUCUUCACACAAAUUCCGCAAGGUAGAAAAGAGGAAUGAAACUUGGAGCAAGGUUCGACUACUGGCUGUAGCUUGUCAAGGCUGAAAGUGAACUUUUUUUCUUGGCUUUUCUGGGCAUAGGUAGUAACUUGUAGGUUCCUUUUUGGAAUGAAAAUGGUACGGCUAGAACAUGUGGCACUCUCUUGUUGGAUGAUGUGUCAAGCAUGUGGCAGCCAUCUAGUGGAGAUUAUGUCAAUUUUGGGAUGGAGAGUUGGCAUCCAAUUGCAAAGAAAUAUGACAUCUACCAACAUGCAAUGUCAACCUAUGUAGAUCAUAUGAAGAUAGAGAGGAAAAAUAUAGAAAUGGAUAUAUAACUAGAACUAGCUUUUUAUUAAAUGAGACGGAGAGCCAACAAUGAAGGAAAAUCAAAAUUUUUGGCUCAUAUCAAAGAAUUCACAUUGUGUUACCCUAGGUUUUCUUAAAACUUACUUUUAUGAUAAUAAAAAAUCAUUAUUGUUUAAUCCUUUGUUUUAAACGCAUGUUUAGCAGGUUGUAAAAUGUAAAUAUCUUUCGAAAUUCAAAUAUGAAGAUAUGACAUCAUUUCAAGCAAUAUAGUCUCUAGGAAUUAAUGUAAAGCUAAAUUAAGGUGCAAUUAAGUUAGUUCAAUGCAUUAUUUUAAGAAACUUGACCUAUCAAAACCUUGUCUUACUUCAAAGCCUCUUUUUCUUUUCUUCCAACUAACAUUUUAAUAAGUGAUCGCAAAAGUACAAAAUUAGAUGAAAUCCAUUUCAAUGGUUAAAAUGAUCAAAUUCAAACUUUUUCUAAGUAUCUUUUAAAAGCAUCAAUAUUGAAAGACAAUUUUAUAUUUAGUCAAAGCUUGGACAGAGCCAAAAAGCACACAAAAAUUUAUAUUUUCUAGCUCUCUACCUUGGAUGGUCUCUUGAUCCUACUUGGAGAUGUGCAUAAAUAAAAGGAUUUGAAAAUGACAAUUGACUAAGUAUGUAGUCAAUCAAUUACUCAUUGAUUGACUAGUUGAUCAAUUAACUUUGCAACAUCAUAUGCAAUCCUAAUAGCUAGUCAUCUAAUCAACUAGGUAGUAAAUCAAUAGGCCAAAAAUAUGUUUAUAAUGACUAUUUUGUACAAAAACCACUUAUAUAGUUAAAUAUAAUGCAUUUCAUUUAUAAAUCUUCUAAUUCUUGAAUAACAAUCCUAUCAUCCUUUGAAAGUUUUUAUUACACCUUUUCUACAUUUGUUCUAAAACUUAUACAUCACCCUUAAUUGUACCAUGAGAACCUAGCAUUUUUUUUUUUUUUUUUGUAUUUCAUCAAAGUUAGCUCUUGUACUCAUUGUUGUAUUAUUUUUAUUGUAACUUAGAGAGCGAGUGUUUUCAAGUGAGUGAAAUUGACUUGUAAAUAUUGUAAAGAUUCAUUGAUAUGUAUCUCAAACUAGGUGUACAAGUUGAAACAUUUGCUAGUAGAUUUUCUCAAGAUUUAGAAUGAGCUUAAGGCUAUCGAAUUAGGUGGGGUUGCGCCAAACCAUAUCACAUCGUUGUUUGCACCUUUUUUUUCACUCUCUUUUACUUAGUUGCUCUAUAUAUAUUGUCUAGCAAUAUCCUAAAGGCUUGAUGGGCUAGGGAGCAUCCCUCUGAAUGAAAAAUUUUCAUUCAAUUCUUAGUUGUAUUACGCAUAUAUAAAAUGCCUCAUUGUUUUAAUGGUAUUCAGUCGUGGCACCACAGAUAUGGACAUCUAAAUUUUAAAAGUUUGAAACUUUUAGCUAAAGAAAAUAUGGUGCUUUGCCUUUUUGGAAAGCAUGUUGAUGAAAUCCAUGAGAAUUGUAUACUUGGAGAGCAACAUCGAGAUAACUUUUUUUUUUUCUUUUUUUAUAAUGCAUUGUUUGUCCAAAUUCCGUACAAAUUAGGCCACCACAUGUUCAUAAUUCUCCCUUCUUGAAUUUGAAAACUCGGACAAUUUGACAAUGCGACACCUAAGUCCGGUUUUUAAAUGCUAAAGUGAAAGGGCAGGUAUGGACCAUUGAAAUGUGAUAACAACUUUUGGCCUUUUCCUUUUCUCUGUAGCCAUGUUGUCUCUUUUUAAUUUCUUUUGCAUGAUUUUCUUACCUAAACAGAAUCAUAGACUUGUUUAAUCUCUAAGUGGGAUUUCAUCCACCUUAAGCUACUGUAUUAUAUCUCGGUGGAGGACAACCGACAUAGAGCACAUGCAAGUGGGUAUAUGGGACAUGAAAUAUCUUCUUAUAAAGCUUGUUUUGCAGUUAAAUUAAUUGGAUAAGUAGACACUGGCGUUUCUAAAUUUCCCACCUAAGAUAAUGACCUUAUCCUUGACUGCUAGAUACACAAACAAUUAUACCUUCAAAAUCUACUGUGAAGUGCUUCAUGUAUGUGUGAAGUAUUAGAAAUUUCUUUCUUGGCAACUUGUUUUUUUCUUUGCGGUCUACUGAUAGGUUUGACUAAAAUUAUAUUCCCUGUCCUGCUAAUUAAUUUUCACGUGCAUGCUCAAAAGAAGAGUAUGACCUUAGUGCACCAAAAUCACUUUCAAUAAUUUGUGAUAAGUUUUUUUGCAUGACAUUAACCUUAUUCAUUUAGAUAAUGUUUAGUUCUCAUAAAUAUUAAGAAAAUGAAAAUAAAUAUUAAGAAAAAUAUUCUUAUAUUUGAUUGUAUUAUGAAAAAUAUCAUAAAAAAUCAAAUAUAAUUAAAAUUAAUUAAUAAUUUAUAUAUUUUAAAAUUAUUUAAUUUUUAUAUUAAAGAUAUAAUAUAAAUGAAAUGAGUUUUAAGUAUUAUAUAAAAAUGAUUUAUUUAUUUAUUUAUAUAUAUAUAUAUAUAUAUAUUUAGUUUUUCUCUUUAUUUUAUUUUCCUUAUGUUUUCCUCACAUUUUCCGGAAUCAAAGAUAGGGAAAUCCACAAUUACCUUCAACUGAGUAGAUUCUAUUGUUUUAGCAAUGUUAGGCUGCUAACUUGUGGUGGUACGAACCAAAUGAUCCAUGUUAAUCUUGGCUUGAUUUAAUUUGGCUCUAUCUCAGAGAACUCAAGGAUCACGUCAACUCUGGUUUCUACUAUUCAGGUCCAUUCCCAGAUGAACUGGUUCAAAUUUGAGAAAAUGGUAACAGACCUUUAGUGAUAUUGGUUUGGAGCCAGUUGCCAAACCUGCCCUGAGCUUUACCACUAAUGUCAAGGGACAAAGCCAUUUGAACAAAAACAAUAGCUUCAAGAGACUGAAUCGUGGAUGAAAUCUGAUCCACAUUUCUUCUCAUUUUGGGAAAAAAUGAGGACUUAACCACAAAGAUUCUACUGCCUCAUAGUGCUUUUCCUGAUCUAAGGUUGGCUCGUUUCCCAAAUUGUGAGGUGCACGUGCCACUCUCACGCUCAGGAGUGUAUCCACGUGGUGGACAUAAGAUGGUGGCUUAAUAUCUGGUGUCGGUGGCUUUACUUUACUAGGAGAGUAGUGUGUCUUCAUCUCAUUCACUGCCAGAGGGUGGCGUAAGCAGUGACGCUAAGGUGGGGCACAGUCAAUAUCAUUUGCAUUUGACCAUUAUAAUUUUCUCCCGGCUUUAAAGUAACCUUAUCGUGAUAAUGGAUUACUAGCACUAGUUCAGAUGACAGUCAUGUUAAAUUCGGACCAUGUUUGUGUCACAUUAUCAGCAACCAUGUGCUUGUGGUUCAUGCUAUCUGCAACUAAACUUGAUAUAUAACCAGGUGAACUUCAAUCUAAAUUCUGGAAGUACUCAUGUGAUAGAUGGUGCCUGUCUGCAGUGAGUGUAUCUAUAAGAGGGAAGGCUUGGCAAAUGUUCAGUUUUCUGGGAAUUCAACAGGGAUCUAAAAUAGAUUGUUUUCUUUGCUGAUUUCAAUGGUUGAAAUUUGAGAAGAUUGUGUCCACAUAACACAACUAUUACUGGUCCUUCUGUUGCAAUUUAUCCUCUAAGGCUCUAACAUGUCUUCCAAUUCCCACUUCCCACUUCCCUGUUACUCCAGGAAAGCUGUUUCUGUCAUUGUGAAGAAGAAAAGAGACUGUACAUAUCGAUGCUUUUAAGUGGACUGGAGAAUUCAUAUCAGGUGGUCUGCAGCCAUACAUGCCACUUUGUGAAGGUUGGAACAGUCAAUCACUAGGCUAUAUUAGUGGGGCCCAGCCACUUCAAUCAAGGACAAGUCUUCAUACUUAAAGUCAAAUUCUGCCUUUAGUCUCAUUAUAAAUUGCUGUUUAAAUAUCAAGCAAACAUUUGUUUAAUGCGAUUAAGACAGCACUAACUCAAUACUUGUUCUAUUUUUGGAUGCAAAUGCUUGAUAGUUUCAUCAUUGGAGGGGAUAAAGGUGCAUUCAUGAUUAUGAAUACUUGUAGUUAUAUUUUCAUUCUCUUUUUUCUCAAUGGGACUUGUUGGCACAAUUUUGCUGUUCAGAAACCUACCUCUCCAUGGAAAAUCAGUUGUGAUUGAUAUUACUGGAUAUAUUCAAGAAAGCUAAAUGUAGAUAGCACAAAAUAUUAUCGACAUAAAUAGCAUUAACAGCGUACGUAUGUCUCAAUGCUCAUCAGCUAUAAGCAAGGGGCAAACACUUACUAUGAGCAACUUACGUCAAAAUUCCGGAAUAGGACAUAGAAGUGACAGGUCAGUAAAUAUAGAACACUGCAUAUGAGUCACAAGAAAGGAAAUUACGGGUACAUAGCAGCUCUUAUUUUACAUCCUACUCAUACUGAUCAAAGUCACUCAGUUGGGAUGGGUGGGAGUGGGAGGUUUGUGGGGUGGCUUGUGCGGAGGAGUUGGCAGCUUCUUUCCAGGACCUGGUUGCUUCUCUGCUGGAGUUGAAGGAGGCUUAAUCUUCCGAGGUGGCUUGUAUGAGUCUUCAGCAUUCUCAGCAGGAGGGUGACCAGGGUUGUGACCACAAUGUGGUGGCUUCUCUCCCUUAGGUGGUUUGCCAACUGGGGUUGGUGGCUUGUGUUCCGGAAGUGGCUUCUCUUUGUGUUCAGGAGGUGGCUUCUCCACUGGAGGCUUGUGUUCAGGAGGUGGCUUCUCCACCGGAGGCUUGUGUUCAGGAGGUGGCUUCUCCACCGGAGGCUUGUGUUCAGGAGGUGGCUUCUCCACCGGAGGCUUAUGCUCUGGUGGUGGCUUCUCCACCGGAGGCUUAUGCUCUGGUGGUGGCUUCUCCACCGGAGGCUUAUGCAAUGGUGGUGGCUUCUCCACCGGAGGCUUGUGUUCAGGAGGUGGCUUCUCUACCGGAGGCUUAUGCUCUGGUGGUGGCUUCUCCACCGGAGGCUUAUGCUCUGGUGGUGGCUUCUCCACCGGAGGCUUGUGUUCAGGAGGUGGCUUCUCCACCGGAGGCUUGUGUUCAGGAGGUGGCUUCUCCACCGGAGGCUUGUGCUCUGGUGGUGGCUUCUCCACCGGAGGCUUAUGCUCUGGUGGUGGCUUCUCCACCGGAGGCUUGUGUUCAGGAGGUGGCUUCUCCACCGGAGGCUUAUGCUCUGGUGGUGGCUUCUCCACCGGAGGCUUGUGUUCAGGAGGUGGCUUCUCCACCGGAGGCUUAUGCUCUGGUGGUGGCUUCUCCACAGGAGGCUUGUGUUCAGGAGGUGGCUUCUCCACCGGAGGCUUAUGCUCUGGUGGUGGCUUCUCGAAUGGGGGAUGCGUAGGGUAAUCAGCUAGUGAGGGGGCGGUGAGAACCACCAGGCCAAGCAACACUACUAGCAAGUAUGUAGGAGACAUCUUUGGGUUUGGGCUCAGAUGGUGCAAAACUAGGAGAAUUGGCUAGCCUUUUAUAGCGGAUCGUACCCAAUAAUGAAAUGACACGUGUCAUUAUGACCCAUGUGUCAUGUGGUCGAUUUGGGUCCUACAGUGUUGAAAACUUCGACAUCCACUUUUUUGGCCUUUUGCUUUCUCUACAGUCGCCUUGCUUUUUCCCUCUUUUCUUUUGUUUUCCUCCUGCCCCAUUCUAUCAACUAAUCACAAUUAUGUAGUUGUUUAAUUCUUAAAUGAGAUAUUAUCCGUCAAUCAUAUUAUCUUUUAUCAAGAGAGAACGGAGUGAAAAGUGGCAAUCCAAAGAAAGAAGAUCCAUAAUGCAGCUGUAAUUUUAUCGUUUACUUUUAUCUCUAGGACCACUGCAUUUUUGUUGAGAGGUGCAAUAAUACACGUCUUUAUCUGCCAUUCAAUGUUUACAGUAAAGAGAGGGCACAAAACUCUUCACUGCUCUGCAUGUGCCCCAAAAAUGCAAUUGGACAAAUUAUGAUUUGCAUGCUAAAAAGAGGCAAAUGAGGUUAAUUAGCACCAAAAUUAUUUUGUUUUCUGGACACCCCGGGGCCCUUUGGUUGGUUUGGGGGUCAGAAAAUGAACAUCAUAGGGGGUUUUUCCCUAAUGUGCAUUUGCAUUUGUAUCUGAUGGCUUUAACUCGCCUUGUUACUACAAAGAAAUUGUCACAGAUAGGAACUUAUUCCAGGCUGAGUAUCUCCGCAUGGACCCUAUAAAAGAAGACAAGUCAUAAUGAACAUCUAACCUUUGUUCAAUUUGAUUCAAUGCCCCUAUUGUGUCCAUCUCACAAAUCUGAAUUAUUAUAUCCAUUGAAUACAUAAAUUAAUGAAGAAAAUAUGAAACCCAAGAUACAUCUCUGCACAACCUCAACCCUGGUUGCUAUGUUUCACUUCUAUUCACAUGAGGAUAUUGAUUACGGAAUAAGGAAACCUAGCAAGGGUUUACUCGGCUCUGGUUUGAUGCUAAUUGCCAAACUUGCAACAAGCCCUGAGUUUGACACCUAAUCGAUGGGCGAAUUAAAAGUCUCCUCCAAACAUAUAUUCCACAGCUUGAAGCUCACAGAAGAUGCUAUACAGGCAGGGAAAAACCUUCAGAGUUAGCUACCAAAGAUAAUUAUCAAGGAGAUAUCACCAAGAGAAUUCCAUGGAGUCUGAAUCAAAGACAAAUUGCUCGCUCGUGGGGGUUCUUACUUAAUUUCUUUUGGGUAUAACUCACUGAGGGCACUGGCUUUGUUAUUUGCAUUUCGCAUUUAGAGUUCUGUUCUGGAAGGUUUGUUCUGGAAACAUAUAAAAGGAGCAUCAUUUUGUUCUAGGGUAACCCAUAGUUGUGAGUGGGUCCAUUUGCAUGCUACUUAGUUGAAAAGUUGGACAAUUUGCUCCGACGCCUACCUCCUGGAUUCCAUGCUCGGAUAAAGCAAGAAUAAUAAAAUAUUUAUAAUUUACAAAUGGGGGAAAGAAAAAAAUGUCAACAACAAACUAGGAAAAAAGAGUAGUAAAAUUUAUGCCACAUGCUAUUGAUAGAAGGGGCAUGUAUUAGAUCCAUCACCAUUUGGUAAGAUUUUAGUAUUAUAUUUUUCAAGGUUCAUUAUUUGAGGGUGUGUUCUUCAUCUCUGUUGCAUUGCUUCUUACUAGGCCCACUGAGGUGGGUUCUUCACCUUUUGUAUAUUCUCUGCACUAGAUCAAUGAGAAAGGGGGAAUUUUGGUGAAUUUGCAGCCGUUGGAUGAUUGAUUCUAGGCUCAGUCCACCAAUGAUGCUCUCUUCACUCUUUCUCAUCUAGUGUCAUUCACAACUAUGUUUUGAUUCAUAUUUGUACUAUCAAAGAUAUCUCAUUAUUCUAGCUCAUUAGGUAGAGUUCCUAAUCUUCCUCCUUUUUGGUCUAUGGACAGUAUUGGCUUCAUAUUAAGAUCAUGUUUCAAUAAUUGCACAUUAAUGAAUGGAUCAUGACCCACAUAAACAGAGUCAGGGUUGAGUCAGUGAACCCUAAAAUUUCACAAUUCUAAAUUUGGGUUCUUUAACAAUGCAGGGUCAAGGACGCGUGGUGAUGAAGGAAAGCUGGUAAGCUCAGUGUUACUUCAAUUCCUGCCAUGUAGGAUGGUGAGGAGAUAUUCACUAUGCAAUUAAUAAUAGACAAUAUUCACUAUGCAAUAAUAAAGCAUAAAUUAAGUUGAAUGAAAAGCAUUUUCUUUGCAAGGAGUUGAUUUUGGUUUCAUAGUUUGUUCAACUGCUAUUUUGGAUAGGAAAGUGUGAGGAGAAGAAAAUAAAAAAUAAAAAUAAAACAAAAAAUAAAAAAUAGAUUUUAUAAAUUCAUUUAAUUUAUUUUUUUUUUAUAAAAAUUAACUAAUUUAAAAUAUAUGUAAAUUUCUAAUUAAUUUAAUUACAUUUUUUUUUUCAGUUUUUCAUAAUAAACCAAAUAUUAGAAAAUUAUUUUUAUUAAGACACCCAAGAUGAGGUAAUAUGCAAUGAAAACAUGAAUUAUAUUAAAAUUCAAAACAAAUUAAGAGAAAUCGGAAAAUAUACAUAGAUAUCUAAACAAAGAAAUUUAAAGAGAAGGAACCACAAACUUUAUUUACAUAAUUUGAAAAUAAAAAACAUAAAACAUACUUAUAGUAAGGAGAAAUUGAAUAUCUUACAAUGGAAGAAGGGAGAAAAGCUUUGAAGAAAGCUUUUGCUUGGAAGCUUACAUGGUGAGAGGUAGAGAAAGGAGAGAGAGAGAAGAAAAUGAAAAAUGAGAAGUGGAGAAAAUUGGAAGUUUUGUGUGCUUACAACUGAGGAUAGAGCCUCCUUAAAUAGCAAAAAAUGGAAUAUUAAAUAGUACCAAUCAGGAGACAAAAUAUUGUUUGCUUUUGAAACCCGUGCAUGAAUAGUAAUCCCGUGAGUGAAUAGUGAAUAAUAAAAGUGAAUAGUAAAAGUCACUUUCUACUAUAGCACUUUAGACUUUUUCAUCGAGAAUCUUACUUUCGGCUGAGUGAUGAUAGCUGAUAGGUUGCUUUGGAUUGUGGAGUCAUAUGUUUGAUGUUUUCGGUGCUGAAACCGCUUAGUUGGAGAAUAAUCUCGUCAGUAGAGCAUCAUGAGAAGCUUGAAUGGAGAGAGCUUAAUGAUGCCAUAUGAUUGGAAGGAAUCCUAUUUUAAUUUCCUUAUUGGAGGGAGAAUACCCUCACAAUCAUCUUCAUUAUCUUGAAGGUAGUUUGAUAUAGAGUCAUCUGACUCAGCAUAAGAGUCCUCUUGGGAGAAGCUUGAACUGCUUUUGUCAAGGAUUUUCUGAAAUUCUUGAGGGGUUUUUGCUAUUGCUAACAUGGUUUGGAGUUGCUGUUUCUUAAGAAGAAACUGUGCAAUAUCAUAAGAUGAUGAAGCUUGUGUAGGAUGCUUUAGGAAAUAUUGCUUUAUUGCUUGUAGUGAGGUAUCAUUUUUCAAGGCAUCCCACCACUUAGACUUGAAAGUCCUUCCAAGGGUUGGAAAGGCUGCUGAUUCAUCUGCUAUAAUGAUAUAAUCCCACUGGACUAUCCAGGCAAGGCCAAAUUCACUAAAAAAGAAUAAUAAUUGGGGAAAACUGAAAGUUCUCUAGGGAUAACAAAAGAACUUUGGAAUAGCUCAAAGCCAUCCAAAAUGGGUUUUGGGAGAAUUUUAAUAGUUGGACCAAAAUAUGUCCACCAAUUGUGGAACCAAAAUGGAAAAGAGGGGAGUUGAUGCUUAGAUGGGAAAUAGAACAUCCCUGAAUGAUGGAAGUCCUUGUUCUGGAUCAGAAAAGCAUUGAACCAUACUCUUUGGUAGUCUCAAUAAUUGAAAAUUUUAGGUUUUGAAGGCUUAGAAAAUUCUCUUGAAAAAUUAGGAUUCCCACCCCACUGCUUAACUGUAAGGAUUUUAUAAAUAUGGUAAGUGGAGAAUGCCAAAUCCAAAUUGCUGAAUUUAUCAGCAUUGUGCUUGAUUUUAACAGAGCCGGUUUCCAUAAGGAUUGCUUCAUAAAAUUCUCUUGUUUUUAAAAGAUCACCAAAGGGAUAAUGAAAAUUUUCAUGAAAAGCUUUUGCUGCAAUAUCUCUAGGGUUUUUAGAGAAAAACUCUUUUUCAAUAACCAAAAGAGGUUGAUUUAAAUCUUUUUGCCAAUAUCUUGCUUUUGCUGAAAGAGGUGUGGGGUUGGCUACCACCACAAUUUGCUUAUUUGAAAAAGAAGAGCUUGAUGCUAAUUCAUUUUGAGAGGGAUUAGCUUUAGUAACCUGCUUAAAGGUCUGAGACACAGUAAUAGUUGGAUACUGAGUAGCCUUGACUGGUUUAGAAGGAUUCGAAGGAUCAUAGUACAAGGACAAAAUCUUAUUAGGCAUAUGGUCAGAAGAAUGAAGCCUUGCUUCUUCUUCUAGCUCAACUUGUUGGCUCCAAAGUAUUUUAUGGGGAGAAGGUUCUUUGCUGGUUUUAGAAGACUAGGAUUCUGGAAGUUUAGGAGCUUGGGUAUUCUUUUUAGGGGCCAUGGUUUCGUGAAUCCUGUAAAAUUCACAAGUUAAGAAAUCAGGGCUCGAAGAAUGUUCUCCUUUAAUAUACUCAAUUUGUAAAUUAAAAUUGCUUAAAAUAGCUUGAUAUAUAGCAAAAAUAUGCUUAGAAGUUAUAUUCUUAACAUCCUUUUGUAAAACUAAUUUUGCAAAUUUACAAUCAACUCUUAAUAAAAACUUUUGAUUCAAAAGAUCAUCUUGAAAUUUUGAAAUGCAUAAAACAACGCUUAAAGUCUCUUUUUUAAUGAUGUUAUGAAUGAGUUGGGUAGUAUUCCAGGUUCUUGAAGUAUACCUAACUAACAUCUCAAGGUUACCAACACUUUGCUUAAGAAUCCCACCAUAACCUAUGUCUGAGGUAUCGAUCCCAACAAACUCAAAGGUUUCUGGAUUGAUAGAGCCUAAACAUGGUAGGGUCUUGACUUUGGACUUAACAUCAAUAAUGAAAACAAUGGUGAAAACAGAAAACUGGUUAAAGUUUUCAUCCAUUAUAUUCUGGAAUUCUGAGGUGCAUUCUUAAGAUCAAAGGGCAUUAUGAACCAUUCAUAAUGUCCAAGAGAUACCACAAAGGUGGUCUUAUUUGGAAUAGGACACCUAAUCCAACUUAAUGUAUCAUUAAGAGGCAUGUAGUUGACGACUAGUCUAGGUGUUCCUUUUUCUGAUUCAACUUGUUCCUGAACAUAGAAGGUUGAACAACUCCAAAGGGACUUAGACUUCCUUAUCAACUUUUUAUCAAGAAGAUCCCAAAUCUCCUUAUCACAAUAGCUUAACAAACCCUUGUUCAUCUGGAUAGGUCUUGAUUUAGUGGGAAUAUUCUUGUCACUAAAGUCUAGUUCAUAAGGUAAUUCUACCUCAUGUUGUUUCCUAUGCCAAAAUGCAUUAGGAAUGUUAGAGCAAACUUCUUCAACAAUCAGAUUAAUUUCUUGCUCAUGACUUUCCUUAGCUUGAAUCACCUGAUCCCUUAAGGUGUUUAUAUUUUUCUUAUUAGGUGGUUGGCAAAUUCAAAAAUAAUUUCCUUAUCUAAGAGCUUUGUUCUUAUACUUUGGUCAUCUACCCACAUGGGAUAGAUGGAGCUUAAAAAGGGGAUUCCAAGGAGAGCUUUCUCCUUAAGAUCCUUAACUAGAAUGAAGGUUUGCUUGAUGCAAAUGCCUUGGUUAUUUAUGUGAGCAUCUGACAGCUUAUACUCAAUGUCAAGCCUUUUACCAUUAGCUCCAAAGAGAGAUUCUUUGGUUUUCUUACAAAACUUAAUAGGACCUAGACCUUCUUGUAGGCAAUUCAAAGCUGUUCCUGAAUCAAUCAAAGCAACAAUAUCAAUGACAAAUUUACUCUUAAUUACUAUAGUAAGGGAGACUUUCCACCUCUGGAAAAUAACCCUACUAACAGUAUUUAAGUAUCCAUCCGUCUUUUCAUCAUUAGCAUGUGAAGAUUCUAGAACCUCUUCAAGGUUUUCCUAGUUAUCAACAAGAUUUUCUAUAACAAUCCUAUUUAUUUGUUCUUGGAGAUCUGAAAAACCUAAGCUUGUGUAUUGUCUUAAAUCUUUAAUUUCCUUCUUAUACUGUCUUACUUCUUCUUGAAGAUCCUUAAUGGUUACGUCUUUGGUAGACUACUGGUUAAAUCUUCCUAAGAUUUCAUUUAAGUUAUAAGAAUUUACUGUCUUCUUAAUCUCUUGCUUAUCGACAAAUUUCUUAAAAACUUCAUAAAGAUCUUGUUUAGUUUUUUCAUCUUCAACUUUCCUUAAAACAUCUAGGACAAGUUCUUGAUCUUGGCUUAUGACAUUUAUAGUCUUAGGUUGGCAAUCACAAUUAUCCUUAAUGUAUUCUUCUUGGUCACUAGAAGUUUGGCUUGAGAUUUCCUCACCACUACUAUCUAGUUGGUUAAUACCAUUUUCAUUAUCUGAAUCAAUCCUUGAUUCAGACUCUGUGGAAUUUAACAUUACUUUACAAAGCAUAUCUUUUAAGUCUUCUGUGACAUUUAAGUUAUUAAUUUUCUGCUUAACCCUACAAUCUUUCUUAUAGUGGCCUAUCUUACCACACUUAAAACAAACUGGCUUAGAUUGUGAAGGAGCUUCUAGCUUUUUAUGGGCUUCUUUGUUCAUCAUUCUUUGGAUGUGCCUUUGUUUCUUAGUUUCAUUCAUCCUAUAGUUGCCAUGAGUUCCUCUCUUGUUGUGAUAGGACUUUUCCUUACUAGGCUUUGUACUUACUUGUUUCUUACGUUGCUUAGAGGGGGGCUUAGUUUCUUUUUGGUUGAAUCCAAACUAGCUACAAAAUGAACCAAACUCAUUCUUGUAGAUCCUUUGUUCAUUUUUCAUCUGUUGCUUAAGCUUAAAGUCAUUGCACAGUUUAAUUGCUUCUGAUGUGACAAUGCUUAUAAUUUCUCCAUAAGAAAGCUUAUCAUAAGGGAUUUGUCCAUUAAACUGUUCCCUUAUCUUAAUCCUAAUCCUCUCAGAGAAAAGUCUAGGUAGUCCUAAGAUGAAUUUUUCUUUCCAAAAAGACUGGUUAUAGUUUGAUCUUAGUAUGACUUUGGUUAGGAAAACUUCUCUAUACCAUCUAAAGUCAUGAAGCUUGGGACACUUAAGGUUGGUUAAGAGAUCUACAAUCUUAUCCUUAAUCUUUGCAGGAUCUCCAAUGAAGUGCUUUGAAAUUGAAUAGAUUAGAGUAGCCACUACAUCCUCUAUAUCUUGUCCAUCUUCAUCCUUAACCACUUCAUUUUCCUCAUUAAUCCUAUAGGCUUUUAGGAUACCAUUUCUAUCCUCAAAGGUGAGAUAAUUAUCCCACCAACCCUAAAGUUGACCUGUAAACCCAACAACAAUUGUUUGAGCUACAGCAUGGCCUGACAAUCUAUUGUUUAACUUAUAGGUUGUACUAACCAUGGUCAUUUCUUGAAGCUUAGUGAGUAUGUUGUACUCAAUCAUACCAUCUAUGUUCCAUUCAUAGAUAGUGUCACUAGUGUAGGAAGCUUGAGUAUGCUGGUUUCUUUCCUCAUACUACAUAUCAGGAAAAGUUGGUCUAGGGUAGUAAUUCCUAGUUCUUGGUUGUUGAUAAUCCUCAUAACUGUUUGGUUAGGAGGUUCCUUAAAAAUCUUAAUUAGUUCAUCAGCCUCUGCUUCAGAACUAAUUUCUCCUUUAACCAUAUUGAUUCUCUUGUGAGAUGGUUGAGGUGUCUCAGAGACAACAAGGCUAUCCUUAACCUUUUGGCUUAUCCUAUCAAUGAGGGCUUGAUCAAUAUGGAGAUUCUCUAGGAAUUUCUUAGAGAAUUCAAAAGGCUUAAAUAAAGACUUAUUAUCUUUCUUAACAAACGUAGUCUUAAUGUAGUCUUGUGUUUCAAUGAUAUCCUCAAACUUGUUGAGUUGAUCGCCUGUAGUCUUAAGAAACAUGUUAGUGUAGUUGUUUUGUUCCAUGAUUCUUCUAACGUCAACAACACUAUCAAUUCCUUUAUUCUUUGGCCUAGUCUUAAAAGGUGAAGCUUUGACUAUGGUUCAAUUAAUGUUCUUUUAUAUCUUAGCUUCUAGAGGGUGGAUGGAUUCUAUGAUAGUAUCGUCACUAGUUUUCCAUAUCUUAGUUUUUUUGGAUGUGUCAUUGACACGCUUACUAGGGUAAUCUAGAUAUUCCUCUUGUUUGAAGAGUUCAAACCAGAUCCAAUACUUAAUGUUCUUCUUUUCUUGUCUUAAGUAUGUGUAGAAUUCUUCUUGGUAGAGGGUUCUAAUGUCUUUAAGGACCUUGCUAAAGAACCAAACUCUCCUUUUCUUAUUGACUUCAGAAUAGAAGUCUUUCCUUAAGAGGUCCUUGUUGAUUCAAAGUCUUCGUUAAUUAGGCUUACAGUGUUAAUCAACUGAGAAUAAGUAGGAGACAUAUCAGGAGAUUCGUCCUGAUGUGAUUCUUGAGUAAACUCAUUUUCCUCCAUGUAAAAGGGUUUGGCCACGUUGGUGUGACUUCUAACACCUGUUAGCUUAAUAUUCUUAGGAUUUGCUGAACUAGAUCCUUCCUCUAUCCUAGUGGUUCUUAUUGGGAUAGAUGAACUUGAAGCUCUAGAGGGCUCAUAAUAUGAAAUUCUAAGGCUGCUAGAAUGAUGAAAAGAGUUGGAGAAAAUUAGAUCUCGUUCUCCAUCAGGAUAUUGAACAAUCUGUUCAAUUCUUUCAGAUCUUUGCUCUAUGGCUGGGACAACAUUAGCAAAAUGCCAAUUUUCUGGAAACUCAACCUCAUUCCACUUGAUUUUCAUGGGGACUAUGAAAUUAGACUUGUUUAUCAUAUCUAAGUGGAAGAUAGUGGUUUCACCCUUGGGACUGGUGCACAAUGCUCCAAAUCCAACGCUUAUGGUCAUGCUCUUAUAGGCAAAUCUGGUGAUGAUGGAAACAUGAUUGUUUCCUUGCUUGAACUUAAAGUCAUGGGUCUUAACAUGAAGGACAACUGAAUCUAAGAUGUUGACAUCUCUUAGUCUAACUGUGAAGUUAGGGAAACACUGGAAAUAAACAGGACCAUCAUUUAAUCCUGCUUGGGUAGCUCCAAUAAUAGAAUCUCGGUAAUCAAGAUGUCUAUUAUCUCUUAAACACAUGACAAUAAAGGUGUUUAGACCUAGUCUUGUCAAGGGCUUAGCUGCAACUUGAAUCAUGCCAAAGUGUAUGAAGUUGUAGUCUCGCUUAUGCUUAUCAAUGGACUUACUAUCCAAGAGUCUUAUGACUUGAUCGUCGUGUUCUAAACUUACUGACAUUUCAGGGGUUUUAAUGGUGUAAUCUGUAAAGAACUUAAAGGUUCCUUUCUUAUAAAUUUCUUGAUUAGGUACCUUGGGUAACUUCCAAUCAUCUAAAUCAUCUUGGAUCUUAGGAUAAUUGAUCUCUUCAUUGUUUACUCUUGAGAAUUUGUGGAUUUCCUAGACAUGGUUCUGAAAAUCAAACUCAUUUUAAGGUUUUAAUCUAGAGCCUAAUAGCAGAUUAACAGACCUAGUGAGUAAUCACCCCAACCCUUUUCCAACCUUAACAAACGCCUAUCUCCAGCUAACAAUGGGCUCAACUCGGCAAGGAUCGCACUCAGGCACACUACUAUCUUUCCUAGGAUAGAUCAAAACACCCAAAACAAACCCGACUUCCUUUUCCUAGGAUAUAUAUAGUAUUUUGGGUUUGAGUAGGAGUUCAUGUUUUGUAUGUAAUUGUAGUCUACGUUGGACUAGGUUGUUUGCUCCUAAUUGAAAUAGGAAUGGUUGGUGUCACAUCUCAUUCAUUUUCUCAUCUAUUUCCAUGUUUAGAUAACUCAAGUAAUCAUAGGAAUGAAAUUAAGAAUGAUUUGAGGGAAAUGAAAUCUCACUUGUAAGUGGGAUCUCAAUUCAUCAUUAAUAGAAGGUAUUUUGAUUACAUAGUGCAAGUUAUUUUUAAAAACACUUUUCAAAAAUUGAAAAACCAAAAACUCUCUUGGAUAAGUUGUUUUUAAAAAGAAUUUUUGUAUUUUUAUUUUGUAAAAAAAAAAAAUAGUAAUUCAAUUUAUAUAAUAUAAAUAGACUUUAAUUUUAUUAAAAAUAAAAAUAAUUUUUUAAUUACAAAUAAAUUAAAAAAUAAAUAUUUGUAAUAAAAUAUGAAUAGUAAUAUUAUAAUAAAAUCAUAAAUAAAUUAAAAAUAUUUUUAAAAACAAAUAAGUUUAAUUUUUUUGAGGUACAAAUGAGCCAAAUUUUUCAUUAGGUACACAACCAACAAUUUUUAUUGGAAACAUUCCUCAAAAAAGAAUUCGUUUCCCAUAUAGCAAAGAUAUUUAUUAUUUAGUAUCUAACCAUCCGUAGUAAUCAUAUCAAUUCUACUAAGUUAUUUAAUAAUUCAUUUAUAUAUAGUACUCAAUUAUGAAUUUUUUUAUUUGAUGUAUAAUUAAUUAAUCAAUGUUUUGAAUUUUGAAUUAUUCUUAAAAUUUAAAACAUUAAUUAUGUCUAUUACUUUUUAUAGUCAUUAUAUAUAUAUAUAUAUAUAUAUAUAGAGAGAGAGAGAGAGAGAGAGAGAGAGAGCUUAAAUUUAUCUUUAAAAAUUAUUAAAUUUAUUAAUAAAUUCAAUACAAAGACUCAUUUGAUUUGAAAUUCAUUUCUUUAGUGAAAAUUUUGAAACUAAAUAGUACUUUGUUUUACUUUGUUUUUAAAUCAUACUCACAAAUAAGUUUUUAUCAUUUAGCCAAAAAAUCUCAAAGAUGUUUCUAAUUUUAUUUAUUUAUUUAUUUGUAAAUGAAAAUAAAAAAUUAGUUUAAACUAAAUAUGCGGAUAUUAUUGUUAAUUUAUUUCAUUUUUUAUUUCCAUUGUUAUUUAACAUUGAAACGGAAACAAAUAAUCAUUCCAAUCUUACAUUCUUAUAUGCAUCUAAACACAAGAAUUGAAAUCACCAAAUUCAUAUUCAAGGCAAAAUAGAAAUGGAAAAAAAAUAUUCAUUUUCAUUCCUCAUUCUCAUGUGCUAAACAUGACAUUAGUUCUACUACCUAUUUCACCAUUCUUCUUGAUAAAUUUGGUAUAUGCAAUAUUGAUCUAAGUGUGAGGUGAAUAAGAAUGAUGAUGGGAUGGGCUUGGAAAUAAGGGCAAAGUUUCUAGGUGCUAUCUAGAGGGGCAACGCGACUUUUUCAAAUUUCGAAUAUUUGUUCUCAACAUAAAGCAAAACUUUACUCACACAAUAGAUAAGACUCUGUUUGUUUUCUUCAUCCACGACUAUAUAAUGUAUAGCUCUUACUCAAGGGAUGAGCUACUUACUAUUAAGGAUUGGGUAAGAUAUUGCCUAAUGGCCAAGAAGGCAUGUCAAAAAAUAAAUCUAAUCACCAUAAAAAAUAAUAGGGGAAAAUUAAUAUAUUAUGAAUGAUGACUUUACUAUUUCUCUAUAUACAUAAUUAUAUAUUUUGAAUUUUCUCACUAGGUAAUGAGAUUCUAAAUCAACUGAAACAUAAUUAAUAAUUUAUAUUUUUAAUGAAUCUUUUAAUUUUUAAAAAUAAUUUAAAAUUUUAAAAAACAAUUCAAUUAAUUACAUAUUAAAUCAAAACAUUUCAAAAUAUUGUGUUUGUAGAUGAGUACUAAAUGCUUGCAUAUAAUAAUAAUAAUAAAAAAAUUGACUCAUUUAGAUGUUAAAAAAGUUAAAUGUUUUUCAUUAUUCAUUUUAAGUAAAAUAUUAUUGACAUUAUUAUUAUAAAAUUAUUAUUAUUCAUUUUUAACAAAAAACAAAAUAAGUUAUUCUUUUACCAAGAUGUCAAUAUCUAUAUUUUUCUAACAUAUAUUAAAAUAGUAUACUUUUCUUUUAUUAAAAAUAAUAAUUAUUAUUAUAUUAUUAUUCAAGUUUUAUUAAAAAAAUUUAUCUUUUAAUUCAUUUGUAAUUACAAAAUAAUUUUAUUUUAUUAAGAAUUUAAUUUAAUUACGCUUUUUUUUUUUAUAAAAAAAACAGUUAUGCUUUUACCAAGAUGUUAAUAUUCAUAUUUUUCUAGCUAACAUAAAUAGAAUAGUACACUUUUUCAUAUAAAAAAAUAAUUUAUGAUUUUAUUAUAAUGUUACUAUUCACAUUUUACUAAAAAUAUUUAUUUAUUUUAUUUAUUUUUAAUUAUAAAAUAAUUUUAUUUUCAAGAAUUUAAUUUUAAAAAAAUAGAAAUCAUUUAUUCUUUUACCAAGAUGUUAAUAAACAUAUUUUUCUAACAUAUACUAAAAUAAAAAAGUUUACUUGUUCAUUAAAAAAUAUAAUUUAUGUUUUUAUUAUAAUACUACUAUCUAUGUUCUACUAAAAAUAUUUAUUUAUAAUUAAAAAAUAAUUUCAUUUUUAAUAAGACUUGAACUAAAUUAAAUUUAUAAUUUUUUUUUAAAAUAAAAUAGAAAAUUAUUUUUUAAAAACAACUUAUUGAAAGAAAUUUUUUAUUCUUUACUUUUAAGAACUGUUUUUAAAAGCAACCUAUAAACCCCUUUGGGUCUGUUUGGCUAUGUUUCAUGCAACUUGUUUUUAAAAAUUGUUUUUUAUUCUUUAAUUUAAUUUUUUUUAAGUUAAAGAAUAAAAAACAACUUUCUAGUGUUUUAUAAAAAUGAGAGCUUUUGACAAGUUGUUUUUAAAAACCAUUUUUAAAAAUAAAAAAUAAAAAACUUAUUUAGAUAAAUUGUUAUAUAUAUAUAUAUAUAUAUAUUUGUAAAAACAUUUUAAAUUCAAUUUAUAUAAUAUAAAUUUAAUUUAAUUUAAGUCUUAUUAAAAAAAAAUUGUUUGGAUAAGUUUUUUUUUUUAAAUAGUUUAUUAUUUUUGUUUUGUAAAAACAUUGCAAAUUCAAUUUAUAUAAUAUAAAUUAAUUUAAUUCAAGUCUUAUUAAAACCAAAAUAAUUUUAUAAUUACAAAUAAAUUUAAAAAUAAUUUUUUUAGUAAAACAUGAAUAAUAAAAUUAUAAAUUAUAUUAUUGUGGACCCUGCAUUUAUGCUCAUGCGCUUCCACUUGUUGGCGAACUCAUUUUUUAUUUGAAAAUGAUUUAUUUUUUUAGAAAAUGACUUAGAGUCGCCACUUAUUUUUGUUUUAUUUUUAAAGGGCAAGCAAAAUAAGAAAGAAAACCCUAAGUGUGACUCCUUAUUCGAAAAAGGUAGUCUGUGUAAAACCGGAUCAGGGUUCAGGGAUCAGGUUACUUAUUGGGAAGGUAUGACAAUGACCGUAGCACUCCUCUAAGUCCUUAAAAACGGGCCUCUACUAAAAAAAAUAAAGUAAUCAUGGCAAUCAGUAAGGAAAUCACUGGAUACCCAGAACAAUUAUGCACAUGUGAGAAUUAAAACAUGCAUAAGAAUGGACAAAGUGAGAGUGGGUGCGUACCUUGACAACGAACCACAAUGCGUUAUCAAGAAAUGGGGUUAGUGCACGAUCAAUGAACAUAAAACACGUCACACAUGUCACUAAGCAGAGUGAGAAAUCAUCAGAUAUUACAAUUCAAUCAAAUUUAUUUUUAGAAGAAACAUCUGUUGAUGUAGAGCCCCUACCAAAGCCUAAUUUAUUUUUGCAUGAAUCAAUUUCAUAAAUUCAAUCGCUUGGAAUUACAGAAUUAAAUUCAUGCUUAUUUUAAAACAUCUUUUUAAAAUCAUGGAAGAUGUGAAAAUGGUUUUCCAAAGAGAAAAUGACAACUGAUUUUAUUGAAAAUGGGAUUUUGGGGACCUAAACGUUAAAGAGGGAUUAGGAAUUGAAAAUUAAAUCAUUUGAAAAUUGAAUUUUUCAAAAAUCAGUUUUGAAAGCAUGCAUGCAAGUAUGGACUGUGAAAGUGGGCCUAGGGAGGGUGGCCAUGCAAAAUGAGGUCAUACACGUGGGCCUUGGGUACAAUUGGGACUACUUUGCUGGUGCCAGUGGUGCUUGCAGCUGUCAUCCAUGAUUUCUUCAUUGGGAUCAAUUUCCAUUCUUACUGCCAAACAUUCCAUAACAAUUGACCAAACUAGUAACCCUGACCUUGCAUGAAAAUGAACGUUACCUAGAAACUCACUGCCAGUGAGAUUCAUUGCUCUUUCAAAAGGUCUCAUUUUCUUUCUCAUCCAAUUGCUUUAAGGAGCAUUCUAGCGUCACGAUUGGUGACUGCGCAUCAUCUAGAGCCUUCUUUCUUCUCAGAAUCAGGUUUGCGUGCAGAGGCCUGUGCUUGUUCAAGGUUGACCUAAAUUCAUCUAGGUUUAGAACCGACCAGUUGAGCUUGGGGAGCAACGACAAGAAUAUCAGUCACUUGCGAAGAGAAAACUCGAGAUCUUUCAAGUAAUGCCUGACAUAGAUUCCUCCAACCUGUGGCCAAUAUCUCAUUCCUUGUUGGCCAGACGCCUAUUAGGGCGUAUCUCAAUCAAUAAUAUGAUUUUUCGUUUGUUCACAAUAAAGACCGGAAGCCAUGGUUGUGAUUUAUGCAGUACAGAAGAAGUUGCCAUGGCUGGUAUCCUUACAAAUUCUGGUGUUUCUGCUAUCUGUUCAAGUGCAAAACACAACAGCUUUAUCAAGUUUGUCCCUAACAACUGAUAUUGAGCCCUCUGGAGGAAACCUUGAUAAAUUCAUAAUCACUUUUGACUCAUGCAUGGGCUGCCCAUCAAAUUUUCCUAGCAACGAGACGACUGCUGUCAUCUACUGCAAAGAGAAUUUCUUCUCGCAAAGACAAGAGGAGUUUAAGAAUACACACUAUUCUGCCAUUUCAUUUCCUCUUUCUCCACAACCAACAUAAACCAUAGUGUCUACAUUAGAGUACUUAGAAAGAGCUUAACUGAUGACCGUUUUUCCACAACCAAAUGCCCCAGGUAUGGCACAAAUUUCACCGAAAACAGAAGGGAAAAGGGCAUCAAGAACACGCUGUCCUGUAAGUAGUGGGGUAUCAGGACUACUCUAGGGAAGUUAUUUCUGUCAUUUUGAAAAAGAAAAAUUAAAGAAUGUACACAUGCUUUCAAGUGGACUGGAGCAUUCUACAUAUCAGGUGGUCUGUAGCCACAUGUGCCACUUUGUGGAAGUUGGAACAGUCGAUCACUAGGCUAUUUAGUGUGGCCAAGCCACGUUAAUCAAGGACAAGUCUUCAUACUUAAAAGUCAAAUGGUGCCUUUAGUCUCAUUACACAUGGCUAUUUAAAGAUGAACUAAUCUUUAGUGUAAUGUGAUUAAGACAGUACUAACUGAUCAAUAUUUUUUCUAAUUUUGGAUGCAAAUGCUUGCUGGCUUCAUCAUUGGAUGGGAUAAAGGUGCAUUCAUGACUCUGAAUACUUGCAGUAAUACUUGCAGUAAUACUUCAUUCUCUUUUUUCUCGAUGAGACUUCUUGGCACAAUUUUGCUUCUCAGCAACCUACCUCUCCAUGGAAAAUGAGUUGCGAUUGAUGGUACUGGAUAUUUUCUAGGAAGCUAAAUAUAGAUAUAUAGCACUCAAUGUCAACGAUAUAUAUAGCAUUAACAGUAUAUGUCUCAAUGCUCAUCAGCUACAAGCAAGGGACAAACACUUACAAUGAAUAACUCACGUCAACAUUCCUAAACAGGACAUAGAAGUGACAGAUCUAUAUAUAGAACACUGCAUAUGAGUCACAAGAAAAGAUAAUACGGGUGCAUAGCAGCUCUUAUAUUACAUAUUACUCAUACCGUUCAAAUUCACUCAGUUGGGAUGGGUGGGAGAAGGAGGCCUCUGGGGUGGCUUGUGCGUGUGAGAAGUGGAAGAAAGUUGAAUGGAAUGAAACUGAAAAACAGGGUAGAAUAGAGGUUUCUUGAAUCUUCUGAAAUCUUUAUUUUUCUGAGAUUUAUUCUCUGUUUUUGUGAGUCGUGACUCUACAUAUAUACAUGUAUUUAAAGUUAGUUAUGCCUUAUAACUAAUUAUCUAACAGUACCAAAACUAAUCAUCUAGUUGCAUGUUUCUAAUUAAUGCUAUUUAGUUACAACUAUAUAUGGCUUAACAUCCUCUCUCAAACUCAAAAGUCUAGCUAGAACAGUGAGUUUGCUUCAUAGAUUGAGAAAUUGUUGAAUAGGUAAGGCUUUGGUAAGAGCAUUAGCAAUCUGGUCAUAAGAAGGAAUGUGUUGAACCACCAAAGUCUUAUUGAGCACCUUUUCCUGAACAAAAUGGCAAUCUAGUUCCACAUGCUUAACUCGAGAAUGAAAAUAGGAUUGGCAGCAAGAAAGGUGGCUGAAAGAUUGUCAUAGAACAAAACAAAAUAGGAGAAUAAGAAGAUGAGAUAGAAAACUCCUGAAGAAGAUGUUGAAUCCAUUGAAGUUCAAAAGCAACAUUUGCUAAGGCCCUAUACUCAGCUUCAUUGCUGGAACGAGACACAACUUUCUGCUUACUGGAGUUCCAGGAGACUAGAUUAGAGCUAAAAAAGAUGCAAUGACCACUUGUACUUCGACGAUCAUCAGGGCAACCAACCCAAUCAACAUCAGCAUAAGCAGUAAGUUGAAAAUCAGGAGAAGAAUAAAAGGAAAGACCAAAGGAAGUAGUGCCCUUAAGAUAAUGCAACAAUCGUUUAACAACUUGCCAAUGAAGAUCAGUUGGUUAUUGCAUGAAUUGGCAAAGUUUAUUGAUAGAGAAAGAGAUGUCAGGCCUUGUAAUGGUACAAUAUUGCAGGGCUUCAACAAUGUUGCGAUAUUGAGAAGGGUCAGCCAAGAGGGAACCUUUAGAGGCAGAUAAAGUGUGAGAGGUAGUCAUUGGUGUAUCAAUAGGUUUAAAAUAUGGAAGACCAGCACGAGUUAACAAGUCCUGAAUAUAUUUGGUUUGGGAAAGAUGAAGAGAAGAUCCUUGCCAACAUACUUCUACACCCAAGAAGUAAUUCAGAAUACCAAGGUCCUUGAGAGCAAACUGAAAGUGUAAAGACGAAACCAUUUGGUGGACUAGCACGGUAUUAAGACCACUAACAAUAAUGUCAUCAACAUAGAUGAGAAUAAUGAUCAUGUCAGUCCCUUUCCGAAGAGGAGCUUGCUUCAGACCCUACAAGGCUUUGCGAAGUUUACAGAAAAAACCGGGUUUAGAAUGAUCAACAAAGCCUGGAGGUUGAACCAUGUAAACCUCUUCUUCUAACUCACCAUUGAGAAAGGCAUUAUUAACAUCUAAUUGUUCCACUAACCAACCAUGAGAAAUAGCAAGAGAAAGAACAAUUCAUAUAGUAGUUGGUUUAACAACAAGGCAAAAGGUUUCAAAAUAAUCAAUACCAUAUGUUUGAUUAAAACCCUUUGCAACUAAGUAGGCUUUAAAACGAUCAAUUGAGCCAUUAGCUUUGAGUUUCAGCUUGUAUAUCCAUUUACAACUAAUAAUGCGUGUAUUAACAGGUUUAGGAACCAAUGUCCAUGUGGAAUUGGUGAGAAGAGCAUCAUACUCAGUCUUCAUAGCAGCUUGCCAAUUAGGAUGCAAUAUUGCUUCUUUGAAAGAGGAGGGUUCGACAACAGUAGUUUGGAUAGCAAGGCUAAAUAUUUUUUUGGGUUUAAAAAUACCAUUUUGGCUACGAGUAACAAUAGUUCGGUUUGGAAGUGAAAGAGGAUCAGUGGAGGAGGCUGGAACAAGGGAUUGUGGUAAAGUAGGAAAGGAAGGUGGAUGAGAUGGAACAAAAUCAGUAGGGACAAUAAUGGGAGAAGAAAAAUUAGGUGGAGAAUGAUGAGGAUUCCUUGAAGAUGGUGUAGGAAUAGAGAGAAUACCAGAAUCAAGAAGUGUUAAAGAAGAGUUGGAUGAUGAUACUGGUUGACAGGAUAAAGACUUUGUUAAAAAUGGAAAUCGAGUUUCAUCAAAUACAACAUGACGAGAAGCAUAUAUCCGAGAGGAAGCCAUAUCCAAACAGAGGAAUCCCUUGUGUUUAGCACUAUAACCCAAAAAACAGCAAACAACAAAUAUAUUUGCUAGCUUGUGAGAAGCAUAAGGGCGAAGAUAAGGAAAACACAAGCAUCCAAAACUUCAAAGAGAUGUAUAAUAAGGUAAACGAUUAUAAAGAACUCCAUAAGGAGAAUUUUGUGAAAGAACAGCAGAGGGAAGGCAAUUUAUGAGAAAAAUGGCAGUUUGAAAUGCAAAUGACCAAUAUUUGAGAGGGUAUACCAGCUUGUAUUAACAAAGAAAGACCAACUUCCACAACAUGACGAUUCUUUCUUUCAACUCUUCAAUUUUGCUAAGGAGUAUAAUGACAAGAGACUUGAUGAAGAAGACCAUUUGUAGCCAAAUAAUUCUGAAAAGCUGAAACUGAAACUCAUCAAAUUGAUUUUUAGUAUCAAAUUUUCUUCAGACUGAACACAUUGAUUUUUAGUAUCAAAUUUUCUUUCAACCAUGGCUUGAAAAUGUUGGAACAUAAGUAAAGCUUCAUCUUUAGUUUCCAAAAGGUACAACCAUGAGAAUAUGCUAAAAUCAUCAAUUAGCAAGAGGAAAUAUUGAGCAUUACCAUUGACAGAAACUAUAGGAGUUGCACCCCAAAGAUCAACAUGGAUGAGACCGAAUGGUUUUAUUGCUCUAGAAGUGGAUAUUUCAAAUGGAAAACGAUGGCUUUUAGCCAACUGACAAGACUCACAUACAGAGUUAUUAUUGUCAUGUUUCAAAGGUAUUUUAUAAAGAGAUAAGAUUUUGGAAACUACAUUAAUAGAGGGAUGACCAAGUCUAUUAUGCCAAAGCCUCAAAGAACCAACGGCUAAAGUACUACUAGUAGAGUAAAAUACUAGUGGAUGACCAACAACUCUUGGUGUAGCAAGAAGUUUAUAGAGACCCUUCUCAAUUUUUCCUUGAAGAAGAGCAAGUCUCGUUUCCUGAUCCUUUACCACAAAAUGAGAAGAACGAAAUUCAAUAAAGGUGCCAUUGUUUGAGUAAAAUCGUUGCACGCUAACUAAGUUGGUGGUAAUAGAAGGAACAUGUAAGACAUCAUUGAAAAACAAAGAACCACUUGAAGAGGCAAGAGAAAAUUUACCAAUAUUUGCAAUGGAUAAACCCUUACCAUCUCCAACAAUUACUUUGUCACCACUGGUAAAUGGAUUAUGGAUUGUUAAAUUGUUAAGAUCAGAUGUGAGAUGAUGGGUAGCCUUUGUAUCAAGAAACCAAUAAGUGUCUCCCAUUGUUGCAGAAGUUGUAGUCAUAGCCUCAGGAUUGUUAGAGGUGGAAUGUUUAGAAUCUUUUGGCUGAUAAUCAGAGUUAAACCGAUACCAGCAUUGUAAAGCGGUGUGUCCGAACUUACAACCGAGAGAAAUAAUCUUUACUUAUUCUCUAAAAACUGUUCUUUAUUCCACACAUUAUUUCUAAAAACUGUUUCUAGAUAACAAUGACAAAAUAGUAUUAGGAAUUUUUAAAAAUAAAAAUUGUUUUUAAAUUACAUGAUCUAUAUCAUUCACAUUUGACCAUUAUAGCUUUGUUCAGGAAAACACUUGAAAGUAACCUUAUCGUGAUAAGAGAUAUAAGUUGGCUGUAGUUUCAAACUGAAAACAGAGGAUGGCAAUAGAAAGCAAAGCAUUAGUUAUCUGCAAUCAGUGGUGAUCAUGCCCCAUGUCAAUUUCGGACCCAUAUCUUAAAACCGUAUAAUUUGCAUUUCAACAUUUCUGAUUUCUCAGAUGUUUCAUACUCCACAGAAGAACAUUGUUUGUGAAAGCAUGCAUUUAUGCUGGAUUUUGGAUGAUGUGGGAACUGGGGCAAGGAUCAUAUGGAAGAGUGGUCGAUUUUUUCUGUACUUUAACAUUUGAAAUAGGAGCAGCACGGGCAUUUGUGGGGCUUAAUUGAUUUUGAAGCCUGAAAUUGCGUUUCUGUCAUUUUGUAAAAAAUAUGGCAGAUUCCAUGCUCUCAUAUGUUUGGUCUGUGGCCAUGUAUAGAUGCCACUUAGUGACCAGUUUGUAACUGUCAAUCAUAGUGUUUUGACUCUGGCUCAACAACAUCAGCCAUUGACGGAUUUUCAUACAUGCAAAUCAAAUAGUCUUCUUCCUCCCUUAGGAAUUUCGGUUUAAAUGUUAUUAAGCAUACAUUUGGCUGACAAUUAUUAACCACUUCAUGAUAUGGUUUCUUACCCUUAAUCAAUGGUUUCUAAGUGAAUAUAUGCAGAAGGAAAUCUGAACUGUAGACAGCAGUAUUGAUAAUUAUCAAUAUUCUUUAUAUAAGAGAAUAAACAACGUCAUAGUGAUCGUCGCCUACAAGAAAGGUACAUUUCCCAACAAGAUGUAGUUGUGACUGGUACAUGGACGUAAUUAACUCGUAGAAAAGGAUAAGACCAGUGCACGGCAGCUCUUAUUUUACAUGCUAAUUAUGCUAACCAAAGUCACUCAGUUGGGAUGGGAGGGAGAUGGAGGUUUGUGCGGUGGCUUGUGGGGCGGAGUUGGUGGCUUCUUUUCAGGAGCUUGUGGCUUUUUCGGAGCUGAAGGAGGCUCAAUCUUAUGAGGCGGCUUGUACGAGUCUUCUUUACUCUCGACAGGAGGGUGGCCAGGGUUGUGACCAUAAUGUGGUGGCUUCUCUCCCUUAGGUGGCUUGCCAACUGGGGUUGGUGGCUUGUGUUCAGGAAGUGGUUUCUCUCCCUUGGGAGGUUUACCAAUUGGGGUUGGUGGCUUGUGUUCUGGGAGUGGUUUCUCUCCCUUGGGAGGUUUAGUGGGUGACUUGUGUUCUGGAGGUGGCUUCUCCACCGGAGGCUUGUGCUCCGGUGGUGGCUUCUUGGUUGGAGGGGGCUUGGGGUAAUCAGCAAGAGAUGGGGGGGUGAGAACCACCACUCCAAGGAACAACACUAGCAAGUAUGUGGGAGACAUUUCUGAGUUUGAGCUGAUCAGAUGAUGCAAAACUAGAAGAAUUACGUGACCUUUUAUAGCAAGUAGCUCCCAAUACCCACAUGACACGUGUUACUGUGACCAUAAAUAUUAUAGGGUCCAUUUGUGCCCUACCGGGUUGAAAACUUGGACGCUUGGCCGAGGACACACCGAACUAUGGAGGACUAUUGACGUGUGAUCACAGCUUUUGGAUUUUUCUUCCUGUGCAGCUGUCUAGCGGUUGGCAUUAUUUUUUUAAUCUUAAAUAAAGGCAUAGUUAUAGAGUACAUUUAUAUAUCUUCAGAUAGCCAUUAAUAUAUUUGAUGAAGAAAGACAAGUGCAUACAACAUGUAUACGGCUUGCUUCAAUCGAGUACAUUUAUGAUCAGUUUUCCAGUGCAAGUAAACCAGUUUUUUGUUCCACAACUAUUUUGGAAUCUUGUUUAUCAGUUUCUAUCAUUAUAAUGUCACAUAGGCUGCAAACUUGGGCACCCAAAGAUCUAGUUGGGCAAAUUUGUUUCAGAAUUUCAAUGGUGGAUUCAGUAAUUGUUAAAAGGUGUUUCUUCAUUAAGGAAAGAGUCCUGUAAAAAUAUUGUUAAAAGGUGUCAUAGAAACUAUAAUAAUUAAAUAACUUCUUUUCCCCGUGGGUGGUGUUUCUUCUGGGGAUACCCAAAAUGAGUUCAGAUUAAAAUUGGUUCGAGUCAAAGCUGUCUCUUUUGUCCAGAAAUCAACUAUUUUGCGCAUUGCAUGAAUCGAUAAAGAAAAAAUGAAAGCCAAAUCACACCUCCCCUGCAAAACCUAAACCCCGGUUGCUAACUUUCUAUGUUUCAGUCCUAUUCAUACAGGAAUAUUGGUUCAAGUUUGAGAAAAAUGGCAACUUACCUAGGGAUUACUUGGUUGUGGUUUGCGACGACUAUUUACGCAACCAACCAUGAGUUUGACUUUAACGUCAUGGGUUGAAGCCUCCUACAAUCGUGUAUGAUAGUUCAAAGCUCGUAGUAGAAAUUAUACAGGAAGGAAGAAACCUCCAAAGCUAGCUCCAAAAGAGAAUUAUCACAUCGAUAGCUCCAGAGAUUCCCAAGGGGACUGAAUCAAAGACAAGUUCCUCACUUUUUCUUCUUUUGAGGCCAAAUAUGAACCAAGGAUCACACGACCUCAUUCAACUUCAUAAGUUUGAUUUCAUGCAGUUGAACACUGGGUGAAGGCCAUGACAAGAAUUGAUUAAAAAAUUCUACCACUGUUUUAAGUAAUGGAAGAUUAUUAUCUCUGAUUGGCACCACAACAGCACAUGCUGCUAGAUCUUUCUAGACACUCCAUGCAAUGAAAGUACAAUGGAUCUUGUAACGAUAGAAACUAAGCCAUGCUACAGUACUAGAUGACGAGGUAAAACUAUUAGACAUGGGUGGCAGCCUAUAUGGGAGGGACACAAGUCUAAUUGAUUUGCAUUUCAGCGUUCUAGAUGGGUAUGUUUUGGAAGAUUUGUUCUGGAAAUACCGCACCAAGUAGGAUUCUUUUUUCUCUUGAGUGGGUCCACUUGCAUGCCAAUUAUCGAGUUGAAAAGUAGAGCACCUACCUCGUGCUCGUGGAACCGAAGGUCAGUGAAGUGGGGCUCCUUUUGGCCUCUUGUGUUUCUGUUCCAACCAAGGCGGCGGAGGGAAAAACAGCAAUAUGUCUCCGCUAAAUAUCAACGCAUGAUAGCGAAUGAGGGAGAAAAAAAGUAAUUGGCAUCUCAAUCUCACAAACUUGGUACAGUAGUGACAUUAAUAGUCUUCCACAUGGUUUUUAUUUUAUUUUAUUUUAUAUUUUAUAUUUUCCAUUUUUUUAUUUUUUUGUAUGUCAAGGCUAAUGAAUAAAAUGCGUUAGCUUGUUUUGUGAUUGGAACUGCAAAUGUCCAAAUUGGAGUUUCUCCAUUUCUCAGUUCGGAUGGUUAACUUUAUAAACAAGAUAUAGGAAACAUGUGAACGUCUUGAGGAACAAUUCGAAUUAUUGAUUAGAACUCCUAGGUUGAGUUCCAAGAUUUAAAUCAGACCCCUCUAGCAGCUUCAGGGGUACCUAGCAAUUAGAACAUAUUAAUGAAGAUUUAGGAUUUAGACUCCGGAAUACAAAUUAAUAUGUAUCUUAUGCUCUGACUAGCUUCCCUGCAUAUGCACAAAAUGGAGAUGACCCAAAAAAUAGCAGAAUCGCCUUAGUUUAUGUGGUUAAGGUGAUUCUCCGGUUAAUAUCCACAUUGGCUCAUUAUGCAAAUCAACUGAGCUAUUUUUUUUUUAAUGUCAAAUAGGAACUCCUAAUUAACCUAACCAUUGGCCUGUGUAAAUUGAUUUCACAUGCACAAUGUUGUAGUAGAAGUCCACAUUUUGAAUUUUAUUUUUGGAAAGGUAAGGAAAAUGAAGCAUUGUGUAAUUAUAAAAAUAACUUCAUUGGAAUUCACAAGGUUCACCCAAAAUGGAGCUACAUCCGUAUUCUAUCUUACAGUAGACUAUAUAGAUUGUACAAUAGUAAAUUGCAAAUACAAUUAAUAAGUCUUGUGUUUCCUUACUAAUAAUCCUUUGACAUAAACAUUGCAGCACUAAGGUCCUCUUGGGCAGACACCUUGCACCCAUGAGAGCACUAAGAGGAAGCAAGGCGGAGUCAUGGGUGCAAUGUCAUGACUUGUUGCACUAAGAGAGGCUUGGUGAUGGCAUAGUGCUGCAGUAGCAAGAAUGUUGCCUUGGCAGGGACACGAUCUAGGGACAGAUGCCAAGAAAGGCUUAGCACUCACAUGAGUUGCACAAAGAUGAAUGAAAUAGAACAUCAAAGAGACAUCUUGGCAAGCUCAAGAAAGACAUGUGGGUUGGUAAAUGAAUGGAUGCAAGAGGCAACAACAUGAGGAGUUUCAAAUGGAUAGGGAAUGAGUCAAAGACAUUUGAAAGCUACAAGUUGGAUUCUAAUUACGAUUGCAAUUUGAGUUUGAGUAGGAGUUUAUAUUAUGAUUGUAAUUGUAGUAUGAGUUGGACUAGGAUUGCUUAUCCCUAGUCAAAAUAGGAGUUGUUCAUGCCACACCCUAUGAAAAGAGUUUGAGUAGGGACUAGGAUUGCUUGCUCCUAGUCAAAUAUGGAGUAGGUGGUGCCACACCUAUAAAAAAAAAAGGGACAACAUGAGAGAGAGAGAGAAUGAAUUCACCAAAGAUAUUGUGGGAGUUUUGCUUUGUUACAUCUUGUAUUAUUAUUUAGAAUAGUAAUAAAAUACAAGUUGGGGCUAGAGCCCCAUAAUCUCGUGUGCCUUUGUGGGUUAUUCUUUAUUUGCCAUCUCGUGUGGAUUGGAUUAGAUUGAUGAGGCGAAAUAUUAUGUGGGAAAUUUAUGUUGGGACACUUACCAUAACCAGGUAAAAUCUACCAAGUCUUUUGUAAUAUCUUCUACAAAUAUUUUAGACCAGUUCUUCACAAAACAUCAUAAUAUGUUUUGUGUUUCUCUUGGAUUUUGAGUUGAAUUGUCUUAGAUCAAUUGAAUGCAUCUCAAUAUUAUUAUCUUGUUUGAAGGCUUGAUGAUUUUCCAUUUAACUUUACUUUCUUUAGGUUAUGCUUGAUUCCUUAAAAGUACUAAGGAAAACAAAAAAUAAAAAAAAAUAAAAAAUGCAGAGGGUUAGGACAUGUGUUAUCUAAUUGUCCUAUCCAAAGAUAUUAAGAAAGUCAUGUAGGAAAGUAAUUGAAAACUAGGUCAAGAAAGGAGCAAAAGGGAAUUGUUUUGGUAUUUUCUUUUUUAUUCUUGAAGGUGGCAGAGCUAAAAUUUGAGAAAUCAAGCAAAACAUACUGAAAUUACAUUGAAAGAAAGAAAAUGGUAGUUAAUGUCUUGCAGUACAUGAUAAGGACUUCAUGCAUGUAGUGUGACGACCCAUGUCUUGGACUGAUGCCACACUCACGGUUACACUUAUACCCUUGGUUCUCUCUUUACUACCUUGGCUAACCUAGAUCAGGCUAUGAGAUAGGCUCCUCACCACACCAUCACUUGCCCAGUAAUUAGUGACAUUUUCAAGCAAUGAGGUAACAUGGUGACACCAAGAGGGUUUAUCCCUCGCCCCAACAAGUCUAGACUCGGUCUCAAAAAAAUGGAGAAAAAUGAGGUGUCGUUAUGCAGAAAUACAACAACCAUGCCUUCCUUAUUACUUAGAUUCAGAAUGUGAAGGUGAAAUUGAGAAACAGAAACUCUUGAAACCAGAAUGAAAAUUGAUACUUUUACGAAGAAUUACAACAUUAGAGGAAGACUACAUUCUUCCUCUAUAUUCCUACGUUUCUACACUACUUCUACUCCACUCCAUAUUUCUACAUACAUCUUUAAUCAGUUUUCCCUCCUUUAUAUAGAGCCAUCUUCACACAAAUUCCGCAAGGUAGAAAAGAGGAAUGAAACUUGGAGCAAGGUUCGACUACUGGUUGUCGCUUGUCAAGGCUGGAAUUGAACUUUUUUUCUUGGCUUUUCUGGGCAUAGGUAGUAACUUGUGGUUCCUUUUUGGAAUGAAAAUGGUACAGCUAGAACAUGUGGCACUCUCUUGUUGGAUUAUGUGUCAAACAUGUGGCAGCCAUCUAGUGGAGAUUAUUUCAAUUUUGGGAUGGAGAGUUGGCAUCCAAUUGCAAAGAAAUAUGACAUCUACCAACAUGCAAUGUAAACCUAUAUAGAUCAUAUGGAGAUAGAGAGGAAACAUAUAGAAAUGGAUAUAUACCUAGAACUAGCUUUUUAUUAAAUGAGACGGAGAGCCAACAAUGAAGGAAAAUCAAAAUUUUUGGCUCAUAUCAAAGAAUUCACAUUGUGUUACCCUAGGUUUUCUUAAAGCUUGCACAAAGCCAAAAAGCACACAAAAAAUUAUAUUUUCUAGCUCUCUACCUUGGAUGGUCUCUUGAUCCUACUUGGAGAUGUGCAUAAAUAAAAGGAUUUGAAAAUGACAAUUGACUAAGUAUGUAGUCAAUCAAUUACUCAUUAAUUGACUAGUUGAUCAAUUAACUUUGCAACAUCAUAUGCAAUCCUAAUAGCUAGUCAUCUAAUCAACUAGGUAGUAAAUCAAUAGGCCAAAAAUAUGUUUAUAAUGACUAUUUUGUACAAAAACCACCUAUAUGGUUAAAUAUAAUGCAUUUCAUUUAUAAAUCUUCUAAUUCUUGAAUAACGAUCCUAUCAUCCUUUGAAAGUUUUUAUUACACCUUUUAUACUUUUGUUCUAAAACUUACACAUGUACAUCACCCUUAAUUGUACCAUGAGAACCUAGCUUUUUUUUUUUUUUUUUUUGUAAUUCAUCAAAGUUAGCUUUUGUAUUCAUUACUGUACUAUUUUUAUUGUAACUUAGAAAGCGAGUGUUUUCAAGUGAGUGAAAUUGACUUAUAAAUAUUGUAAAGAUUCAUUGAUGUGUAUCUUAAACUAAGUGUACAAGUUGAAACAUUUGCUAGUAGAUUUUCUCAAGAUUUAGAAUAGAGCUUGAGGCUAUUGAAAUAGGUGGGGUUGCACCAAACCACAUCACAUUGUUGUUUGCACCUUUUUUUCACUCUCUUUUACUUAGUUGCUCUAUAUUUGUUGUCUAGUAAUAUCCUAUAGGCUUGAUGGGUUAGGGAGCAUCCCUUUGUGAAAAAUUUUCAUUCAAUCCUUAGUUGUAUCACGCAUAUAUAAAAUGCCUCAUUGUUUUAAUGGUAUUCAGUCGUGGCAUCACAGAUAUGGGCAUCUAAAUUUUAAAAGUUUGAAACUUUUAUCUAAAGAAAAUAUGGUGCUUUGCCUUUUUGUAAAGCAUGUUGAUGAAAUCCAUGAGAAUUGUGUACUUGGGAAGCAACAUCGAGAUGACUUUUUUUUUUUUCAUUUUUUAUAAUGCGACACCUAAGUCCGGUUUCUAAAUGCUGAAGUGAAAGGGUAGGUAUGGACCAUUGAAAUCUGAUCACAACUUUUGGCCUUUUCCUUUCUCUGCAGCCAUGUUGUCUCUUUUUUCUUUUGCAUGAUUUUCUUACCUAAACAGAAUCAUAGACUUGUUUAAUCUCUAAAUGGUAUUUCAUCCAGCUUUAAGCUACUGUAUUAUAUCUUGGUGGAGGACUUUUAAGAGUGAAACCGACAUAGAGCACAUGCAAGUGGGUAUAUGGGACAUGAAAUUUCUUCUUAUAAAGACUGCAUGGUUUUUAUAUUAGAGUUGUUGAGGCGCAAUGUAUUUAGCUUGUUUUGCAGUUAAAUUAAUUGGAUAAGUAGACAUUGUCGUUUCUAAAUUUCCCACCUAAGAUAGUGACCUUAUCCUUGACUGCUUGAUGAGAUACACAAACAAUUAUACCUUCAAAAUCUACUGUGAAGUGCUUCAUGUAUGUGUGAAGUAUUAGAAAUUUCUUUCUUGGCAACUUGUUUUUUCUUUGCCCUCUACUGAUAGGUUUGACUCAAAUUAAAUUCCCUGUCAUGCUAAUUAAUUUUCACGUGCAUGCUCAAAAGGAUCACGUCAACUCUGGUUUCUACUAUUCAGGUCCAUUCCCAGAUAAACUGGUUCAAAUUUGAGAAAAUGGCAACAGCCCUUUAGUGAUGUUGGUUUGGAGCCAGUAGCCAAACCCGCCCUGAGCUUUACCACUAAUGUCAAGGGACAAAGCCAUUUGAACAAAAACAAUAGCUUCAAGAGACUGAAUCGUGGAUGAAAUCUGAUCCACAUUUCUUCUCAUUUUGGGAACAAAUGAGAACUUAACUACAAAGAUUCUACUGCCUCAUAGUGCUUUUCCUGAUCUAAGGUUGGUUCGUUUCCCAAAUUGUGAGGUACGUGCCAUUCUCACGCUCAGGAGUGUAUCCACGUGGUGGACAUAAGAUGGUGGCUUAAUAUCUGGUGUCGGUGGCUUUACUUUACUAGGAGAGUAGUGUGUCUUCAUCUCAUUCACUGCCGGAGGGUGGCGUAAGCAGUGACGCUAAGGUGGGGCACAGUCAAUAUCAUUUGCAUUUGACCAUUAUAGUUUUCUCCCGGCUUGAAAGUAACCUUAUCGUGAUAAAGGAUUACUAGCACUAGUUCAGAUGACAGUCAUGUUAAAUUCGGACCAUGUUUGUGUCACAUUAUCAGCAACCAUGUGUUUAUGGUUCAUGCUAUCUGCAACUAAACUUGAUAUAUAACCACGUGAACUUCAAUCUAAAUUCUGGAAGUACUCUUGUGAUAGAUGGUGCCUGUCUGCAGAGUCCAUCAAUUGAAAAAUGGAGUGAGUGUAUCUAUAAGAGGGAAGGCUUGGCAAAUGUUCAGUUUUCUGGGAACUCAACAAGGAUCUAAAAUAGAUUGUUUUCUUUGCUGAUUUCAAUGGUUGAAAUUUGAGAAGAUUGUGUCCACAUAACACAACUAUUACUGGUCCUUCUGUUGCAAUUUAUCCUCUAAGGCUCUAACAUGUCUUCCAAUUCCCACUUCCCUGUUACUCCAGGAAAGCUAUUUCUGUCAUUGUGAAGAAGAAAAGAGAAUGUACAUAUCGAUGGUUUUAAGUGACUGGGGCAUUCAUAUCAGGUGGUCUGCAGCCAUAUAUGCCACUUUGUGAAGGUUGGAACAGUCAAUCACCAGGCUAUAUUAGUGUGGCCCAGCCACUUCAAUCAAGGACAAGUCUUCAUACUUAAAGUCAAAUUCUGCCUUUAGUCUCAUUAUAAAUUGCUGUUUAAAUAUUAAGCAAACAUUUGUUUAAUGCGAUUAAGACAGUACUAACUCAAUACUUGUUCUAUUUUUGGAUGCAAAUGCUUGAUGGUUUCAUCAUUGGAUGGGAUAAAGGUGCAUUCAUGAUUAUGAAUACUUGUAGUUAUAUUUUCAUUCUCUUUUUUCUCAAUGAGACUUGUUGGCACAAUUUUGCUGUUCAGAAACCUACCUCUCCAUCGAAAAUCAGUUGUGAUUGAUAGUACUGGAUAUAUUCAAGAAAGCUAAAUAUAGAUAGCACCAAAUAUUAUCGAUAUAAAUAGCAUUAACAGCGUACGUAUGUCUCAAUGCUCAUCAGCUAUAAGCAACGGGCAAACACUUACUAUGAGCAACUUGCGUCAAAAUUCCAGAAUAGGACAUAGAAGUGACAGAUCUAUAUAUAUAUAGAACACUGCAUAUGAGUCACAAGAAAGGAAAUUACGGGUGCAUAGCAGCUCUUAUUUUACAUCCUACUCAUACUGAUCAAAGUCACUCAGUUGGGAUGGGUGGGAGUAGGAGGUUUGUGGGGUGGCUUGUGCGGAGGAGUUGGCAGCUUCUUUCCAGGACCUGGUUGCUUCUCUGCUGGAGUUGAAGGAGGCUUAAUCUUCCGAGGUGGCUUGUAUGAGUCUUCAGCAUUCUCAGCAGGAGGGUGACCAGGGUUGUGACCAUAAUGUGGUGGCUUCUCUCCCUUAGGUGGUUUGCCAACUGGGGUUGGUGGCUUGUAUGAGUCUUCAGCAUUCUCAGCAGGAGGGUGACCAGGGUUGCGACCAUAAUGUGGUGGCUUCUCUCCCUUAGGUGGUUUGCCAACUGGGGUUGGUGGCUUGUGUUCUGGGAGUGGCUUCUCCCCCUUGGGAGGUUUUUCCAAUGGGGUUGGUUUGUGUUCAGGAGGUGGCUUCUCCACUGGAGGCUUGUGUUCAGGAGGUGGCUUCUCCACCGGAGGCUUGUGUUCAGGAGGUGGCUUCUCCACCGGAGGCUUGUGUUCAGGAGGUGGCUUCUCGAAUGGGGGAUGCUCAGGGUAAUCAGCAAGUGAGGGGUUGGUGAGAACCACCAUGCCAAGCAACAGGACUAGCAAGUAUGUAGGAGAC